UUAGGGUGAUAGGUUUAAGACUUUGGAGGGAGGCGCAAUUCCUCGUACAUGGAAUGCGGCUAAUCUCAAGUUUUAUUUUAGUUGAACUCUAGCAUUGUACACAGUUUAAGGGGACGCUCUUUUUCCCUUUUUAAGGGUAUUUUAACGAGGUCACCCAAUAAAAUUAUGAUUGAAGUAUACAUAUUCUCAAAUUUUUUGUACAAUGCAGGGGCGAACCUGUCGCCUUGGUGUUUAGACACCUCGAGAGGGAGUGAUAGCUUCCGCUUAGGACGCCUCCCCCUCGAGCGUGAGCGCCAAGUGCGAACAGCAGGGUUCGGUCAGUGACGAGCCUGUCGCCUUGGUGUUUAGACACCUCGAGAGGGAGUGGCAGCUUCCGCUUAGGACGCCUCCCCCUCGAGCGUGGGCGCCAAGUGCGAACAACAGGGUUCGACCAGUGACGAACCUGUCGCUUUGGUGUUUAGACACCUCGAGAGGGAGUGGCUUCGCUUAGGAUGCCUUCCCCUCGAGCGUGGACGCCAAGUGCGAACAACAGGGUUCGACCAGUGAUGAACCUGUCGUCUUGGUGUUUAGACACCUCGAGAGGGAGUGGCAGCUUUCGCUUAGGACGCCUGCCCCUCGAGCGUGGGCGCCAAGUGCGAACAACAGGGUUCAACCAGCAAUGAACCUGUCGUUUUAGUGUUUAGACACCUCGAAAGGGAGUGGCAGCUUCCGCUUAGGACGCCUUCCCCUCGAGGGUGGACGCCAAGUGCGAACAGCAAGGUUCGGCCAGUUAAGUCCUCCUUUGCCUUUGAGCAAAGACGAGGUCGGUGACGCGUCUUGUGGCUAGAGACCUUGAGAGGGAGGGGCAGUUCCCACGUAGGACGCCCCCUCCCAAACGCGAACGCCAAGGCUCAGCGAAAGGAUUCCCAAUUAAGUCCUCUACUGCCUUGGGGGCGAAGAUGAGACCGGUUGGUGGAUCCUCCCUAAUCGCAAAGUAUGGGUAAGUAUCAGCAAAGGAGUUUCCCUUGUCUAAGCAAAAGUUAAGGCAAGACUAGUUGAAGGUUCACUCAUGCUCACAUCCAUCACGGGUUGCUAAGCAGUUAAGACAGAGGGCGAGAAAGCGUGCUACCUAGAGUUCGAAGUUUUAAAGUUUGUCAAGGACUUAAAGGUGUUAGCAUCAUAACGUUGUUGGUAAGAGCGUCAAGUCAAAGACGCAGUUAUUGGCAAACAAAGAUAAAUAAAGCAAGUAAAGAAAGGUGCGAGUUAUAUUAAAUAAAUGUUUCGGAGGACAUAGUUUCAAAGCCAAAGUUACACAAGUUCCUUUUGAGGGCGCCUUGGCACGAUCUGCCUAUCCACAAUGUGGUUCGACGUUGCGAAGGAGGAGACAUCUAUCUCGAGAUGCUUGCAAGUAACCCGAGCGAGAGCGUCCUCGAACCCUACUGCAUAGGCAUUGGUGGCAUCGUCAAUGAGCUCCGCUUUGGCUUUCCCGAAGGCUUCAGCUUGAGUGGUCAGUUCUGCCUUGACCCUCUCAAGGGCUUCAGUUUGUGCGGUAAGCUCAACCUCUACUUUCCCGAGCUGCACCUCCCGAUCCGUGGCCCACUCUUCAAGUUUGACCAUCCUAGCUUUGUUGGCCAUGGUUUCCUCCUCAAGUUCCACCACCUGGGUACGUAGUGGCACAACCUUGGCCAAUAGAGUGGUGUACUCUUGGCCCUUGUCGAAGAGCUUCUUGUUGGCCUCCAGCUCAGCCUGGUGAAGGGCGUUUACUUCCUGAUGUAGCGCAGUCUCACGGUUGGAGAAAACCUAAGCCUGUUGGGCCAGUUGCUCCUUCGCCAGAGCCAGUUCUUCAGCCAAAGCCAUCUGCUCCUUUGCUUUUGACUCCACCUCGUGGAAAAAGGCGUCAAAUUGGGAAAGGAAUUCUCCAAGGCUGAGAGCCAAGCUCUCCCGCACAGCCUUUCCGCUUGAGCUUCCCAUGGCCCCUCUCUGGUAGCCCUUGAGGAUUUGUUGAAGGACCAGGGGAAGUUCAGGAGCAGGGGCUAGUUCAAGUACGCUCUCACCGCCACCCUCGAGUGCAAGGAGGCCUUGGGAGGAUGAGGCGCUCGGUGGAGCAGAAAGCGCUGAGGCACUUACGUCAGCAACAACAUCUUGACGAAGGGCCAAGACCUCAGCAAGUCUUGCUUGCUUCUCCUCGUUCAGCACCAUGCCUGCAUUAAAACAAAAGGGGAUGAGAAUUUGGCAAGGUUACCAAGAGGCAGGAAGUUAGCACAUGCAUAAGUAUGAGAUAACAUACAAGCAAGGUAGUAAAGAGAUAAAGGGGGGUCAGAAGCAAGGCUCUAUACCAAUGUAGCCCGCGAGACUAGAUGGGUUGUACUCAUGCUUGAUGAGCUCGACUGUGCUGAAGACCACCCCAAGGCUAGCCAGCACUUGGCACACCUCGCGAUCAGCAGAGGAUAACUCAUCAAGGGUCUUGGCUUUUUUAAGGGUUAACUUCCCCACCCAAUACAGAGGAAACCCGUCCAACAGGGUGCUGUCGUGCCCAGAGCAGCACACCUUGAAGAAUUUCCUUUUGAAACCCUUGUAAGAUUGUUGAAAUAAGGUGAGGAUGACUCUCCCUGUCACCCUGCUGAAGCUCACCCAGAGGUUCUUCCCAGGGUUCUUGGCUUCGAAAUAAUGAAGGAAGACGUCCACAGAUGGUGGAUGGCCGAAAUGGUUGCAAAGGAUGGAGAAAGCCCUCACAAAGGCCCAACUAUUGGGAUGCAGCUGGGCAGGGGCAACGUUCACUUCAGUGAGCAGCUCCCUCUCGAAGCUAGUGAAGGGGAGGUGCUGCCUAAUGCGUUUGAAAACAGUUUGGUAGAAGAAGAAGAAAGACUCUCCAUCAUUGGCACGGUUGUCCGUGCACACGGGUUCACCCUCUGCACAGGGACGAACUGAGACGUACGCGUCACUCUCUCUCCCAAACGCCCUACCCAGGAACUCGAGCUCGCUAUGCAGGUGUGCCCUCCAAUCCGCAAUCGAUGUAAGGGUGGAGGUUUCAGCGAGGAGUUCAUCGGAUACCCCAGGGUACAUUUCUCUGUAGUUGACAUUGGGUGGAGGGUUGGAGGUAGUCUUCGUUCGUGCCAUGAUGAAGGAAGCUAAAAAAGCAAGGAGAGAAGAAGGUAAGGGUCCAGCAAGGGGGGCUACGGUGUAAAAAGGAAGAAAAACCCUACGCUCGCAGAAAACCCAGAAAAACAGAGGAACGAAGAGUAAAUGCAGAGGAAAACCUAAACGUGGAAGUUUAAACAAGCCCAAGCAGUUAUCAAUGCGCGAAAUCAGAAAUAAAGAGCAAUCAAUGGAGAAAAAUCAUACCUUUGAUUGUUGAUGAGCGAAAGUUUGGGUUUUUGCGAAGGUAGGAAACCAGAGUGUUCGAAGAAGAAGAUGAAAAGUGCAAUAGAAGUUACAAAUGAUGGAACAGUGCAUGAAGCAUGCACUUUGAAAUACUUAACGUAAACUGGGAAAGCGCAAGCGACGGUAAGUCCCAGCCGUUGGAUUAAGACACGUGUGCACAUAUUAAGAAAGGUACAGGAAAGUGUCAUUUCGAGACACUAUGCACGUCCUGUCACAGGAAACCACGUAGGUCGGCAGGGCGAGAACUUAGUCUCUUCGCUAAACAAGUUGACAGCUCGAGACUGGGGGGCUUGUGUGCCGGACGGUCCUCGGACCUCGACAUUGACCGCAUUUACGGUGGGGCCCCGAAUGCUGGGUCCACUAGGAGGCUGGGAGGAUAGGUCAACAUCUCGCGAAACACACGAGUGAGGGUAGCCGAGGAGGGGGCGGCGUUGAGGUGAAAAGGGUGGUUUCCAAGACACACUCCAGUCAUCAGUAAGGGAGAGACCUAAAUCACGGGGGGUCCAUGCAUGGAGUGUGGGCGGCAGGGUAGGGUGCGACACAAUCAAAGAGCUGUUGAAUCAAGUGUGUUCAAGCUUUGAAAAAUCCAAACCCUUUGAAGGUUGAUGGAAGGCUGGAUGUGCUUGUUGUUGCUGAGCUAUGUUAGAAUAGGAUCUGGGGUAGAUUAUCUGUGUUAAAUCCACUCUUGAUUGAAUUCAAAGCUUAAGCAUUCUCAAACCUUUUAAUUGAAAGUGUUUUUCAAACUAAGUGAAAAACAACUUGUUGUUUUGUCGAAACAACCGAUUGUUUUAUACUUAGGUGUUUUUAUAAAGGUUGAAAACUGUUUUUGAUGGUUGACUUGCUGUCAAACCAAAACAACCGAUUGAUUCGAGCAUUCAGCCGAUUGUUUGUUUUGGACCAUAACAGAAAACUGUUUUGUGCUUUGACUGAGCUUUAAAUGAUAUUAUAACUGAAUACACUCCAGUUUUAAAUGCUUUGACCAGUCUUUGAAUGCAAUAAAUAGUUUGUUCAGAUUUUGUAACAAACAAGAACUUAUUUUUAAUCAAAGAAAAACAGAUUUGAGUUUUUCACUGAUUUUCCUUUUGAAGAGUUGGAGAUUGCUUUGAGAUUGCUUUGAUCAAGAGAGUGUGAUAUAGGAUUUUCAUCUUGUAUUGAUUUCAAAUCUUUUUUGUAACAAGUGUAAUCCUUCUGUACAUUGAAGAAACUCUGUGUGUGAAGCUGAGAAGUGUUGUGUGUUCUUGAGGUUGUCAAGAUCAACAUUCUUAGUUGUGUUUGUGCUGAGCCAAAGGAAGUGUGUGUCUUGAGGGGAUCAAGGUCACUUCUUUGGUGGUGUUGUAAGUAAUCUAGGGUUGAUUGCUUAGUGGAUUCCGCAGUGGUUUCUGGGAAGACUGGAUGUAGCUCUUGGUUUAAGAGUGAACCAGUAUAACUCCGUGUGUACAAUCUCUAUCUCUCUAUCCCUUGAACUCUUUAAAUUCAGUUUAUAUUUGUGAACUAGUAUAAACAACCGAUUGUUUUUAUGGUGCUGUGCUAAAUUGCUUUGUGUUUUUGGCAAACUGAUUUCUUAAUCAAGUUUUCUCGAAGUAAUUUCAUUCUAGACUUAAAAGUUUGCAAAAACCCUCUUUAAACCAUUCACCCCCCCCCCUCUAGUUUAAAACCAUACAUUCUAACAAGAGCCACUGGGAAAGAGACGACCUGUGAGGGUCACAUUCUAGGGUGAUUUGCAUGCAUGGUACGUGAGCAGCUAGGGCACUCCUAGGGCGGAUGAUCCCAGAGAUUGGGUGCAUGAGUUGGCACCCAAGCAGUCAUCCCGCGCCAACUGCACUUUGGAAAGGGAGUCUUAUGCACUAAAGGCCCUCAGAGCGGGUGUUAGUGACGCUAAGGCAUACCUACAGUAAGGCUAGUUACAGUUAGCGAAAGUGGCAAAAACACUAGAGUAUAUAAAGGGUAACAACCAACGUAAUAAGGUACGCAUUUCUAAUGCAAGUAACACACAGAGAGAAUACACACACACAAAGCUCUUAGAGUUAAGAGUUUUUUGGUGUUUCUUUGCCCGAGAGUUUGACUUGAGCGUCAGAGUUUAAACGCCUGCGAGGGCGCCCUUUGUCUCUUUGUUUCAGGUGAUUCUGUCGGAGGUAAGGCACGUAGAGACGAAGGGAUUCUUGAUCGCAAGGGUGUCUUAAGUGCACAAAGACAUUUAGGUCAACCGGCGGGAACAAUAUGGUUCUUAGUGAGCCUCCCUCUUGCAUGAGAACGCCAAGGUCAAGACAGUAAGGUUCCCAGAUAAAAUCCUCCUUUGCCUCUAUACGACAAAGGAAGGUCAGUAAGUGAACCUCUCCCUUGGAUUAGAAACACCAAGACUGGGAAUAGUACGGUUCUUAGUGAGCCUCCCUCUUGCGUGGGAACGCCAAGGUCGAGAAGAGUAUGGUUCCCAGAUUAAAAUCCUCCCCUGCCUCUAUACGGCAAGGACGAGGUCAAUAGGCAAACAUCUCCUUUGGGUUAGAAACACCAAGAUUGGAAAUAGUAUGGUUCUGAGUGAGCCCCCCUCUUGCGUGAGAACGCUAAGGCUCAUAAUAGAAUAGUUACCAGUUAAAUCAUCCCUUACCUCUAUACAGCUAGGACGAGGUCAGUAAAGGAGAACCUCUUCCUUGUCUUGUAAGGCAAGGUCAGUAUGGUUCCCAGUUAUAUGUCUCCCUUACCCCUAUGUGGAAAGGUCGAGACCAGCUAAGUGAGUCUCUCCCUUGUCUUGUAAGACAAGGCCGAAAAUAGUGAGGAGUGUAGGGGUUUUGAGGGGUUUAACGUAUACGAAGAAGCGCAAGCGGCAACGAGCCUUAACCGUUGAUCCUGCCACGUGUAUGCUGAUUAAAAAAGUAUGGUGAAACGUCACUUCAGUGCCCUGUUCACGUCCCGUCACCCUAGCAUCACGUAGGUCGUCGUGGGUGAUCACUUAACCUCUUUGCUGAAACAAGUUACAGCUCGAGCCUGGGGGGCUUGUGUACUGGCCAAACCUCGGACAUCGACUGAAGAGAUCGGCAUCAGACAUCAGUCAUAUUAAUGGGUCACGUAGGUAGCCCCCAGAAAUACUAAUGAGUUAUUAUCCAUACAAGAGAGGGACCUAAGUCACGAGAGGAUUCAUGCAUGUGGUGUGAAUAGCACGUUCAGGUCUAGCAGAAGUAAAUAACCCUUGGAGACGCUAAGGCCCGUUAGGGUGAGGGUUUCCAAGGGUAGACUGCAUGCAUGACACGUGAAUACUUAGGGCACCUAUAGAGCAGAUGGCCCCGCAGCGCUGGUACAUGAGUUGGUACCCUAGGAGUCGUGCUAUUAGAGAUUUUGCACUCCAAAAGAGUCAAGUCUUGUGACGCGGCUGUGCUAAGCUUGUGCAACGGGUCACAUAAUGCCUCACAGUAACCCUAAUUCCACUAAAGGAAAGAUACUCGUGGGAGAGGGAGUUGACCUAGAUACAACAUAAAGGGUGGUAAAAACCCUAGAAAAGGUACGUCGUUUCUAAGACUGAAACUGCUCUACAUACUUUACUGUUUCUUAGCAUAGUACUGACUUGAUUGUCAGAGUGCAAUCAACAGGUAGGACCCCCAUCUAUUUCAACGGAGUCACUCUUAGCUAUCCAAAAAGACAGCUGAAACCACUAGAAAAUAGAAGGAACCACCAUCUGUCUUCGAAGUCAACAACGACUAAGUCAACCGACGAGAACAAAUCUUAUAAACAUGUACCACACCUGAAAAUCUUAACUUUACUGUUAGACUAGAAAAAUAUUGUUAAGCCUAUUUUGAGCUUAAUUCGAAAUCUUGAAAUUUAAAUGAACCUAUUUGAAUAUAACGGGCUAACUAAUCAUUUAUCUAGUUAAAUCAUUAUUUUUUUCUAGUUAACCCCAAAUUUUUAUUAUUUAAAUAUUAAAUAUAUGAGAUUGCAGUGCAGUUCUUAAAACAUUUGUUGCGUUAAAACAUAGAAAUUUUACCUUGGAAGUGUUAAACCCUUUGGCAUUGUGGAAUUUGAAGGAUAACACAAUUCUUAUUUAUCUAUUAUUUUAUCUUCUUCUUCUUCUUCUUCUUCACUCUGAGACUCCGAGUGAGUGUGUAUGAGUUGGGGUAGCCAUGGGGAGUUCACGAGAGCGAUUGGUGAAGGCGGUGAAAAAGUUCGUGGAUGUUCGGUACAAGGUUUUCAGCAAUCGUUACGGUCCAACCAUCAUCGACAUAUUGGACUUCCCAAUUAAGGUUGUCUUGUCUCCCUUCACUCUCGCCUUCGACAUUGCCGGCUCUGCGCCUCGCGGCUUCGGCGUCCCCGAACUCAUCUCCAAGCUCUCUGCCACUUCCGUCUUCGUCAGUCUCUUUCCCUUUUCCCUAUGCAAUUUUCUUCUCUCUCACUUUUUCUCGCUAUUUAUCUAUUGUUUUGUACAAUAUGAUUCCCUAAUUUCUGGAGGAAGUGAUGAUUACUGGUAGCCGGAUUGCCUCUGUAGAGAUACUUGUAGAAGGCACAUGUGGUCUUGAAAACUAUUAUUUUCACUAUCCUGCAUUUAUGUAGUUAUAUAGAUAUAGACAGGAAAGUAAUUGCUGUUGUUUUUCCAGUUUCUGAAAAAAAAAAGUUAGAAUGAAGAAGCUGAAAACAAUGUAAUAUUUUGGUAAUGAUUAGUGAAAUUGAAAAUGAAUAAGAAAGGAAUUAUGUUAAACCAAAUAAGUAUUUUUGGAAGCCAUUUUACUUUUUAAAUUUUUUAUCAUUUGGAUUAUUGAUGGGAGUUGUAUUCUCUGGAAAUUUUAUCUUGUUAGUUCUAGGUUCAAUUUUUGUUUUAUUUUUAUAAUGAUAGAUGUUGCUUCAUGGCUUGGUUGUAGGCUAUAGCUGCUCUUGGAACUUAUGACAUUGCAUUUGAGCUGGGGAGGAAGGUGCUAUGUCAAAGGUGCUGUUUGUAUUCCUUGAUUGUGGUUUUGUUGUGUCACUUGAAUACAUGAUACCUUGAAUCUCUUAUGAGUUUAGUGUUGCUCAUUGACUUUUGUAAACUCUAACUAAAUGUGUGUCUCAAGAACAGGAAUUGUAAUACAUGUAGUGGAUGGCGGGCCUUGCGGUGUACAAUGUGCAGAGGAAGUGGGAGGGUGCAUUAUCAAGUCAAGAAUUACACCUUGAAGAGGUAUGUGACUCUCCAUUUGGAUAAAUUUAGAGGUGGCGGUGAGUAUUACUAUGUAAAUGUGGUUUGUUUGGUGCUCUUGUUGAAAUUUUUAAUAGAACCCACAAACAAUGAAACUUGCAAAAGUUAUUUCAAGAUCAUAAAAGUUGAGAUUCUAGUUGAAUUAGAAUACGUUGCAAUCUUCGUCAUUUGGGGUCAUGCAUGAUUACUUAUGUAGUUUGUCCAAGCUUCCAAGAAAACUACGUAAUAAAUACUCACACAUACACAAAGUUCAGAUGGGAAAAAAGCUACUCCAUCAAAUCCUUAUUAUAAGACACUGUUAACAGAAUUAUAACUGUUUAAUGAGAAAACGAACACAGUCUUUGGGACUUGAAAAUGUUGUAAUAGCUUUUCAUUGGGAAAUACCUGAAUUAUAACUCAGCCUAUAUCUCUCUUUUUUAAAGAAAAACCCCAAAGUAGAUACCAAAAACAUUUAGUAAAGGAAAACCAGUAAAAAAGAUAAAUGUAUCAUUGGAGUAUAAAGUCACGUAUAAAUUGGACCAUAUAGAGCAUGUACAAGGUGUCUUAUAAUAAGGACCGGAGGGAGUAUUUAAACACAUACUAGUUUUAUGCCAAUGAAUUUUUCUAAAAUGGUGGUUGACCUAAAGUCACACUAAAUUAAUAUAUUAAUAUCUGAACUGCAAUGAAAAUAUCUGCUGUCAAGUAAGGAAAUGUGUAUCUGAUUUAUAUAAAAUGGGCAUAAGAUAGCUCAGUAUAUUUUUAGUGGAUAACUCUCUUCUAUUUUGAUUUCUUUUAGUGCACGUCAUUUAUUAUUUUGAGAUUCUCCUCCAAUUUGUAUACACCUUAUAUGUUCUUCAACUUUUAACUUUUAGUGGAGAGAAGCCAACUGCUGAAUCUGUAGCAGACGCCAUUGCCAACAAUCGGGCUGAGUUGGUGCAUCUACCGUCAUCCUUGGAUUUUCAAAACCCACUCCCUUCAAAAGAGUGUCCAACUUGUGAUGGAACGGUGGGAGUUAAAUUCCAAGACAAUUUGUCUUUUCAUCCAACAUUUUGUUUUCAUGGAUAGGUUCAUUCCCGCUGAAGUAGUAAUUCAUGAAUAAACUUUAGUCCUCCCCCUGCAUGCGCACACACCUACCCACCAUAAAACAAUUCUACUUUGAGAUCAAUAGUUAGUCUCAUAUGUUCUUCAUCUGGUAGCUUUAACAUUGCAAUGUGUUUUGACCUUUUUUUUUGAAGAAUUUAUUUCACUUUACACAGGGUGCAAUGAGCUGUCCUGAAUGCAAACACAGAUUGGUGCAUGUUAGGAUCUCAGCAGAUGAUGUGGGUAUUGUUGACUCUUUGGUGCUUGGUUCUUUUCCCAUUAUUGAAUUUAACUCGUUCAUAUUUGAUCUUUAAUAUUACCUGUGAAGUUUUAAUAAUCUAUUUAUAAUAUGUAGCCAAAUGUGGCUUUGGCAAUUAAACUAAUCUUUUGUUUCCACACCAGUAUUUUGAUUGAUAUGUCACUUAGUGAUUCAAUACUAUAUUUUCUCGCUUUCUCUUAACCAUUUUUUACCCACAUCAGCAACGGCAAUUUUUAUUUUAAUUUCUUAAAUGAAUUAGAAUCCAUCACUUACAUUGUAUAAUAACCAUUGAUUAGUGGAAACAGUGAGUUCUUUUGAUGUAAUUAUACUUGUAAUUGCUUCAAAAUAAAAAAUUUGCUUCCUCAACAAAUAUUUUCUCAAACACUUGGUCGAUUUCUCUUGUAACAAUGACAGUAUUUAAAUCUUGCAAAAAUCUCAUAACUUUUUAAAGAUUUAUUGGAUUAUUUAUUUUACUUCUCAAUGAUAUGUAAAUUAUUAAAGUUAAAAUACAUGCUAUCGGAUAGAUGCUAAAAUUAUCUUAUUGAUGAACUGUUUAACAAGUUGGUGUAAUGCUGGUUCAUAUUAUUUUAAGCAUCCUUUUCUUUGGGCAGAUUAUGGAGCCCCCUUGGCAAGCUUAUAAUGUCUUGAAAAAAAUGGAUUACCCAUAUGAGGUUAGUGUUAUUUCUUCUAAGAUCAAAUUUGAUUCUAUUAAAUAAGAAAUUCUAUUGUCAUUAUUUAUUAUUGACAAUAUAAUACAGAUUCCUCUCAUAUGCAACUGAACAAACCUUGAUCCUAGGCAUUUGUACUCAUUUCUUUACUUUUGUGUGCAUUGGAAUUCAUGUUUCUCUUAUAUUAGCAUUUCAUGCAAACUUUUGUUGGUUAAAUAAGUGUGUCAAGAGGAGACAUAAAAUAUAAAAUUUAUUCUACUUCUGAUUUCUCACUCUUUUUUUUGACAUUGAAAUCAUUAGUAUAUGUUUUGUUUUUUCCUCUUUUCAGCACAUAGUUCACAGCAUGUUUUGUUUUCUCUUAUAUUAGCAUUUCAUGCAAACUUUUGUUGGUUAAAUAAGUGUGUCAAGAGGAGACAUAAAAUAUAAAAUUUAUUCUACUUCUGAUUUCUCACUCUUUUUUUUGACAUUGAAAUCAUUAGUAUAUGUUUUGUUUUUUCCUCUUUUCAGCACAUAGUUCACAGCAUGAAAGAUCCUAGUAUUGCUGCAUUUUGGCUGAUUACAUUUCCUCAGAUCAUGGGUGGAUUUACCUAUGAUGAUGAUGUGAAGCAGAAAAUAUGGUGGCAAUACAAGGUUUACAUUUCUAUUCCUUUCCAUAGUUCAGUACAGUUCAUCUACUAAUUAUUAUCUUAUGAUAAAUGAUUGCUUGGUAAAAGAAAUGAUGAAAUUACAUACCUGCUUUAAACAAAUUUUAAUUGCAAAUUUGUCAUGAAAUAUGAAUAUAAGGUGAAAAUACAAUGUUAAGGCCCAGGAUUAAACAAAAGAAAUGUGUUUUUGCUUGUUUACCCUUAUAUUUUGGUUAGGAAUGUGGUCCACAAGGAUAAUAAUAUACAACAAAAGUAACAUAUUUCUGUCCUUGCUACUUUCAGAUGGAUGAGAAUAAUUUUCAAUGACCUGGUUUUCCUUUUGUUCUGCAUGCUUGCAAGUGAAAAUUUAAUUUCCUCUAUUUUCUACUUCUGUCAAUUCAUUUUUACUCUCCUUGAGCUCAGUGGAUCGUGCACCUCAGUUCAGAGAUUGGUAUUUGUAGAAUUCUAAUUUUGUGAAAAUACAAGAAACAACUGAUCUGAAUAUAUGAAUCUGUCAGCUUGUAGCUUUUUGAAGGUUUCAUCCCUUUUUCCAGCACCAACAUAGUUUUCCAAGCACCUAUGCUGUUUCAUCUGCGUGUGUGUGUUUUAAUACAGAAGGAUUCAUGGGACCAAUUGACUGAAUAAUCCUGUGUAUUUCUCUAGCCGGCAAACAUAAUGUGUUGGAAGAUUUUCUUUGUACUUAGUACUUUGACCUGUAUGCCAGUAACUAUUUGGAAUUUCAGAUUGCUUAGGAAAAUGGUGCGGGAAAUUGGAUUUAAUAUUUAAAAUGGAAUUGAAAAAAAGGGAAUGAAGGUCAUAACCCUAUGAUUAUACAACCUUUCAUUCGAUUAACCUUUUCAAAAGUUAAUCAGACAUUAUGCAGCCUAAAUCAUCAUCUGUCAUGUUCAUUCUUUAUAGAAGUUGGUCAACUCUAUGUCUCUAAAUAUAUCUAUUUUCCUUUUCCUUUUGUGAGUGAAUUUAGGAAUCUAGGCGGUAUGAUCAACUCCGAGAUGUGGUGGCCAAGAGGAAACCUGGGUGGGAGUAUCUGCAGGAGGUAAGCUUUUCAUCCUUUGCACUAACCAUGGCUAUCUGGUAAUGCCUAUGCUCAUAUUUUAGAUGUGGAAGUCACAAGCGAUAUAAAUGUUGGGUAUGCUGGGGAUUAGUUGCUAAAAUAAAUGGACGAAAAGCUUAUUCUUUUACUAUUUUUCUGAUAAUUAUGGUAGUUUUUUAUUAGUUGGAUGCUAGAUAUGGAGUUAUUUAUGUGGUUGAUUGACGGUGGCAUUCAUCUUAAAUUUAUGUAAUUUUCUCUGGAUUAAAUUUUACAAUGUUUGUUUAUUUUGAACUGAUGUUAUCAUAGGCCUUGAUAUCUAUUGAUCCUGACCGUGCAAGGGAUGAUCCUGUCAUAGUGAAAAAUGUCCCUUACUAUAAGGCUCAGAAGGCACUGGAGACAGAGGUUAUGAAGCUUGAUCCUCCAGCAAGACCGUCAAAUUGGGGUGUACGUAUUUACUAUCUACACGUAACAUUUGCUAGUUAUUCCUUCAGUUAAUGUGCACAAUUUUCUUUCAAAUUAAUUUAUAAUGUGUUUUUGAUAAUUGCACUGCUUGAAUUCUUUAUCCCCAGUUGGUUAGAAUGCGCAUAUAGACAGUUGCAUAUACUGGAUUGACAUGGUCAGUAUGACUUAAAAAACAAGCUGGCCUCUAAGCUGGUCUAAACAGGCCUCUUUAUGUAUUUGCAGUGAAUAAGUCUAAUGUGGGUGAUCCACCAGGAUGGGCUAACUCGGUUUAAAUAUUUUUGGCUUCACAAAUUUGUUAACACUGUACAAGGAUGACCCUUUUGAAGUGCAUUCUACUACAGAACACUUCCGAUGUUUUCUCCUUUUAUUUCUUUAAGCUGUUCAAUGGAAAAUCAGUGGGGCGUAAACCUUUUGAAAUUGCGGCGAGCCUCUGGCUCAAAUGCGUAAAAGUGAGAAUAUAAAUUUAACAGCAUGCAAAAAGGGUCAUAAGAUAUUCAUAAAAUAUGCCAUCACAACUUUUCACUACAAAAUAUAUUGUUAGGUUGGUCACUCCCACUUCCAUUUGAAAAAGGAAAAUUAUAAAAGUAGUGUAGGUUGUAGGCAUAUCCUUCUCAGAAAUGAGACAUAAACUGCAGAGAAUUGGCAGGAGCUGGACCUUCCAUUGAAUGCAUCGUCUUGGAGUGAGGAGGAUCUCAAAAAUCCAGAAAAGUUCUAUGAAAUGACUGUUCUUCUUAAUGCCCAAAGAGAAAUCUCUGAUAAGAUCUUGGAUGCACAGUGGGAAACUAAAUGGCGUCAGGACAAGGUUGGUGGUUUUUUUGUCUUUACAAUUAGUUACUUUGUUUAUGUUGAAAGGAUCAACUAAUCAAAAUCGACAUAUGCUGUAAUCAGGCAUUUCAUAUGAUGAAAUAAUAAUGUUAAAUUGUGUGUACAAUUGUCUUGUCCCAAGAUCACACUCUUUUUUUUUAAUCAGCAUCAAGAUCACACUCUUGGCCUUUUUAGUUUACAAUGUUCAUGUAUGCUUGGGUUUUGCUUCCAAUUCAAGAUUUCAAGCUGUCUGUGGUUUGAGUUGUGUACUUAACCGCUCUCAGAACUAUUACAUACCUUUAAUAUAUGUUCAGUUUGUGGAAUAUUAUAUUAUUCUUGCACACUUUCAAAUGUCGCUGUCCAUCAAUCUUUUGUGCAAGUGACUGACUUAAUUUCACCUUCAGUUGAAUGAGAUGUUGGAGGCCAAGGUGAAGCCAUUCAUUCAGGAUAUAGACAACGCAGUUCUUCCUGAGCCUAUUUUAAUAAAACCACAAAAUCAGGAAAAGGUCUCUCUUUUCUCUGUUAUUUGCGUUCGAACAUUCAUUGAUUAUGCAUGUUGCUCAAGAUAGACAACUUUUCUAUUUUAAUUAAUUUGUACAAUCUCUUCUAUAUUUGUUUUUUCAAAAACUGAUUUUUAAUUUAUGUAUAAACUAAUUUUACUUUAAGAAUUUUUUUCUUCAUUUUUCCAUGUUUUUUUAUAUUAUAAGUGCUUUUGGAGAAAUUUUAUCGAAAACAUGUCCAAAUUUAUUAGCUUUCAUUUUGAAGUUUUCAUUUUUCCAUUUUGAAGUCUACUGUAUUUUUAGAUUACGCAAUGUGCAGUUUGUUGCAUGACUGAAUUUUCUGAUUGAAUUUUGUAAUUUCCACUAUUCCUUUCAUCGUGUAGAAGAUACGAAGUUAAACUUCAGAGCUGAAUAAACAUUUAGAAGUUCAUUAGUUGUUCGUCUUUGAAAUAUAAUAGGAGGAAGUUAAUGUUUCCUUAUUAUUAUCAUGUUUUACUUUCUCAGCAAUAUCCCUCUCCUAGUUUUAGGUACAGUGAUGAUGUGAUUUUCUUACUUUGCAUGUUGCUCCUGCAGAGACAACGGCGAAGGUGGUUUUUCUUUUGACAACAGGGACAAAGCUACUAUAAAUAUGCUCCAGCAUGCUUGUUUGUAGUCCUACUAUUUUUUUGGCAUGAUCUGUAACUAUGCAUAUUGUUGGAAGCCUGGAUUCAGUGUGUAUCAUGAAGCACACAUGUUGUGCCUCUGUUUUGGGCAUCAUUUUGUGGAGGAACCAAUUGUUUUUGACACAAGUAAUACAACUUGUGGAAAAAAGUCCAGAGAGACAUGCAAGAAGAAACAAAAACCUUUGCAGAUGUUACAUUUUGUUGUUGUGACAGACAUGUUCCGAAGAUACCAUAUUUGGGUUAAAUUCCUUUCAAUCCUGUCUUACUGAAAUUUCCUGUAAUCCAAUCCUUCAUGUUGUUUACUCUCAACUGUUCUGUUCACUGCUGAUAUAUUUGAUGAUUUUUACAUUCACCUACGCAUUACACACACUAACACGUAGAAUCAAAUAUCAAAAUCCACUAUUUGAUUCUUAUAGUGUCGCUAAUAAGUAAUUUUGAUCAUUCUAAAAAAUAAAUUACACAUUUGGUUAAAUUUUUUUUAAUUAAGUUAUUUUGAUCUGAUAUUGGUAUAUAAUUUGAUUUCUACGUAUUUUCAAUGCUAAUAAAUGCUACAAUUUAUUAUUAAACAUUAUUGUUAAUGUUCUAUGUAAACAAGUAAUUAGCAUUGUUAUAUAUUAAUAUUUUUAUUUGAAAUGUAAUAUCAAAUCAAUUGAAAUUAUAAUUGUUUAAUUUGAAAAUCAAAUAAUCAGAAGUACAGUUAAAUUUUUUGUAACUUCAAAUUGCUGUUUGCUUUCAUACACAUGCAUAUGCAGGCAUAAAUCUAUGUUGGAAAUUCAACUGUCUUUAUCAAGUUUUAAAUUUUAUGCCAAGAAAAAGUCAGUGGCGAUUUUUUUUCUUCUAAACACUGAGAUAGCUUAGGAUUUAAAGAUAAGUAUGAUUGACUCACUUUUCAAAAUCUUUUGUUUAGUAUUUACUUGUGUGUUUUGUUUUCAACUUAAUCUAAGACCAACCUUAAAGUUCAUAAAGUAAUAUUCAGAUAUUUCGUUUUACGCGUUUAAAUAUUUUUAUAGAAAAAUAUAUUAGAGAUAUUUUAUUUUUUAUAAAUUUUUAUUCUGUUUUUUUUUUCUGUAUUUUUUCAAGCAUCUUAUAUUUUGUCACCUUUUAUACAACUUUAAACGUCGAAUUGUCAUGUUUUAUUAAUUAUUAUUUAAUAUUUUGUGUUUUCAAAUUUCUAUUCAUUUAAGAAAUUGUGCUAAAAUAUUUCAAUUUAGUGGUAAAUAUUUCUUUUAAAAUUUUGUAACUCAUACUUUUACUUCAGUUUUUCAGUUAUUCUCUUCAUAAUUUUCAUAUUUUUUAUAUUCACUCUUUUACAACUUCAUUUCAUUUCAAUUAAGAUAUUUUCUGGGAGAAAGUAAUAUUAAAAGUAAGGUUUUAAAAUUAUUUAGAAGGUAUAUNNNNNNNNNNNNNNNNNNNNNNNNNNNNNNNNNNNNNNNNNNNNNNNNNNNNNNNNNNNNNNNNNNNNNNNNNNNNNNNNNNNNNNNNNNNNNNNNNNNNUAUAUAUAUAUGAGAUUUUUCAUUAUAAUCGUUUUUUGGUGUACACAAAUUUUUUCCAAUUCUAUCCUUAUUAAUAUAUCAUAUUUUAUUAAUACAAUGGAGUAUUUUGUCAUUUCAUAUGAAUUACUUAAAAUAUAAAAUUAUUUUUUAAUUUUUUAAAUUAAUAUUAAUGUACAGUUUGUAUAUGACUCUCUCACUCUUUUCUUAUUUCCUUGUUUUAAGGCAACAAAAAGAGUAUUCUCUCACACAUUUCUAUACAAAAUCUCACAUAUAAAAUAAAAGAACCUUCACUUUCAAUCACUCUCUGCACUCUAUUUUUUUUUUAAAUUUCGACUCACCCUAAAUUAUUUCUGUAUGUAUGUUACAUUUCUAUCAUCUUAAAAAAAUUAAGUAAAAGAAAAAAAUAUGGAUAUACAAACGCCAUUGCGUCUUUGUUUCCACUAAUAUUAAUAAUAAUGUGCGUUAUAUUAGAUAGUUUUUUUGUUACAUAAUAGUAUAUAAUUUUAUUUUAUAUUAUUUUUAAUAAUAAUGUAAAUUAAAUUUAUUCAAAAAUAUAAUAAAUUGUUAAUAUUUGUCCUAUAAAUAUUUAUAUCUGGUAAUAUGUAAAAGUAGUGUGUAGUUGUAUGAUAUAUUUUGUAAUAUUUAUAUUUAUUAAUUGAUAUGUAUAAUUUUAUAUUUAUAUUAUAAAAAGAAGAUCCUAAGAACUUGAGUAGUGUGUUCACAUGCUUCAUCUGCAUUUCCACUCUUACUUUCCAAAUAGCCAACUCGUGACACACCUCACUUUCACACCAAAUAGCUUACACCUACUUUAAAAAUUUACCUUGUCAUUUCACAUAACCAAAUAGCUUAUUAAUUGUUAGACAUCUUAUGUUAGAUUAGACACCCUAUUUUAUUUAUUAAAAUUUUUAUUCUCUAGAUACAUUUAAUUUAGAGUAUAGAAUUUUCAUCAAUCAAAUUUUAACUAAAUGAUUUAUGGAAGAAUGAGUUACACUUAUACUUUUUUAUAUUUUUUUUAGUAAUUCAUAAUCUAUCAUAUUUGAGAUUUGAGUUUGUUUAAAUUUUUUUGUUAUGUUAUUGGUAUGAACAUAAUGAGUUAGAUUUAUAUUUUUUUAGCAAUUCAUAAUCUAUUAUAUUUGAGAUUUGAGUUUGUUUAAAUUUAUUUGUUAUGUUAUUGGUACGAACAUACAAUGUUCGCAGCAUAAGAUUUUACAUCAACUAAAAAUAAGAUCAACGUAGUAUAGACAAAUUUCAUCUUACAAGAUAAAUUAGACUUUUAAUUUUAAUAAAUUUUAUAUUAAAUAAUUAUAAACCGUCCAAAUUUCAUUGUAUUAUAUUAGGGGUAUUAAGUUUGUGUUUUAUCCAUAUAUUCAUGUAUGCAAGAGGAGUUCGUUUUUAUAUUCUCUACUUUGUUUUAUUUAUAAUUUUUUUACUUCAAAUAAUUUAUAAUCUAAUUAUUCAAAUGUUUGUUUUAUUUAUAAAUUUGUUACUUCAAAUAAUUUAUAAUUUAAUUAUUCAAAUAUCUGUAACUUACAAAAUUUGUAUUUUCAUUACUGAUAACUUUAUUAUUUAGAAAGUUUCCUAUUUAUUUAUUAUUUUAAAAUUAUUUUUUAACAAAUGAACUAAAUCAAAUAGUAAUAAUUGAGAUUCCUUAAACAUUGAAGUAAGUGUGAUAUUUAGUGUCAUUAUUAUGUUAUUCCCUUGAUAUAUAUCUAGAGUACUUACUUGAUCGUCGGAGAACCUUUUGCAGGUUUACUCCUGAUCGAGCGCUAAGGAACUGAGGAACUGAAGAGUUGAUAUCUGAAGAAGGGAAAAAGAUGAAUAACCGAAGCACGAGAGAGGACGACCGAAGGAACAAUUACUUGAAGAGCGACCAACACCAACAACAAUUGUCAUGCCAAUCUCAGGUACUAUUUAGGCCCACUUUGUCUAUACAAGUACAUUUGACACCCAACGUUGGACCUAAAUAGAGUCAAAGCAAACAACAAUGGUUUCGACAAGGUAGAUGAUGAACAAUAGGAUGCUAGAAGUGGAUCAGAUCGCUAUUUUCCAGGCUCUACAGAAAGAGGUGGAAUAAAUAUGCUAAAAGAACAAAGACGAGGUUACCCUUCGUCGAAAGAAUGAGGAGGAGAUGUGAAUCCUUAAGGAACAACAUGAACAGAUGAAGCGACAGCCAGUUGAGCCCAUAUUUGGAGCCGAGCGUAGGUAGCGUAGACAAACUCCUCCUCAAAGGAGUGAACACACACAAAAUCACGAGAGAACGACUACUACUCGAACUCAGACUUAUCAAUCUUCUAGACCGCAUACAGAAUGAACAAUCAUCAUAGAAGACGAGUACGAAGAUACCACAAAUCCGGACGAACACAUUGAUGUAUACAAAAUGCAGAUGGACCUCUACACAUCAAACAAGUUGGUGUGGUGUUGGGUAUUCCCCACUUCGCUGAAGGGGGAAACAUUCAUUUGGUUCACCAGGCUUCCAUUCGACUCAGUAGAUAGCUUCAAAACCUUAUUAUCUAAACUCGGUACUCAGUUUGCAAUUAGCCGACCGCAUCAUCUGACAUUUAUAGCACUUGUCAACAUACAACAAGAGAAAGGAAAAUCACUUAGGACAUUCAUGGAGAGAUUUAGCAAAUUAUCCAUGAACAUCAGGAAUGUCAGCCUAGAAGUGGCCAUCAUUUGGCACGACCCUUAGGUCAAGCCUGUUUGCUGAUAGUCUAUGUAAAAAACCAACAAAAAACUUAGAUGAAUGGAGGCAAUGACUGGCUAAAUUUAUGCAAUUAGAAGAAUUGCGUGACAAUUGCAGUAAUGUUCGAGCGAAAAAUGGAGGAGAUAAAGGAAAAGAGAAGGAUCGUGGUGGUAGGCAAGGGCAUAGUAGAUCGAACAGGUACAAAGAACAUCGAGGUCCUCAAUUUCACACUUAUACCCCUUUAAAUGUCGAUAGGGGAACAAUCAUAGAUGAGACACUAAACGUCAAUCUCAUCUCGACAUUUUGAAAGCUGCAAAGCCCGAAGGAUGCGACACAUCUAAACAAUGUUGAUACCACCACAACUUUGGCCACAUGGUCGAAGAGUUCCAAGCAUUGAAAGAAAAAAAAUGAGGAACUUAUUCAAGCUGGGCACUUCCACAAGUUCGUUUAAGGCGCAAACAGGAGUUCCUAUAAAUCCCCCCAAAGGGAGAAAUAUCAUCGAAGGGAUGGGCGAAGGACUAUGGCUGCUAAGGUACUUAGAGCAAAAUACUAUUGGCCGACCAUUCAGAGCGACUAUGCCGAGUUCAUGCAAAAAUGUUUGAAAUUCCAAGAGUAUGACACAUUAUGUCAAGAGUAUGUCCACUAACGAUUAAUGAAUAUUUAAUAGAAAAACUUUUCUUUGACAUUCUAAAUAAUGAAAAACAAACACUUGACAACUUGUUAUAAUAAUAUAAUAAUAUUUUAAAUUAAAAAAUAAAAUAAAAAUAAUAAAAAUAUUAAUUUAUUAGGAUGUUAAGUGUAUGUUUUCAGUGUAGAUAGUGUCAAUAUAUUAUCUUCCUAUAUAAUAACUACAUAUCUAAUAAAUAUCUAUAUUUUAGGUAUUGAGUAGUACAUAUGUACCUUCCUAAAGAAGGAAUGAAUAAAUACGAGAUUAUAAAGAAGAGUGACAAAAGAGAAUAAGGAGAAAGAAUGAUCUACCUUAGGAUCUCCAUUCUUCUUGCCUUGAACAACACAUUGUGAGGUGGAAGUAAUGUAUCUUUUAAGACUUUAAGUGAAUGAAUCUGAUGGUAUAUAUAGAAGUGUGGUGUCAUAGGUCAAGUCUGAUUAUAAGCCUCUAAGACUCGAUGCAUGAGACUAGGAGGAUAUGUGGUAUCAUAGGUAGGGACGAUUUUGACGGGAUAGGAGUCAAUCUCAGAAAAAUAUCUAAUUGGAGAUUAAAUAUUUAAUAGAGAAAUCUUAUUAAUAUCUCCUCCACAUUCAAGAUAAUUUUAAUGCAAAAUUAAAGCAUUAUAAAGAUAAAAUUGACAUUUAGUGAAUAAAAACUAAAGACAAAACCAAAAAAAAAGGAGAUAAAAGGAAAUAUACAAAUAACAAAAACUUAAUUAAAAAAUUCCUAUAUUUCUUAUUUAAACUAAAUACUCUAGUUAAUAUUCAUAUUUUUUGGUAGAAGAAAUUUAUAGAAUCAUAUAUACAAAACAACUGGUGUUCUUGGCCAUAAGGUACUGUUUGAUGUAACAAUUUGAUCGAGCAAAAAACAGGCGAUUUUAUUUGACUAAGCUGCAAUUCAAAGAAAACAGUUAAGUUUUUAUCCGUGGGAGAAAACAGUUGAGUGGUUUUGUUUGGUAUUUACUUCCAGCUUCUCCAUUCAAUUUAGACUUGCAAUUCGUGAAUUUUAAAAUUGAUUGAUUAUUGAAUUGCAGAAUGAAGUAAAUGAAAUUUUGGUUGGGUAAUUUGUUGAUUGAUGAAAUGAUUGCAAUUGAAGAAAUUGACUGUGCGUGAUGGAAUAAAGCCUAUUUGCUAUCUCAUAGUAAUUGUGUGUGAUUUGCUUUUAAUUUCUAAAACAAUUUCUGGUGGGCUUGCAAUUGAAAUUGAUAAUUCCAAUGGGGCCCACCAUAUUGGUGAAAGCUUCAGACAUGCUAUUUGUUUAUUAAAGAAGCAGCAGAUUUGUGAAUUGGUAUGAAUUUUGGUUCCAAAUUGCAUUCAAGUAGGACCCCCCAUUUUUUAACCCUUCUAUCACAUGCACUACCCUAUUCAAUUACAAUGACAAAUUUAAUUCUUCAAUUCAAUUUCCUCAAAAAUAUUUUUCAAAUUGAGUUCAUUUGACUCAAAUGAUACUUCUGAUUUUUGGUGCAAUAAUUGUGCAAUUGAAGACCAACAUUGUAUAGGUGCAUGAUUGGUUUUUGAUUUUAACUUUUGCCCUAAACCUUACUUUCCUUUAUUGUGAAAAAUCUUUUAAUACAAAACUUAUGUCUAUGCAUAUACUUCUUACCAUACAUUAAAUAACUUAGGUUCUUUAAAAAAAUGUUUAAAACCUUUGGAUACUAAAUUGUGUAAAAGGAAAGAAUUUUUUUUAAAAAAAAGAGAUGUUAAACUUGUGAUUCUUGAUGAGAAACGUAGAAUCUUAACUACAGAAGAGGAGAAAAUAGAAAAAAGAAUUAAAAAAUAGAAAAAAAUCACAAAAUAGUAGAAACAAUUCUACUAUUCCAAAAGUUACAUUAGGGGAUAUUGAGGUCAAAUAGUGUAUCUUAGUAUGAAUUAACAUUAUUAACCUCCCCUAUAAUGUAUUUUGUUUUUAAAAAAAAAGUAUAGUUUAAGUAUUUCCUAUAUGCUGAUGCUGCCCAUAUUUGUUCUAAUGAAUUUUUUCUUGAGCAAAAUUUCCGGAUCAACCUAGUAUAUAACAAGAAAAUAAUUUUCAAAAUUCUUAUUUAACUUAUUCUCUUAUUGUGGAUAGUAAAUCAUGCUACAAUCUGUGUAGUACUUAGUUAGAUCAAAUGUUGAACUUAACUAUCAAUUCUCAUCCUAAAUUUUAUAAACUUCCUUGAAUUUUUAAAGAUGAAAAUAUAAUAGUCAAGCAACAAGUCAAAUAAAAGCUUUUCAAAGGCGAGAAAAAAGUUUUGUGAUUUAGUACCAAUUGAUGCUUGUGAUAUUUUGUUAGAACAACCUUGCAUAUUUUAUCAUAAAAUCAUUUAUGAAGAUCGUACUAAUAAAAUAACUUUCACUCAUAAGAAAAAUAAGUCAUGUAUUGAGUUGCUAACUGAGAGAAAUUCUAAGAAAUAUGGCAAUCACAUAGGACAAAAAAAAUUACUUCUAAAAUCAUGAACUUUUGUCUCUAAUUUGAUAAGAAGUACAUGAAUUUUAGAAGUCAUAAUUUUCUCUAUUAUGUCUUGAAGAACCUUAUUCUUCUUGACCUUUCUGUAUAUCUUUCACUUUCUGUUUGGUGUUCAUUGUAGGUGGGUGUCUGAUCUUGGGGGAAAAACGUUAACCUCAAAUAAUAAUAAGGUUGUUAUCUUGAAACAACGAUGCACAUUUGAGAACAAAUAUUCUUAAGAGGGGGAUGGUGAAAAACCAUCAAGUCACAACAUCCACAAAAUAAGGAAGAUGAAGACCUAGAGUUUUGUUCAAUAACUUAUUUAAACGUUUGAGCCUAAUUGAAAUUUUAUCUAUCUUUUAUAGACCUAAUAAAGAGGAAAAAUCUAGGAUAAUCCGCUAGCUUCUUUCUUGUUCCUUAUUGCGGCUAAAGGUUUGGCGGGAGUGGCUAGGAUGGCAGUUGAGAAGAAUUUGAUUGAUAUCUUGGAGAUUGGAGGGAAAAAAAAGUGAAGGUAAACAUGUUGCAAUAUGCCGACGAUACCAUAUUCUUUUGCAAAAAGAAUAAUAAAAGUGUCUUCAAUAUAAAGUGGCUUUGAAUUGUUUUGAACUUUCUUUUGGCCUUGAGGUGAACUUCUUGAAGAACUGGUGGCUUGGGGGUUGAUCAGAUAACGAUCCAACGUUUUGCAGGAAUUCUCAAUUGUGAAGUGAUGGUAAUUCCUUUUGUAUACCUGGGUAUGUAGGUAGGGGGUGUCAUAAGAGACAGACGUUUUGGGUAGGGGUGGUUGACAAACUGAAGAGUAGAUUAAGCAGGUGGAAAGGUAAGUUCUUGUCAAUGGCAGGGAGGAUCUGUCUGAUUAAGUCAGUACUUUCCUCUAUUCCGUUGUUUUAUUUGUAUUUAUUCAAAAUGCUCUCUUUGGUGGCAAAUGAGAUAGUGAGAAUACAAAGGAUUUUUUUUAUGGGUCUGGGCUUCUUGGAAAAAGGUGUGCGAACUACGCAAGGCCGGUGGUCUUGGUAUCCUUGACUUAAGGGUCUUUAAUUCGGUGUUGCUCAAUAAAUGGAUUUGGCGAUUGGGAUCAGAUAAGGGUGGUUUGUGGAAGGAGAUUCUUGAAUCUAAGUACGGGGGUGGAGAGUUUUGAGAGAGGGAGGGAAAAAUAAUAAGGACUAUCUUUGGUGGAGAGAUUUGAAGGAAGUCUGGAGUUUGGAGGGCUGGGGCCAAAAUUUUGAAGAUGCUAUUAAGUGGAAGUUUGGUACAGGGAAGGAAAUUUUUUUUGGGAAGACAAUUGGGUGGGCAGUGGAGCCCUAAAGAGCAUUUCCCCGAGGUUGUUUUACUUGAGCUUGUCAAAAGCCUCUAAGGUGGUCGAGCUUGGGGUGUGGAAUAGCGGGAUAUGGGAUUGGACAUUCGCUUGGAGAAUGAGUCUUUUUGAAUGGGAAAAGCAAAUGGAGCGUCAGUUUUCCCAGGUAGUCUAAGGUGUGUGUUUUGACUUGGAAAAGGAGGAUAACUGGGUUUGGAAGGAUGGAGAGGCGUUAUCAUAUACGGUUAAAUAUGCUUAUAAUCGUUUAAGGGGGGUGGAGAAGGGGAGAAUGUCACCGUGUUUAAAUAACUUUGGAGGUGUAAAGCUAUGCCUUUUGCACUUGUUACUACAUGGAGGGUGUUGGAAAAUAAGCUAGCCACUAGGGUUAACCUGGAAAAGCGCGGGGUUGCGGUCGAAGCCCUCUGUGUAGUCUUUGUAGGAUGGAGGAGGAGUCAAAUAGCCAUUUGUUCUUCAAGUGCAGCUUUGCUUGGCUAGUGUGCAAACGUUGUUUUGCAUGGCUUGGAGUGCAAUUUGUGUCCCAUAAUGAUCCACUACUAAAUUUCUCUCAGUUUAGGUUGUGUAAUGCGUCUGCUUCGGUAAAUGAGGUAUGGGGAGUGAUAUGGACUACAAUAAGCGAGUUAAGGAAGCAUAAAAAUGGCAUAAUCUUUAAAGGAGGAGUUGUCGAUGGUUUAGAAGUGGUUGCCUUGGUUCAAGUGAAUGCUUGGUCUUUGAUUACGUCCAAGUCUCUCUCUGGAUUCUUCUCUUUUUCUGAUUGGUGUCUCGAACCUCUGGUCUGUAUGAGGAUGAUUUUUUGAUAUAUUAUUGAGUUCAGGUGCUUGUUUUUAGGGGGUUUGAUUUUUUAGUAAAUUCAGGGGUGUUUUUUUAUUCAUAGGAGUGUUUUUUUCGAUAGGAGUGAAGUGAGUCUAUUUUUUUUUGUAUAAGAGUUGGACUAUCCCUGAAGUGGUUCACAUUUAUUCAUUUUUUAUUGUCAAUAAAAAAACUCUAUUUCUCUUCAAUCUAUGAAACUGCUCUUGAGUUUUAAGGAUUCCUCAAUUCUCAUUCAUCAUCCAUCAAAAAAGAAAUCAUAAAGAAGACUACUAGAAGAAUAUUGUUUUCCAUAAAAAUAGAAUUUAAAAAAUGAUAAAAUUAAAUAAUUAAAUAAUUAAGAUUCUAAUUUAUAUGUUUUGUAUAACUUAAUUUUAAUUUUAAUUUCAAAAAUUAUAUCUACUAAACAAAAAUGGAUCUCAACGUGAUAUUUAUAAAUAAUUAAAUAAUUAUGAUUCUAAUUUAUAUAUUUAAUAUAAUUAAAAAAAUUAGAAAAUCUGAUCUUACACUUAUAAUUGUUUUUUAAUGAUGAAAUGCAUUGGAAUCACGUUUAAUAAAUCUGUUCUCUAUCAAUGAUUAAAAGAAUUUAUUAUUGUACUUGCUAAAUUUGUAAUUAUUCAAUAUAAAAUUUGGUUAAUCAGACCAUUUCAUAUGUUCUUUACUUGUACAUAUUCAAGAGAAUAUCAAUUUUAUUAGUUUUUAUUUUACAUAUAUUAUUGAUAAUUUGUUUUAAAUUAUUUUUCUAGUUUAUUUAUUUAUAAUUUUUUAUUUCAAGUAUUUUAUAAUUUCGUGACUGGCAGAAUUUGAUUUUUUUUCUGAAGAACUUUGGUAGUCAGAAAUGUUGACAAUUGACCUAUUGGAGAUAAAAUUGAAAGAGAAAAACUCAGUUAAGAAAAGAUAUAUUAGUUUAUGAAAAAGUGUACAAUUUGCUGAUAGAGAUAUCUCCAAAUUUAUAGCCAAACAUUGUAUAAAAAUUAUUGAAAUGAAUGCAAUUUCUUUUUGACAAAAGUAUUAAUCUAAAAAAAAUUAUAUUCUACACUUGAUAUGCAAUUUGUUAUCUUCUAAUUGGAUAUUAUUCUUGACCAUAUCAUUGCUCCAAUUUUCAUUCACAUAUAUCUUGAACUAUGGUUUAUUUUAUGUCACAUCACAAUGUAUGGUGUAACAUCAUUUUCCAUGGAGAAAAGCUUUUGGUUGAAUGUUCUUUGAAUCAACCAUACAAAAACAAUGUACCUUUCACCCCAAUUUUCCAAUUCACACUCCAAUGCCUUUGCCGACGCAGCUUCUUCCUUUUUCCAAAAUUUCUCAUCAAGUUUAUUCCAUUAUUAUAAUCUUAAAUUUGUACAAUGAAAGCUUCCAAAUUUGAAAAAAAACAUUACCCUGAAAUGAUGGCAGACAACAAGUCAAUAGGUCAUUAAAGGAAAAAGAAGACCAAAAGAAGUUCAAUUUAAUGCAUGGAAGAGUGUUGUAGUUUUUUUAUAUCCAUGUUUGAAGAAAUAAAUGUCUUGGUUGGUUGGUAGAUGCUAUGUAAUUACUUCUUCCAUAAGUGUGCUAUUUUAAAAUUAUUUUUUGAUUUUAUUUUCUACUCACUUCUUUUCUAUAUGUAAUUGUUGUUUAAUUCUGUUUUACUUAAACCAAAAAACAUUUAAUUCGGCUAUUUUCAAUAUAAUUUUAAUUAAGUUGUCUAUUAGUAUUUUCUCUUCAAAUAAUUUUCGUGCACAAUAAAAAUAGAAAUAUGAUUGAAUAAAAGUUGUAAUAUCUUGAAAUUUUAAAAUAAAAGAUAAAAUAAUAAUGUCUAUUUCAAAAUAUAUAAACAUAGAGAAUAUUUAACUGUUUUACAUAUUUGAGGUAAAAAUUAAAAGUGAAAAAUGAAAAGUACUAUAAAUAUUUUAGUAAUAUCAAUAAAAUUAUUUUGUUUUUAUUUUUUAUAAAGAGAAUUAAAGGAGACUUAAAAAAUAGAUGAAGAUCGUAGAAAAAUAGACUUAAUUGUUGCUAUUUGUUCAUGUGAAAAAGUAUUUCAUCCAUUCACUUUCAUAUAGGCUUUUUAAGGAAUCUAUGAACCAAUUUUAGAGUGGUUUAACUUAUAUUUAAAAAUAUAAGUUAAAGCUAAAUUAUUUAGUUAUUCAAAGUUAAAAUUUAUAAUUUUUUUAAUUUUUAUAUAAUUUUUUAAGUUUAUGAAACUUCUUUUUCUUGAAAAGGUUUGGUUAGUUAGGAGGAAUGACUUGUUAAACCUUUCUAUCAUAUUAUAAUUUGAUUUAAAGUAAGUUUCUUUUUUAUAUCUCUAAGACUAUUGUUCUUGCUGUUUGACCUGGUUGUCGGUUGACUUUGGGAACAGGUUGUAAUUCCGUCUACUUCUGCUGGAUUUUGCCCUUUUUCUGGGAUGUUGGAACACGUCUCUGUUUGAAACAGAGGGGACCUAUUGAUUGCACUCUGACGAUCAAGUCAGUACUGGGCUAAGAAAUAAUGAGUAAGUAAGCAAGUAGUUUCAGUCUUAGAAACGGUGUACCUUUACCAGGGAUCUCGAGUCCCUUUUAUAUACUACUUUUAGGUUACUUCAUUGUAACACCCCUUCUCUCACGAGAACAUUAUCUCGAGUGAAAGUAGGUUUGAUGGGGACAAUCUGUUACAAUGUCGCACAAUCUCAGUGCAACAAUCGCACAAAAUUUUCCUCCUUGGAGUGCAUAAUCUUAACAGCAUGGCCGCCAAGGUACCAACUCAUGUACCAGCAUCAUGGGGCCCAUAUGUUACUGUAGGCGCUCUAGGCUUUACGUAUCAUGCAUGCAGCUUAUCCCUGAAAAUCCUAACGCUCUUGGGCCUAGGCAUCUUUAGGGGAUAUUUACUUAUGCUAGACCCAAAUGUAUUAUACACACCACAUGAACUUUCUCGCUGAUCAGGCCUUAUAUAUACGGGUUUCAACACACGCAUUCCUGGGCCCACUUACGUGGCCAUUAACUUGUCCAGACCAUCGAGCGGACCUGCUUCACACAGGUGUCGAUGUCCGAUCACCUGAGCACUAAGCUCGACGCUCUGGUCCUAUACACAAGCCCCCCAGGCUCGAGCUGGAACUUGUUCCAGUGAAGAGGCUAACUAUUCUCCUAUGGCGACCUACGUGUCUUGUGAAUGAGGUGACGUUUCACCAUACUUCCUCACAAGCGCACACAUGGCCAUCAUCAACGGUUGGAAAGCGUUGCCGCUUGCGCUUCCCCUAUACGUUAACCUUUAGAUUUUUGCGCUUCUCUUUGAACACUCUUCUUUGAACACCCUGUUCUCUCCUCUCCAAAUAAGCCUCCUCGCCUCCUUUCAUCAAUCAUCUCAAGGUGCACUUUUUAUCUUGUGACUGAUUUUGGUAUGUCGUUUCAAUGCCUUUAAUAUGCUCAUAACUGCGUUGGGACUGUUUGUAUUUCUCCUAUCUAUGACCGUAAAUACCUCUAUUUUUCUGCUUCCUUGCUUCUUGUAAGAAUUGAUGGCUUAAACAAGAGGGGGGAUGAAUUAUUUUAUGAAAGUUUUUCGCAAAGAGUUGAUUUAGAAUGAAUCUUUAUCAAACAAUCCAGAUAAGAAAUUAAGGAAAGCAAUCAAACAAUCCAACAAAAAUAGUUAUCAGAAUUUUAACCGGUUAAACCUUCGUUUUAAUCGGUUGUUUAUACUAGCAACAAAAAUGAAAUUAUCAAACAGUUGUAGAGAGUUUGAGAGAAAGAGAGAUUUACACAAUAGGUCUAUACUGGUUCACUCAUACUUGAGCUACAUCUAGUUCUCAGAAGAACCUCUGAGUUCCACUAAUAACCAAUACCAAAUUACAACACACACAAAUAGGUAACCUUGCAACCCACAAGAUUCACUCACCCUCUUUGAAAUACCAAACACCUUAAGACAGAACAACCUUUGCCUUUACAGGAUUUCAAACACACACAACAGGUAAAAGAAGUACUAUUACAAGUAUCUAGACAAGGAUAGAAAACACAUGGAUUUGCACAAUACAUGAAACUCCUAUGAUCAGAACUUGUUACCACAACAAAGCAUGAACAACAAUCUUGCACUAUGAAAACCUCCUUUAAAAAACAAAUCUUUUUCUUUGAUCUCAAAUUUGUAUCAAUACUUGUUGUAUUUGAUUGUGUAUUUUGCUUUGAAAGAAGGGCUAUAUUUAUAGCUCUUGAAAUGUAGCCGUUUAAGGCAGAUUUAAUCAGCUGAAUCAGUUAAAACAAGUUUUCAAAAAUUUGUUAUGAAAACACACAUUUAACCGGUUGAAACCACGAUUUAACCGGUUGAAACCACGAUUUAAUCGGUUGAAACCACGAUUUAACCGGUUGAAUGAGUUAAGCAGUUUCAUAACUAAUUCAAAAAGCAGUUUCAAAAACCUCAAGCUAGCUAAGUGACAAACAACUGAUUAUCUCGAUGAUUCAACUGAUGGUUUUCCCUUUGCUUGGAAAAACAUUUUGUUUCUUUUAUAACUGAUUGGUCAAGCUUGUGCAAGGAUUAAGAUUUGAACUUUUACAAAGAUUCUAAACAAUCUAAUCUAAACCCAAACCAAAAGUAGCACAACUUUAGGCUUCAUGUGGAUUUGACACAUCAAAGCUCCCAUGUUCAACACUUCUUUCUUCAAAACACAUGCACUUCUUCCUCUGGGUAUUGCAUUUGUUUUCUUUCUUUGUUUUAGAUUCCCUGUAAGAUGGAUUACAAAACCCUAUACCCCUGGGCUCCUAGUAACCUUUUAGAGAAAACCUCUGAGUUCACCACUCAUGUGAAAAUAGUAUUGUAUAGGAAGAGCGAGCACCCUAAAAAGAAUUUUCUUUUUGGCAAAGAGCACGACAAGUUUGUAAGGUUGUGCCUUGUAGGGUAGAUGAACCUAUUUGCUGUGAUGAGUCAUCGGACCCAGAGGGCCCAUUCUGCUUCAUCUACUCUACUGUUUUCAAAAAUAUUCUUCUUCGCCUUCCCUUUAACAAUUUUAAAAGAGCCCUUCUCACCGAAAUCAACAUCGCCCUAGUCCAGCUACACCCAAAUAGUUGGGCGUUUGUUCGGGGAUUUUCCAUCUUGUGCCACCACUUUGGCCAUCUGCCAUCAGUGGAUGUGUUCCUAUACUUCUUUGAAGCCAAGCGACCAAGUCAGAAGUUGUGGGUGAGUUUCAACAGGGUUGCUGGGAGAGUUUUGUUUGUUGGGUUUAAUAGUGUCAAAGUUCAAGAGGGGGGAUGAAUUGACCUUUUAAAAGCUUCUCGCAAAAACAGUAUUUAACACAGUUUACAGAAAAUAAAUCGAUUUAUAUGGAAAUGAGCAGAUUUAUUUUAGCACUGUUUGUGUGUUUGAAAAGAGUUUAUGCAGCAAGGUUAAUCACAAGAUCUGCAGAUAUAUUUUUCAGAUGCUCACACACUGAUAUUAGAACGAAAAACAGUGAAUCACCAAAACAACAACCUUCAAUUUCAAGCAAGUGAUUAAGGUUCACUUAAUGGCUUGACAGUUUAUUGAGUGAUCUAUUACAAUCAACCUGUUCUAAUGGCUUUUAACAGAUUAUAAGUGUUCUUAUUGAAAUCAACCAGUUUUCCAGAAAUUAAGAACAAUAUGAACCGUGUCCAGACAGAACAGAUUUAUUUUUAAUUGAACCGAUUUAUUUCUUUGCUGUUUUAUCAAUUAUGCAAAAACUUAAUUGCAGAGAUUGAGAGAGAAUGAACACAAGGCAGUUAUACUGGUUCACUCAACUGAGCUACAUCCAGUCUUCACCCAAACCAAGGUGAAAUUCACUAAAUCACAAUACAAACAAACACAAUUCCUACUGUUCUUGAAACCUACAAGAACUUAGGUACUCUUGCUGAAAAAACCUAUUUCAGCUCACACACACUCUUCAAGAAAACCUAUCAAGAAGAGUGUUCAACCAAACUAUUACAGGAAAUGAAAAGUGAAACGACUACACCUGAUUGANNNNNNNNNNNNNNNNNNNNNNNNNNNNNNNNNNNNNNNNNNNNNNNNNNNNNNNNNNNNNNNNNNNNNNNNNNNNNNNNNNNNNNNNNNNNNNNNNNNNAGGCAAGAUUGCUAGAACAGUAGCAACACCUCACACCAAGCUUUUGGAACCAAACCAAGAACAAGCACUUUGUGAUUUUCGAAAUCUUUGAAGAACAAAUGCUAAUUCUUUGUAAACUUUUAAUUCUCUGCUGUAAAACUUGUUUUUACAAAUGUAUGAACGAUGAUUAAACUCAGAAACAAGUUUUCAUUUUAUAGAAAACUAACUUAUAACAGAAUUUUGAAAAACAGUUAAAGCUGUUAUAAAAUGAACAGAUUUAUUUUCAAAAGCAGUUAGAAAAUUUGUUAAGUGAGGAGACUUAGUCAACCAUUCUGGUGCAGAGAUAAAACUGAAAAACGUUUAAGCUAGAUAUGGCACCAGAGACAAAAUGAACCUAUUCAUUUACAGAUGAACAGAUUUAUUUUUCAAAACGAAAACAGAAAAGCNNNNNNNNNNNNNNNNNNNNNNNNNNNNNNNNNNNNNNNNNNNNNNNNNNNNNNNNNNNNNNNNNNNNNNNNNNNNNNNNNNNNNNNNNNNNNNNNNNNNNNNNNNNNNNNNNNNNNNNNNNNNNNNNNNNNNNNNNNNNNNNNNNNNNNNNNNNNNNNNNNNNNNNNNNNNNNNNNNNNNNNNNNNNNNNNNNNNNNNNNNNNNNNNNACAUGGCCAGUGGUUAUGAGGUGAGUUACUCAGCAAAAAGCCCACUCUUAAACAACCUCUAAGCACUACCUAAGACACACUUAAAGCAAAGCAAAAAUACACAUGAAAUGUACAUAAAAGUCUUCAUCAAACACAAUCUUGAAGGGGCAGCAACCAUCUUCAACAAUCUCCCCCUGUUUGAUGGAGACAAAUCCCCAUAGCUCUUGUUGCUUUAAGAACCUGCACUGCACCACAGAUUAAACCAGAAAAACAGAACAUUGCAUAACAUGUAAAAUGGUUUAAAGGUGCAGAAUUUAACUCCCUGUUUUAGCUAGCUUCACCUAGCAUGGUGAGCUAUUUUUCUCCCCCUUUGGAUUCAUCAAACAGCAUGUAAUCCUAGAGAAAAAAACCAGAAGCAUAACCAUAAUAGUCCAAAAGAUAAAGACAAAUUGUUCAUCAUUACAAACUUUUAAACUAAUAAAGAAAGCAUGAAAAACAGAAGACUACUGAUCCUUGUUGUAAAGCUCUGCAAGUUGUGCCUGAACCCUUCAAUCUGAUCAUCAAGGUGUUGAAACCUUGCUUGAGUAGUUUCAAAGUAUGCCCUUUAUUCUGUAGUCAUUACAUCAAGGCGAUACAACACUUGCCUUUCAAACAUAGACAUUGGUUCUCCUCGGUAUUUUGGAGAUUGAUAGGCAACUAUGGCAUUUGCAGCAACUCCCUCAUGCACAGAUUGGGUGGCAGGUGAGUCAUCCUCCAUGGGAAUAGCUUCAUCCUCAUCCUCAUUGUGGAGGUUUGAUGCUUCAUGUUCUGCUUGAGGGUCCUUUCCUUUAAGAACCACCCACUUGUCCUCAAUUUUGUGAAAUCCCAUUUUGGUGAGAGUUGAAUUAUCAAUCUCACUUACAGCUUUGAUAGGGUCGUUUCUCUCAUUUGUAACAUCAACACCAAAGUAAUCAAUCAAUUUGGAAACAAGAAUAGCAUAGGGAAAGCGGUAAUCAGCCAACCUUUUUUAUUUGAGCAUGUGUUCAUUGAUAAUGAAAACCCAAUUUACCUUAAUCUGGUUCAUGAUGCAAUAUAGAAGAAUUAGAUCCUCUUCAUGUAAAACUGCAUGGUUUGUACCUCUUGGGAUAAGUUGCCAUGCUAUGAUGUAGGCAACAAGGCGUGGAGUGAGGUUCAAAUGCCCUGCACGGAACCUGCUUAUACUCUCUGUAGAAUUCCUCAUGCAGCUUUUAUAGUAUUGCAGCUUGUUGAAUUCUNNNNNNNNNNNNNNNNNNNNNNNNNNNNNNNNNNNNNNNNNNNNNNNNNNNNNNNNNNNNNNNNNNNNNNNNNNNNNNNNNNNNNNNNNNNNNNNNNNNNNNNNNNNNNNNNNNNNNNNNNNNNNNNNNNNNNNNNNNNNNNNNNNNNNNNNNNNNNNNNNNNNNNNNNNNNNNNNNNNNNNNNNNNNNNNNNNNNNNNNNNNNNNNNNNNNNNNNNNNNNNNNNNNNNNNNNNNNNNNNNNNNNNNNNNNNNNNNNNNNNNNNNNNNNNNNNNNNNNNNNNNNNNNNNNNNNNNNNNNNNNNNNNNNNNNNNNNNNNNNNNNNNNNNNNNNNNNNNNNNNNNNNNNNNNNNNNNNNNNNNNNNNNNNNNNNNNNNNNNNNNNNNNNNNNNNNNNNNNNNNNNNNNNNNNNNNNNNNNNNNNNNNNNNNNNNNNNNNNNNNNNNNNNNNNNNNNNNNNNNNNNNNNNNNNNNNNNNNNNNNNNNNNNNNNNNNNNNNNNNNNNNNNNNNNNNNNNNNNNNNNNNNNNNNNNNNNNNNNNNNNNNNNNNNNNNNNNNNNNNNNNNNNNNNNNNNNNNNNNNNNNNNNNNNNNNNNNNNNNNNNNNNNNNNNNNNNNNNNNNNNNNNNNNNNNNNNNNNNNNNNNNNNNNNNNNNNNNNNNNNNNNNNNNNNNNNNNNNNNNNNNNNNNNNNNNNNNNNNNNNNNNNNNNNNNNNNNNNNNNNNNNNNNNNNNNNNNNNNNNNNNNNNNNNNNNNNNNNNNNNNNNNNNNNNNNNNNNNNNNNNNNNNNNNNNNNNNNNNNNNNNNNNNNNNNNNNNNNNNNNNNNNNNNNNNNNNNNNNNNNNNNNNNNNNNNNNNNNNNNNNNNNNNNNNNNNNNNNNNNNNNNNNNNNNNNNNNNNNNNNNNNNNNNNNNNNNNNNNNNNNNNNNNNNNNNNNNNNNNNNNNNNNNNNNNNNNNNNNNNNNNNNNNNNNNNNNNNNNNNNNNNNNNNNNNNNNNNNNNNNNNNNNNNNNNNNNNNNNNNNNNNNNNNNNNNNNNNNNNNNNNNNNNNNNNNNNNNNNNAGCAGAGGUAUAUGGUUAAGUAAGAUACCAAAAUCAUUCAAUUGAUGUCUUAGCCAUAUAGUUUGAACCAUCAACUCCCUGCUGCAAUGUAUUCUGCUUCAGCAGUGGAGAGAGCUACACAAGCCUGCUUUUUGCAUUGCCAUGAGAUCAAGGUUGAUCCAAGCAAAUGACAGGUUCCACUUGUGCUCUUCCUAUCAAUAUUGCACCCUGCAAAAUAUGAAUCAGAAUAUCCAGUUAAACUUAAUGAAAUAUUACCUGGAUACCACAAGCCAACUUCUUUAGUUCCUUGCAAAUACUUCAAAAUCCUUUUGGCAGCAUUGUAGUGUGAUUCUUUAGGAGCAGAUUGAAACCUUGCACACAUGCACACUGCAAACAUUAUGUCUGGCCUGCUGGCAGUGAGAUACAGUAGUGAUCCUAUGAGUCCUCUGUAUUUGGUUUCAUCAACAGAAAUUCCAGCUUCAUCAUGAUCCAAAUGACAGCUUGUUGAGAAGGGUGUGCUGAUUGGUUUACACUUGUCCAUUUCAAAUUUCUUCAGCAGAUCCUUGCAAUAGUUAGCUUGACUUAAGAAAAUGCCAUCCUUGAGUUGUUUGACCUGCAAGCCUAGAAAAUAGUUCAACUCACCCAUCAUUGACAUUUCAAACUCACUCUUCAUGACUUUCAUGAAAGCUUCACACAAUUCUCCAUUGUUUGAUCCAAAAAUGAUGUCAUCCACAUAUACUUGUACUAGAAUUGUGUCAUCUCCUUUCUUCUUGAUGAACAAGGUCUUAUCUGAUGUGCCUCUGUCAUAACCUUGAGAGAUGAGAAAAUCACUUAGCCUCUCAUACCAUUGCCUAGGAGCUUGCUUGAGUCCAUAGAGAGCCUUUUUGAGUUUGAACACAUAUUCUGGAUGUUGAUGGUCUUCAAAACCUGGUGGUUGUGAAACAAAUACCUCUUCAUUUAUAUAACCAUUUAGAAAGGCACUCUUCACAUCCAUUUGAAACAGCUUGAACCCUUUGAUGCAGGAGAAGGCAAGCAGCAAUCUAACAGCUUCUAACCGAGCCACUGGUGCAUACGUCUCAUCAUAGUCUAUCCCUUCUUCUUGAUUGUACCCUUUAGCUACUAGCCUAGCCUUGUUUCUGGUGAUCACUCCAUGCUCAUCCAUCUUGUUUCUAAAUACCCAUUUUGUCCCAAUUAUAUUCAUCUCAGGUAUUCUAGGAACAAGAGUCCAGACCUCAUUAAGAGCAAAUUGAUUCAGUUCCUCUUGCAUGGCUAAAAUCCAGUUGCUGUCCUUGAGAGCUUCAUUCAGAUUCUUGGGUUCAGCUUGAGAUACAAAGGCCAUUGCUUCACAGAAAUUGUUCAAGAAUUUUCUAGUUGAUACUCCUUUCUCAAUGUUCCCAAUGACAUUAUCAAGGGUUAAGUCUCUUGGGGUUUUCCACUCUUUUGGCAAACCUGCAGCUGCAGUAGAUUCUUGUAUAGCAUGUGUAUCAGCAGUAUCAAAAUGAAUCGAUUCAUUUUGAUUUAAAACAGAUUUAAAUUCAUUACAGUCAAGAUCAUCAGUAGCAGUUUUAGAUAUGCUAUGAUCAGUUUCAUCAAAAACAACAUGCAUUGAUUCUUCUACUAUAAGCAACCUUUUAUUGAAGACUCUAUAUGCAUGACCAUUCAAAGCAUAACCAAUGUGCACACCUUCAUCAGAUUUAGCAUCAAACUUACCAAGAUUUUCUUUGCCAUUAUUCAAUACAAAGCAUUUACACCCAAAUACCCUAAGGUGGCUCACACUAGGUUUUCUGCCCUUAUACAAUUCAUAUGGGUUUUCUUAAGAAUAGGUCUUAUUAGGGUUCUAUUUAACACAUAAGCUGCAGUAUAAACUGCAUCAGCCCAAAAAUACUUAGGAAGCUUAGAUUCAUUUAACAUAGUUCUAGCUAGUUCCUCUAUUGAUCUAUUUUUCCUUUCAACUACACCAUUUUGUUGGGGUGUCCUAGGGGCUGAAAAGGUAUGUGCUAUCCCAUGCUUCUCACAGAACCUCUCAAAUCUAGCAUUCUGAAACUCUCCCCCAUGAUCACUUCAAAUUGAUUUUAUGCAGCAACCAUUUUCAUUUUGCAGAAUCUUUGCUAAUUUCUUAAAGGCAGUGUAAACAUCAUGUUUAUAGUCCAUGUAAAUCUAGAGUAGUCAUCCACAACAACUAAAGCAUACAGAUUUCCAGCCAAGCUAGCAACUCUAGAUGGACCAAAUAAGUCCAUAUGUAACACAUCCAAUGGAUUUUUUGUAGAAACAAUAUCCUUUAACUUGAAAGAGGAUUUGAUUUGUUUACCUUUCACACAAGCAUCACAAAGCCUGUUGUCCUGAAAUUUAAUGUUAGGUAAACCAGAAACUAAAUCUUUAGAUUUCAAUUUAUUCAAGUGAUUUGUGUGUACGUGAGCUAACCUCCUGUGCCACAGCAAAGACUCAUCACUUCUGGACAGCAAAUACUCAUUUGAAGGGUUAGUUUCCAUGAUAUUCAGCAGAUAUAUGUUAUUCACUCUCUUACCAGUAAAUAGUACCUUACUAGAUGAAUUACUUGAGAUUGUGCAGCCUUUUGACUCAAAGUUCACCUUGUAUCCUUUGUCACAAAGCUGACUUAUGCUGAGAAGACUAUGCUUGAGUCCUUCUACAUACAGCACAUUCUCAAUGGUUGUUGAGUUCCCUGUUCCAACAGUGCCUCUGCCCAAAAUCUUCCCUCGGUUAUUAUCACCAUAGGUUACAUGUCCUUCUGCUUUGAGCUUCAAGCUAGUAAAUUUUGUAAGAUCUCCAGUCAUAUGCUUGGAGCAACCACUAUCCAAGUACCAUUGAUUCUUCUUAUUGUUCAUAUGCUAAACAAAGUAAAAAUGAUACAAAUGGUACCCUUUUCAGUAUAGGGUCUAGCACAGAUUAAAACCUUCUCUUUGGUAGCCAUUUUGCUAAGUUCUUAGGAACAAGAUGCUUUCUAGCAAUGCAAGACCUAGAGGUAUAACCAGAUUUCAUGCAGUAAAAACAGGUUACAUGAGAUGCCUUUUUGCCACUGUUAAAAGCUGAAAAAACUGAUUUUGCUAGAACAAAAAAACUUGAAAGCUUUUUGACAUUGGUUACAUUUCCAGGGGUAUAACCAAGACCAUUCUUAUUGAAAACAACAUUCUGUGAGCCAAGAAGAGACUCAAGGUUUUCUCUUCCCUUGGUGAAAUUGGAAAGGGUUUUCAGCAAAUACUCCACUUGUUUUUCUAAUUUUUUGCAGUUUUCACAGGNNNNNNNNNNNNNNNNNNNNNNNNNNNNNNNNNNNNNNNNNNNNNNNNNNNNNNNNNNNNNNNNNNNNNNNNNNNNNNNNNNNNNNNNNNNNNNNNNNNNUUAAUUGAGGCAUGCAAGCAUGUUAGUUCAAGGCUUACCAAAUCUGUUUUGGCUUUAUGCAAUUCUUCCUCAAGUGUUUUUACUUUAGGUGCAAGCACAUUAUUUACCUUUUGCAGCUUAUUGCAUAUUACAGCUAGCCUAUUUGCUUCAUCAUGUGUUUCCUUGAAAGCAGCAAGCAAAUGAUCAUAGUUAUCAGAAUCCACAGAGAAAUCACUUACUGAAUCAGAGAUUGACUCCUCAUCCUUCAUCAUGAAGCACAGAUUGUUUUCCUCAUUCUCAGUUGAAGAGCUGCUGGUUGAAGAUACUUCAUUUUCUUCCCAUGAGAUGUAGGCUCUUCUUCCCUUGUUCCUUUCAAUUCUCUUGCUGGCAGAUUUUUCCUUUGCUUGAUUAUCUGGACAAUCUGUUUUGAUGUGCCCUGUUUUGCCACAGCCAAAGCAAGUAUAUUUAGAGGAAUUUGAAUCAUUGGGUUUAGGAUACCUUAUUUUCUGUUGGUUCCUAUCUCUGNNNNNNNNNNNNNNNNNNNNNNNNNNNNNNNNNNNNNNNNNNNNNNNNNNNNNNNNNNNNNNNNNNNNNNNNNNNNNNNNNNNNNNNNNNNNNNNNNNNNUGAUCUCACUCUGUUCAGUUGCUUUCAGUGCAAGACCUUUGGGUUUUCUCUCUGUUGUUUCCUGUUCUUUGAGUCUCUUGAGCUCUAGCUCAUGCUCCAUUAGCUUUCCAAAAAGUGCAGCAGUUCCCAGUUUUGACAAAUCACGACUUUCAGAUAUGGCAGUCACCUUUGGUUGCCAGCUUCUGUCGAGGCACUUCAAUAUCUUUAUGUUGAGUUCCUCUCUGUCAAAUUCUUUUCCCAAACCAUUGAGGUGAUUCACAAUAUGGGUGAACCUUUUCUGCACAUCAGCAAUGCUCUCCUCGGGUUGCAUUCUAAACAGUUCAUAUUCUUGGAUGAGAGAAUGUUUUCUUGACCUCUUCACAUCUUCAGUACCCUCAUGAGUGACUUCUAAGACUUCCCACAUCUCCUUAGCUGACUUACAUUGGGAUAUCCUGAAGAACUCAUCCAUUGUCAAUGCAGAGGUUAUGAUGUUCUUGGCCACAAGAUCAUGUUGAGCCUUCCUCCUUUCGAUCUCAUUCCAUUCAGAUCUUGGCUUUACCACUUCUUCAUCCUUGACAACCUGCAUUGGCACAUAAGCUCCAUGGACCACAACUUCCCAAAUUAAUGCAUCAAUAGAUUCCAUGAAAAUUCUCAUUCUAACUUUCCAAAAUGCAUAAUUCAUUCCAUUGAACAUAGGUCGUCUAUUAACAGCAGAUCCUUCAGCAAAAAGCACAUUAAACUCAUACAUUAUUACAAAAAAACUUGAUUAAAAUACAAGUCUUAGCUCUUGAUACCAAUUGUUGGGUUUAAUAGUGUCAAAGUUCAAGAAGGGGGGUGAAUUGACCUUUUAAAAGCUUCUCGCAAAAACAAUAUUUAACACAGUUUACAGAAAAUAAAUCGAUUUAUAUGGAAAUGAACAGAUUUAUUUUAGCACUGUUUGUGUGUUUGAAAAGAGUUUAUGCAGCAAGGUUAAUCACAAGAUCUGCAGAUAUAUUUUCCAGAUGCUCACACACUGAUAUUAGAACGAAAAACAGUGAAUCACCAAAACAACAACCUUCAAUUUCAAGCAAGUGUUUAAGGUUCACUUAAUGGCUUGACAGUUUAUUGAGUGAUUUAUUACAAUCAACCUGUUCUAAUGGCUUUUAACAGAUUAUAAGUGUUCUUAUUGAAAUCAACCAGUUUUCCAGAAAUUAAGAACAAUAUGAACCGUGCCCAGACAGAACAGAUUUAUUUUCAAUUGAACAGAUUUAUUUCUUUGCUGUUUUAUCAAUUAUGCAGAAACGAAAUUGCAGAGAGUGAGAGAGAAUGAACACAAGCAAUUAUACUGGUUCACUCAACUGAGCUACAUCCAGUCUUCACCAACAACAGGUGGAAAUCACUAACACACAGUACAAACAAACACAAUUCCCACUGUUCUUGAAACCUACAAGAACUUAGGUACUCUUGCUGAAAAAACCUAUUUCAGCUCACACACACUCUUCAAGAAAACCUAUCAAGAAGAGUGUUCAACCAAACUAUUACAGGAAAUGAAAAGUGAAACGACUACACCUGAUUGAGGAUACAAAGAUCUGCCUUAAACCGGUAGGCAAGAUUGCUAGAACAGUAGCAGCACCUCACACCAAGCUUUUGGAACCAAACCAAGAACAAGCACUUUGUGAUUUUUCGAAAUCUUUGAAGAACAAAUGCUAAUUCUUUGUAAACUUUUAAUUCUCUGCUGUAAAACUUGUUUUUACAAAUGUAUGAACGAUGAUUAAACUCAGAAACAAGUUUUCAUUUUAUAGAAAACCAACUUAUAACAGAAUUUUGAAAAACAGUUAAAGCUGUUAUAAAAUGAACAGAUUGAAAAUAAAAUGAACAGAUUUAUUUUCAAAAACAGUUAGAAAAUUUGUUAAGUGAGGAGACUUAGUCAACCAUGCUGGUGCAGAGAUAAAACUGAAAAACGUUUAAGCUAGAUAUGGCACCAGAGACAAAAUGAAUCUAUUCAUUUUACAGAUGAACAGAUUUAUUUUUCAAAACGAAAACAGAAAAGCUUAACUAUUUAACCACAGUCGUUUUGAAAGGUAGAAAACUUAGUCAAAAUACAUGAUGCACAAAAUCUAAUUUUCACAAGACUUAGGCAAGGCAUCAGUUUAAAAAUGAAUCUGUUUAUUUAGAAAAGAACAGAUUUAUUUUUAUGCAGUAAACCUGUUUUUUGUAAAACAUGUGAAAAAUAGUUUAAGAAACCUUAUGCUUGUUCUUAUCACAUGGCCAGUGGUUAUGAGGUGAGUUACUCAGCAAAAAGUCCACUCUUAAACAACCUCUAAGCACUACCUAAGACACACUUAAAGCAAAGCAAAAAUACACAUGAAAUGUACAUAAAAGUCUUCAUGAAACACAAUCUUGAAGGGGCAACAACCAUCUUCAACAUUGUUGACCCUCUUCCAGCAAUCAUACAAAGGCUUCAAGGGUAUAUUUUUCAAAAUCCGCUGCAAUGAUAAUGAUCCAAGUCUUCUGGACAGGUUCCCUCUGUACUGGACUAAGGAACCCAAAUUCCAAAAACCCAGAUACCUUGAAGACCUACCCCAACGAGAACGAGAGGUGUGUCUCUUCCUCUCCAACCCUAAGGUAGUGUUUAGCACUGCCGAAUUGAUAAAGAACGAGUACAGCCCUACAGGCUUUAAGGCAUACAUUGGUAUCCCCCUUCCCUUUACUCCUGCUAGCAAUGCCUUGCAUGUGUGUGUUUUCUGAACUCUUCUUUGUUUUCAUUCUCAUGCAGACAGUAUGUUGGACGCUCAAAAAAGAAAGAACUUAACUGCACUAGCCAAACAAAAGAAGACCACCCAAGCCCUUUCUGCCAAGGAUCAAAAAUUGAAGGCAGUGGCUGAAGUCGCCCCUUCUGAGGAUGAAGAAACUUGUUCUUGACUCCUCUUCAAGAGGAAGUGAACAGAUGUUGCUGCAAUUUCUGUCCACUCUGCCUCAAACGACUGAGCUCCCUUCUACCGGGACUUUCCACCCAGCCCUUCCCCUCCUCGUGACAUUGCGAUGUGGAAGGGUAGAGGAGAAAGUGCCUCAAAGGGAGAUCAGUGGGACCCCUUCCCAGACCCAACUUCCUUCCUUCACAAAAUGUUGCUCUCCUAAAAAAUUAAAGGAAGAUUGAAAAACAUGGAGGAGGGUCCACUGAUGGAGCACGCCACAAGGCAACUGGGGGAAACCCUAGUUGCGAACUAUCUUCUCCUUUCCAAGCCGUGGAAAGCAAAGGAGCUGGCCAAAGAAGAAGCCGUCCAAGCUGUAGAGCUCAAACGACAAGUCUUCAAACUCACACUGGAGGUGGAGGAGCUCUGAAAAGUUAACCAAGAGACCAAUGCCCUCCUGUUUGGGAAGUCCCAAGAGGCCUUGGGGCUAUAUGCAAGAAACAAUGAUCUCCGCACUGAGGUGGAGAAGCUGAAGGGAGAGCUGGCUGAGAGGGACGAUGAGGUGGCCAGGCAAAAGAAGGAGAUGGCGCAGAAGGAUGAGCUCCUAUAGAAAACCAAAGAAGAGCUGAUGAGCAAUGCCCCUGACUCCUAGGGGGCAGACUUUGAGGAUGUUGUUGCCCAGGUCACCUGCGUCCACCCUGAGCUGGACCUCUCCCAAAUAGGAUUAGGUAAAGUUAUCGUAGAUGGGCAACUGGUAGAUGAGGAAUAGCCGUGGGGGACUCCCCCUCUAUUGCCUUCCUUUUGUAAUCUAAUGAACAGUUGACAAUUCUGAUAUAUGUAUAUGUGUGUUUUCUUUUCCUGACUUCGACUAACUUAGUAACAAUGCAUGUCUUGAAUGAACACAACUUUCAUAACUUUAAUAACUAACUGAACGCCAAUGAUGGUCCAUACUUAAGUAGCGUGGUCUUCACAAUUAACAAUGGUAGACUUAUGCUUCGGGGUACCUGAGCUCAGAGCCUCCCUGGUCAACAGGUCCUCUUGCACAAAUUGCUUUGCUUUAUUUGUACAUUCUCCCUAAAGGUUGAUUUCACUGUGGUUCACUAUGAACCUUACUACUCCCACUCUUGGAAUCUUACCAAGGAGAGACUUCGCUGAGGUUCACUAUGAACCUUACUGCUCCCACUCUUGGAAUCUUACCAAGGGGAGACUUCGCUAAGGUUCACUAAGAACCUUACUACUCCCACUCUUGGAAUCUUACCAAGUGCAGACUUCACUGAGGUUCACUAUGAACCUUACUGCUCCCACUCUUGGAAUCUUACCAAGGGGAGACUUCGCUGAGGUUCACUAUGAACCUUACUACUCCCACUCUUGGAAUCUUACCAAGGGGAGACUUCGCUGAGGUUCGCUAUGAACCUUACUGCUCCCACUCUUGGAAUCUUACCAAGGGUAUAUUUCAAUGAGGUUCGCUAUGAACCUUACUGUUUCCACUCUUGGAAUCUUACCAAGGGGACAUUUCACUAUUAACACGAGAUACUGUAAGCAUAGUUUUCAAAUAACUUUUUCUUGGGCGACCUCAUUAAAAAACCCUGAUAAGGGAAAAAGAGUGUCCCCUUAAACGUUUGUAUUGCAUACAAUAGCAUAAUUAAUUGAAAUAAAAUUUAAGAUUGGCCCCAUUCCAUGUUCGGGGAAUAAUCUCGCCAUCCAAGGUCUCGAGUCUAUACGCUCCGUUCCCGAGCACCUCUAUCACGCGGAAUGGGCCAGUCCACUUAGGGCAUAACUUGUUCUCCAAUUGAUAGGGAUGAGCCUUUCGCAUUACCAAGUCGACGACCUGGAACUGCUGAGAUUUCAGCUUGGACUUCUGCUUAUAUUCCACCUUCUCUUUAAGGCUUCGGCCUUGAUGUGUGCUUCCUCUCUGACCUUGUCGAGAAGAUCUAAGUUUACCCUCAUUUCCUCAUUAGACUCCUUGGCCACGAAGUUCUGGAAUCGUAGUGAACUUUUCUGGAUCUCGAUGGGGAUCAUGGCAUCCGACCCAUACAACAGGCUAAAAGGGGUCUCCUUGGUGGUGGAUUGGGGAGUGGUGUGGUAGGCCCACAUAAUUCUAGAAACUUCAUCUGCCCAAAUUACCUUGGCUUUUUUCAGUCUCCUCUUUAGGCCUCUGAGCAGGACUCGGUUAGCAGAUUCGACUUGCCCAUUCGUCUAGGAGUGUUCUACCGAGGCGAACACCUGCUUGAUGUUGAGCUCUGUGCAUAGUUUUCCUAGCUAAUGACUUGCAAAUUGGGUGCCAUUGUCAGACACUAAACGCUUUGGGAUUCCAAAACGGAAAACUAUGUUCUUCCACACAAAGUGUUGAACCUUGUGGGCUGUGAUAUGUGCGACAGGCUCAACUUCUAUCCACUUGGUGAAGUACUCGAUGGCUAUCACCAGGUACUUCAUCUGGCAAACUGCUAAAGGAAACGGACCCAGGAUGUCAAUCCCCCAUGUGUGGAAAGGCCAUGGGCUAUGGAUCGAUCGCAACUCCUCUGGGGCGCAUGAUGUUAGUCGGCGUGCUGUUGGCACUGUUUGCACCGCUGUGCGUACCUCGUGCAGUGCUCCCUCAUGUUCGGCCAGUAAUACCCUGCUCGAACAACCUUUGAUGAGAGAGCUUGUCCAUCGAUGUGACUCCCACAAAUACCUUCAUGGAGCUCAUAUUCAGCUUGGUUGUUGCUAGCUUUGAAAGCAAAACGUAGGGCCUGCUCGAUCAGGAACCCGUUUGGUCCCUCUAAGAUGAUACCAGCCCCACUACCUUGCUGGUUAGAGGACCCGUCCACAGACCUGGAAAUGUCCACUUUCUUGGUGUGUGGCUGCCGAGGAGAGUUCUACCAGGAAGUCAGCAUAAACUUGACCCUUGAUAGUGUUAGAAUAUAUGGCUUAAACGAGAGCGGGGGGGUGAAUUGUUUAAGAGAGGUUUUUGAAAACUUUUCAAUGUUUAACAAAUUCUUUGUGUGAACCCAGAACAGAAAUCAAGUUAGCCAAGAAUAUACGCACUAAAAACAGCAAAGCAACAGAAAAACAAUCAGUUGUUUCUUCGAAACAAUUGGUUGUUUAUACCAGAAAAGCUUAAAACAGAAUUUAAAUGAGUAUAGGGUAAGAGAGAGAUACACCAACAAUUUAUGCUGGUUUACUCUUAAGCCAAGAGCUACAUCCAGUCCCCAAAAAACCACUGGGUAACAACUAAGUAAUCAAACCAGAUUACAACACACAAACCACCAAAGUAGUGACCUUGAACCCUUCAAGAAACACACUCCCUUUGGCAAAAUACACCAAGAGUAUUGAUCUUGACCACCUCAAGAGCACACAACACUCCUUGGCAACACAACACCAAAAAUACAGUAGGUUGAGAAGGGAUUACACUUGUUUACAGUACAAACUGAAAUCAAUACAAUUGCAAUCCUAUUCCGUUCUCUUUGAAAACCCAAAGCUUGAUGUGAAUGUUCAAAUCUUGAAAUCAACUUUGUCACAACUGAAAAAAUCAAAUUUGUUUCUCUUUCUUGUUUGAAAACAUAAACAAACCAUUUAUAUUUUCCAAAGAUUAGUCAAAGCAAUUAAUGAAGGAGCAUAUUCAGUUGGAAAUCAUUUAAACCACAUUCAACAACCAAAACAAAAUUCUGUUAGGAUUUUCAAAGAGACAAUCGGUUGAAACCACGAAACAACCGAUUGUUUGGUUUGGCAGUUAAGUCAACCAAACUAAAACAAUUUUCAACCUUUUCAAAAACUCCUAAGAGUAAAACAACCGGUUGAUUCGACAAAACAACAUGUUGUUUUUCACUUAGUUGGAAAAACACUUUAUUUUCUAAAAGAUUUUAAUUCACAUCAGUUUUAGAUUCAACAAAGGAGUGGAUCACAUUCUAUUCUACCCAGAUCCCUCCCCAAACACAGCAGCAACACAAGCCUUGCAUCAAACACAUAGGAUUUGGAUUCUUCAAAGCACUUGAUCAUUCUUGAUCAACAAUCUUCUCCUAUUUGAUGAAGACAAAUACCUGGUCGCUUGUGUUGAUCUUGAUUGAAUAUGAAAUUGUACCUGCAAAACAAAAAUUAUGCAAUCCAGAGCAUCUCUCAUAGUAGGUUAUGAUCAUACAUCAACUAGUUUUUCUGCAUAAACACAAGUGUAGGAAAACCAGCCAAAAACAAAGCAAAAACAGUUUCAUACAAACCAAUUAUGUAGCAGAAAUUAAAAGCAGAAUAGUAGCAGAGUUAUAACAGUUUGUAAGACAACACAAACACCAUAUUCUCCCCCUAUUUGUCUUCACAAAUAGACUUUAGGAGGAGAUUAAACAGAAUAGUUCAACAUAAAGCAAUACAAAGAUAGAAAGAACAACAAAGCCUUGACAUUCAAGCUUAAACAAUCGGUUGUUUCGAGAAAUCAACCGGUUGUUUUGCUUCAGUCUUCUUUUCCAUACUGCAACUCGAAAAUCUAAUUCUGAACAACUUCAAUAUGUUCAUCAAGCAUUUGAAACCAUGUAUCCAUGCUUUGAAAUCUAUUGUCAAAGUUAUGAAAGUUUGAAACAAAAAGAUCAUGAAGAUUUCUUUGAUUUUCCGCAAAGCCAUCUAGCCUAUUCACCAUGUAGCUCUCAAAGGAAGACAUUGAAGGAGUCCUAUCUCCUUGAUGUCCAACACUUGUCCCAGCACCAUAAUUAGUAACAGGUUGUUCUGUAUCUGGAAAAUCCAUAUCAGCACCUUCAACAUCUUCUUGAUCUUCUUCACCAUGUUCAGCAUGAAAGCGACUUGAGGAACCACCUUGUCCACCAUCCUUACUCACCCAUUUUCCAUUGAUCUUGGUAAAACCCAUUUUGCUUAAUGAUCCAUUGUUCACUUCAAAUGUUGACUUCACCUACUCAGAUGUUUAAACCUCAAGAUUCACUUCAAAAUAAUGUAAGAAUUUAGAAAUCAAGAUAGCAUAAGGGUAAUGAUAAUCACUUAACCUCAUAGACUUUUGCAUAUGCUCUUUGAUGAUAUGUAUCCAAUUAAUCUUGAUUUUGUUCAUUAUGCAGUAGAUGUAGACAAGAUCUUCCUCAGUUAGAACAGAAUGGUUGAUUCCUCUUGGUGUUAGAAUCCAAGUGACAAAGAGAGCCAACAAUCUUUCAUUUAAUUUCAGCCCUCCAAUCGAACAAGUUCUUACUUGUGCAUGAGGAUUCUUCAAACAACUUUUGUAAUAUUAAAUCUUGUUGAAGUCUUCCACCACACCAAUGUUUCCUUUGUUGAUUCUCAACCCAACAUACUUUAGACUAGCCAGAGCAACCCACACCUCAUGAGUGAUCUCCAUAUCCACACCCUUGACAUGAGAAACAAGAUUGUUACCUUCAAAUUUCACGUUGGUGUAGAAAAGCCGAAUAAGAUCUGGAUAGAUGUUUCCUUUCAUCUCCAAGAACCUCUUCAAAAGUUGUUAUUUGAGAAGCCUCCUAACAUCAUCCAGCUUUUGACUCUUCAACCAGCCAAAAGAGACAACUUUUGGGUUAUUUAUCACUUUUCUACUUGUUUCAAAGCGAUAUCUCUCAAUCAAUUCAUUGUCUCCUGAAAACCAGCCCUCAAGACGUCCUCCUGACCUCACAACCCUUAUUUUAAUCCUUUUUUAUGUAGGAGGAGUGGAAUCCAUGAAAGCAGAAUGAGAAAAGGCACACACACAAAGGAGAGUAUGAGAUGCAGUAAGAGAUGAGCCAAUGGGUUAUUUUUGUGAAGGAAAACAGUUGUAGAGGGUUUUAUAGCAAAACAAAUUCCCUCUUUGAUCCUUUGGUUGAAGUGGGUUUUAGUCUUCAAGGUAAAAAUUUGUUCCAACUUUUGCACAGAACAAUGUCAGCACAGAGCAGAAAAACACAUGGUCAGGACAUGUGACUUUGACUAAACAUAAAAGGCACUUGAAUUUCCAAGAAAUGGAAUAUAUUCCUUUAUGACAAGAAGUAACUUCCUUCAGAACCAAAUCAGGCUUUCAUGACUGCUUUAUUGACUUAAAGACUCUUUAAGAUUUAAAUUUGCAAAAGAUAGAAUGCAUAAAGAAAUUAAAUCCAUUUAUGCAGUGCCGUCAGAGAAGAAAUAAUCGGCUGUUUCGAGAAAACAAUAUGUUGUUUUUCUGCAACAGCAACAAUGUAUAAAUUUUAAGCAGAAACUGAGAAGAGUUUAAAACAAAUGCAAUUGCUCAUAUGUAGAUGAAGAAUUUAAUAUGAAUUUAUAAUUGAAAAGCAGAGACAGGGAAGGUCUUAUCCUUUUGUUAUGAAGUUCCUUCAAUGAGUCAUUGUUUGUGAUCAAGAAUGUUUCUUUUGGCUUUCAAGACAUCUUGGACUGGUACAUACCCUUAGUUCAGUUCCAAACACACUUCUUUUCUUCCAAAAGCUUGAUCAGAUAACUCAAGACUUCAUGCUUCUUUUAGUAUCCCUGAUCAUAAUGAAUUCAAGCAACAAGAUUUGGUCCCCUUACAAAUGUGGGUCCUUUUGAUUCAUCUUUAUCAUUUGAAACCUCACACCCUUUGGGAAUCCAUUUCAAAAUACCUUUAGGAACAUAAUAUUUCCUAAUUUUACAGAAUCUAACUGAGUGGCCUCUCUUCAUGCAGUAAAAGCAUGUAACAACUGGUUGUUUAAAUCUUUCAAUCGGUUGUUUUUCUGGCAGCUUUGAAAAAGGCUUUGAAAUCCCAUUUUUCUUGUUUUGAAUAUAAAACCCCUAACCAGAUUUUCCAAAAACACAUUUUUGGGAUGUCAAGACAGUUUCAAAGUUGGAUUUACCCUUUGAAAGUUUAUCCACAAUUCUUACAAGAUAGUGGAUCUUACUCUCAAGAGUAUUACAAUUUUUACAAGUCUUGGAGUCACUCAAGUGAGAAGAAUUUUUGCAAUGCAUUUCAAGUUUUUCAAAAUCAAUUUUUGACUUUUCCAAUUCUUCUUCAAGAUUCUUGACUCUAUUUUCAAGCUAGUUAUUCAACCCUUUCAAUCGGUUGUUUGAGAAAGGCAAUCGGUUAGCUUCUUCAUGAGUUUCUUUAAAAGCUUGAAGUAAUUGGCUAUAAUUUUCAGCACUUAAGGAAGCACAAGAACUUACACUGCUUGAGCUACUUGAAUCAUUAUCUCCUUCUGCCAUUAAAUAUAGAUUGGCUUUUUCAUCUUCACUUGAUGAGGAGCUUGAUGAAGAGACUUCAUUUACAUCCCAAGCAAUAUAUGCUCUUUUUGAUUUCCCUUCCUUUUCCUUAUUGCUUGACUUCUUUUCCUUGCCUUCUUUAUUUGGGCAAUCAACUUUUAUAUGCCCUUGUUCUCCACAACCAAAACAAGUAUAAUUGUUAGAAUUGAAAUCACUAGUUUUCUUGUUUCCAUACCUUUCUUUGUUGGAUUCUUUGUUGCGAUUUCUCUUCAAGAAUUUGCUGAACUUUUUGGAUGACAAGCUAAGGUUUUCUUCCUCACUUUCAUCACUUGAAUCUUCCUUAUUCUUGUGCUUGACAGCUUUCAAGGCAAUGUUCCUUACAUGCUUGUCCUUACUUUCUUGAACAUUGAGUCUAUUCAUCUCCAACUCAUGUUCUCUAAGCUUUCCAAACAAGGAGGCCGUAGUCAAGGAUGCCAAGUCCUUUGAAUCAGAAAUUGUCGUGACUUUAGCUUCCCAAGAUCUAUCAAGACACUUGAGAAUCUUGAUGUUUAGCUCCUCUUUGUCAAAGGUUUUUCUAAGACUCAUUAGAUGGUUGAUGAUGUGAGUGAAUCUCUUUUGUACUUCAGCAAUUGAUUCUCCCUUGAGCAUUCUAAACAUCCCAUACUCUUGUAUUAGAGUAUGUUUCCUAGCUCUCUUCACAUAGUUUGUUCCUUCAUGGGUGACUUCUAGAGUAUCCCACAUUUCCUUAACCGAUGCACAUUGUGAGAUCCUGAAAAAUUGAUCAGAAUUCAAAGCAGAGGUUAUGAUAUUCUUGGCAAUACAAUCAAACUUGGCCUUUUUAUUUUCAGCAUCAGUCCAUUGGGACCAAGGUUUUUCAAUAGAAGAUCCAUCCUCUUCAAAUUUUGGAAUAAAAUGGCCAUUUUCAAUUGCAUAUCAAAUUCCUUUAUCAAGAGAUUCAACAAAGAUUUUCAUUCUAACUUUCCAAAACUGAUAAUUUAAACCACAAAACAAAGGUGGCCUGUUAAUUGAGGCACCCUCCCCAAAAGGUAGUUUUUCAGCCAUAGAAAAAAAAAAUUAGGAUCAAACUUGAAUAUAUUUCAAGUACCAAGCUCUUGAUGUCAAUUGUUAGAAUAUAUGGCCUUAAAGAAGAGGGGGGUGAAUUGAUUAAGAGAGGUUUUUGAAAAAAUUUCAAUGUUUAACAAAUUCUUUGUGUGAACCCAGAACAAAAAUCAGGUUAGCCAAGAAUAUAAGCACUAAAGACAGCAAAGCAACAGAAAAACAAUCGGUUGUUUCUUCAAAACAAUCGAUUGUUUAUACUAGAAAAGCUUAAAACAAAAUUUAAAUGAGUUUAGGGUAAGAGAGAGAUACACCAACAGUUUAUACUGGUUCACUCUUAAACCAAGAGCUACAUCCAGUCCCCAGAAAACCACUGCGUAAUCCACUAAGUAAUCAAACUAUAUUACAACACACAAACCACCAAAGUAGUGACCUUGAACCCUUCAAGAAACACACUCCCUUUGGCAAAACACACCUAGGGUAUUGAUCUUGACUACCUCAAGAGCACACAACACUCCUUGGCAACACAACACCAAAAAUACAGUAGGUUGAGAAGGGAUUACACUUGUUUUCAAUACAAACUGAAAUCAAUACAAUUGCAAUCCUAUUUCACUCUCUUUGAAAACCCAAAGCUUGAUGUUAAUGUUCAAAUCUUGAAAUCAACUUUGUCACAACUGAAAACUCAAAUUUGUUUCUCUUUCUUGUUUGAAAACAUAAAUAAACCAAUUAUAUUUUCCAAAGAUUAGUCAAAGCAAUUAAUGAAGGAACGUAUUCAGUUGGAAAUCAUUUAAAGCACAUUCAACAACCAAAACAAAAUUCUGUUAGGAUUUUCAAAGAAAUAAUCGGUUGAAACCACGAAUCAACCGAUUCUUUGGUUUGGCAGUUAAGUCAACCAACUAAAAUAGUUUUCAACCUUUUCAAAAACUCCUAAGAGUAAAACAACCGGUUGAUUCGAAAAAACAACAGGUUGUUUUUCACUUAGUUGGAAAAAUACUUUAUUUUCUAAAAGGUUUUAAUUCACAUCAGUUUUAGAUUCAACAAAGGAGUGGAUCACAUUCUAUUCUACCCAGAUCCUUCCCCAAACAUAGCAGCAACACAAGCCUUGCAUCAAAGACAUAGGAUUUGGAUUCUUCAAAGCACUUGAUCAUUCUUGAUCAACAGAUAGGUCCUCUCGGAUCACAUUGCACAUCGAACUCGGACAGCUCGACCACCUAACGCACCAUCCGACCCGCCACGUCAGGUUUUUGCAAGACCUUGUGGAUGGGAAGGUCGGUCAUCACGAUCACCGUGAAACUCUAAACAUAGUAGCGGAGCCUUCGUGCUGCAAAUACUACUGCUAGAGUUGCCUUCUCAAUGGCCUGAUAGCGCACCUCGAGCCCCUGCAACACUUUGCUAACAAAAUAUAUAGGCCUCUUAAUGCGAUCUUGCCCCUAGACUAUGACUGAGUUGACCGCUCAAUCUGUAAUAGCGAAGUAUAAGUGGAGGGGAGUACCUGGCAGCGGCUUGCACAGAACCGGCGAGCUGGCCAAGUACUCAUUCAGCUUGAGGAAUGCUUCCUCACACUCACCUGUCCACACAAAUCGGUUGUUCCUCCUUAAGCAUUUGAAAUAGGGACAGGGCGACCAUGUGUCCUGUUAGCUACUGUACCUCCUUCACCGAGAUCAGACUUCUCAUGGCUAUGAUCGCUGCACACUUCCUGGGGUUCGCCUCUAUUCCCCGCUCGGUGAGGAGAAACCCUAAGAACUUCCCUGCUUCCACCCCGAAUACGCAUUUUUCGGGAUUUAACUUCAAUUUAUACCUGGCUAUUAUGGUGAAUAGCUCUUCUAGAUCGACAAUGUGUUGGUCCUUUUCCUUGGAGGUGACGACCAUAUCAUCCACAUAUGCCUGCACAUUUCACCCUAUCAUAGGGGCGAGAUGGUGUCCAUCAGCCUCUGGUAGGUUGCACCAGCAUUUUUAAGCCCAAAGGGCAUCACCUUAUAGCAAUAGCUGGAGAGCUUUUUCAUGAAUGUUGUCUUGCAUUCGUCUCGGGGAUGCAUCCAGAUUUGGUUAUAUCCUGAGAAGGCAUCCAGAAAAUUGAGAAGUCUGCAGCCUGACGCGCUAUCUACCAAGGCGUUGAUACUGGGCAGCAGAUAUGAAUCCUUUGGACAGGCCUUGUUCAAAUCCGUAAAAUCAACACACAUCCUUCACUUCCCAUUGGCCUUCUUGACCAACACCACAUUUGCCAACCACCUAGGGUAUUGGAUCUCCCUUUUGUGGCCAGCACUCAAAAACUUUUUAGUUUCUUGCCUGAUGACCAGGCGUCUUUCUUCACUAAAAUUUCUCCCCCUCUGUAGGACAGGCUUGACCUUUGGAUCCAUCGUGAGAUGAUGGCAUAGGAAAUCAAGGUUGAUGUCGGGCAUGUCCGAGGAAGACCAUGCAAAGGCGUCCAGAUGUCGUGCUAUCACCUCGAUAAUCUGGUCCUGUAUUUCUUGGCUUAAAGAUUUGCCAAGCUUAAACUUCUUUCCCCCGAUCUCCCUUUCCAGCACCUCACCUGCAGGCUUAGGUCUCCUCUCCCGGGCUAUCUCUGCACGGGCGACCCCUUCUCCGUCUUGAGGCUGGCUGGUGAUCGAGCAUACCCCUCUCUUCGUCUUCAAGCUAUUCUUAUAGCAUUUCUUUGCCGCCUUUUGGUCGAACUUAAUGGUAAUUAUCGCUCCCUCUAGGGAAGGAAACUUCAUCUUCCUAUGCCUCGUCGAGGCCACUACUCUUAUCCUAUUCAUGGCAGGUCUGCCCAAGAGGAUGUUGCAAACUUAGGGAGCGUUGACGACGAGGUACCUGAUAUUGACGGUUCGGGAUGUGGUGCCGUCUGUGUAGGUCAUCCUUAGCUUUAUGUGCCCCCUUACUUCUACCUAGUCUCUGACGAAACCGUACAGACAGCCGUCGUAUGGUCUUAGCUGGUCGGGCGACAACUACAAUUUGUUGAAGGUCGACCAAAAUAUUACAUCGGUCGAGCUUCCUUGGUCAACGAGGACUCGGUGUACCCUUCUCCCUACCGUUACCACUGAAAUUACCACUGGGUCAUUAUCAUGUGGGACCACAUCCUGUAAAUCAGCCUUCGUGAAGUAGAGGUCGGGCUCAGGUGACUGAUCAGGUUACCGUGCUUCUACCGCCAGCACCUCUCUAGCAUACUUCUUUCGCUAGGAGGCGGUGCAUCCUCCCCCUGAGAAACCCCUAGAGAUCGUGUUGACCUCGCCAUGGACUGGCACUUCAUGUCCCUGAUCCCCUGCUGGGGUCACCACCGUUGAGGCUUCGUGACCUUCCUCUAGGUAUUCUUUCAGGAAGCCAUCCUUCAUCAAAUCAGCCAAUUGGUGUCCAAGUGCCAAACAGUUAUGCAUGCCAUGCCCAAAGCCCUUAUGGAACUCGCACCAAAUGCCCCUGCUUGGCCCCAAUUUCUUGUCACACUUUGGGGGUGGUUUUAGCUUGUCGGCCACUUCUGGGAUAGCGAUCAACUCCUUGAGGUUUAUUCUGAACUUGAGUCGACAAGGCAUGUCUCCCUUCGCUUGCGCCCUAGUCUAAUGCUUUUUCGGCUCGUAGGGCACAUGUAUUGCUAGUGAUCUCUUCUCCAUCGCAACUUCAUGUACCCUCAUGGGUUGAGCUCGACUCCUCUCCCGAGGUCUUUUCGGUCCAACACUUCCACAUUUUUCCGUUACCUCCUCCUCUGUGUCGAUGUGGGUGACAGCUCGACACCGGAUCUCGCUAUUUGUCUUUGGCCGACACCUUAUUAAAGAAUUGCUGAAUGGCCCUGACAGAAUUCCCCGCCUGAAGGCGUGCACCAUCAGAGCUUCAUCCUUGGUGUGGAGCUUUACCAUCAACACCCCGAACCGGUUUAGGAAGUUCUUCAGGGGCUCUCCUUGGUACUGUUUUACUUCGAAGAGGUCGAAAGAGAUAGGAUGUUGAGCUCGAUUGACUAUGAACUGCUCCUUGAACAAAGUAGAGAACUGAUCGAAAGAGGUUAUGUGUCUGUUUGGGAGUUUAAUGAACCAAUAUAAUGACAUGUCUGCGAGCAUCCCCAUGAACAGUUUGCAAUGCAUGGCAUCUAUUCCUCCGCAGUUGACUUUGGGAACAGGUUGUAACUCCGUCUUGAUUGACAUUAAUGCACAUAUAAAAAUCAUUCAUAUCAAUUCCUCACAUACAAAAUUAUUAAGAUUGUUUCCUAAAUAUCGAUUUCUUGCAUAUUUGUAAAAAUGUGUUAUCAUUACAAAUAGAUGUUAUAAAGCAAUUAACAUUUCAAAUUUAUUCCUAGCAUUCAGAUACGUUAAGCAUUAUCAUUUAGGUCAAAUGCUUAGAAGUACUUUCCAGUCAAAUCUAAUAAUCAAACUCAUGAAUAAAGAUUCAAACUUUAAGAAUAAAAUGAUAAUACCAAUCAUCAAUCAAGAAAAUAUUAUAAAUGAAUAUUACCUUAAUAUAUUAGACUUUGAACAGAUUACUCUUAAUCGCAAAGGAAAGACUUAGCCACUCAUAUUGACCAUUAGAAGCAUGAAAAACAAGUAAAGAAGAACCAAGGUGUUUCUCCUUGACAGUUGCCUCCUCCAAGGUUUUUUAUCUCUGAUUAUCCUCCCAAUGAUGUCUAUGGUUAUACAUCAUGUCUUCUAUUUAACCUAAUUAGGCUUGGAUUAAGUGGCAUCUCGACCAAUCGAGAUAUUGCUUUCUUAAGCGAGUUUCAGGAUAAAAAGCCCAACUUUACUGGAGUGAACUCGCUUAAGAGAGCCUUGGGCGAGUCUUGCGAGUUCCUCUGGAGUGAUCUUGCUUGGGUGAGAUUUCACUGCUCCAAGUUUGAAUUUUCAUCUUGUCUUUCACUUGUCCAUUUUCGUUUAGCCAUUUUAUCUCCAUUUUCCCCUAGAUUCUUGAAAUUAGCACAAACUUGGGAAUAAAUCAUUCUUAUUAAUCUCAUAAUCCAAAAAAUAUGUAAAGAGGUUAAAAUUCCUUAAUUAGAUAUUGAAUGAUAAUUUUAUUAACAAUUAAAGUCCACAAGUGUCUAUCUUUUAGUAUGAAAUAUUACUGAAUUAUGGCACUUAUCAACUCCCUCCAAUCUAAAAUCUUGUUUGUCCUAAAGUAAAGUAAAUGAAUAUAAAUAAAUCAUAUUUGAGUUCAAAUAUCAAAACAACUUUAUUUACUAAACAUCAGAUUAAAUUAGAAACUUUUGGUGCUUCCAACUUCAAAUACAAUAAGAUAUACAAAAUAUGCAAAAUAUGACACCCUAUAAAGACGGUUCCGAAAGAACAGUCGUAAGAGAGGCAGUGGCAUUGUUGUAAUUUUUUUUCAAUUUUUUGCUACUUUUAAUGACGGUUUUCUCCUAAACCGUCGUUAUAUAUGUGAUUGAUGGAGCUUCAUAGGGUGUCGUUAUAUGUUGGGUCUGGCACAAAUUUCAGCUACGCUACGCGGAUGGUCUCUCACUCUCCUCACUUCAUGUUCCUCUCAUCGCUCCCUUUCUCACCUCUCCGCACGUAGCUACUCCAUUCAUCUCUUCCUUCUACCUCACUCUCACUGAAUCUACCUCACUUCAUCUUCUUCCUCGCACAACGUCGUGCCUCUGCCUCAAACCCUCGCCCUUGAAUCGCGUUGCCGCUCUCCUACUUUCACCGCGUUGUCACUCUCCUUCCUCCCUCACUUCAUCAUUUCCUCCGCAUCUCCAUAGAAAUCAUGUGCCAACAACGAAUCGCGCCUCCGCACGCUCUUUGUUGCGCCGCUUCUCCUCCACGACACUACUCUCCAUGCCGUCGUGUCUCUUCCGUACCACUGCCCAUCCUUCUAAUUUGAUAAAGGUCAUGGUGGAGAAGGUCUUUUAUGGUGAUGUUGUAGUUCCUGUUCCAACAUCAGAGGUGACAAUUGUAGCAGAGGCAUUGCAUACUUUCGUUGCCUGGCUUAGACAUCUCGUCAGACCUAUGGACUCUAUGGUAUAUCUUUGCACUAAUAGGAUUACAUAUCAGAUAUAUUACAUUCUAAGUAAUUUAAUUAUUUGUUUGUUUGUUGAUGAGUAGUUGGAACCUAAGACAAAACUGUCUCUGCGAAAGAAGAAAAAAUUCUCCACUAAUGAUCUUAUGGCGUUGGUGGAAGUUGCUACAGCUUUACAUACAACUGUUGUUAAGGUUCCAUGGGAUGCUAAUGUUUUUGGAAGGCAUAGUGAUGUACCCUUGUACAUUCACAUGUCUGAUUUGUUGGACCUUGCAUCUGGAAAUCAAGAGAUUAACAUAACAGUUCUGCAAUUAUGGAUGAUGUAAGUUCAAAUAUUAAAAUAUUUAUACUUUUGAUUAAUUAAAUAUAUUAGUUCUAACUUAUUGAAAUUUAGGUAUAUUUGUGGAUUAUGCUUCAAUGAGGGGAAACAAGAUAUAUAUGGGUUUUUACACCCUCAACUCAUUCAAUCACUUAGAAAUAAGAAGUCAGAAACACAAACAUACAUCACCCCUGCCUUAAAGAAUGGAGGAAAAUGAAUUUAUUUUGCUCCGUACAUCCAUGAGUAAGUCCAUAUUUAUUAAAUAAGUUAUACUAAAUUAUUGAAAUAAGAGAAACUAAUUGAUUUGUUAUAUAAGCGUCAUUGGAAACUAUUGAUUAUAUCUGUUCAAGAUCAUACCGCUGCAUGGUUUUGCUCCUUGCAUAAGAAACCCCCUACCUAUUUUAAACACGUUAUAGAUAGGUACGACAAUUUCAUUUAACAUUUAUUAUUACUUAUAUAUUAUAUAAUGUUAUGUAUUCUAACAUGAAAUCUUCUUAUUUCAGUGCUUACUCUGGAUAUAACAUGUUAAGUGAGAGGGGAAGUGCAAAUGCACAAAAACUCACUUGGAUGUACCUUAAUUUAAAGUACAUAUGUUCACUCAAUUUAAUGUGUCUCAUUCAUUCAUUUAAUACAUUUAUUUUUACAUGCAGUCCAACAGAAAAUCUGAAAGUUAUGAGUGCAGUAACUAUGUUAUGCAGUGGAUGUCAACUAUUGGGGUCAGGUAAUACCUCAAUACAAAAACACUUUAAAACUCAGAGUUUAUUAACUAAUUAAAAAAAAUCUAAUGUCACAAUUUUUCAAUGACGAACAGUCGCUAUGUUUGGAAGCAUUGGAGUACGUAAGGACAACAUGGUCAAAGUAUUUUUUAACCGUAAGAUAGAUAAAUUAUUAGAAUGAGAUAAAACUUUUUCAUAUAUUAGCAAAACUUUUUGUAGAAUGUUAUAAUUUGUUGUAUGUAUUUUCCAUAUUUAAAUUAUGAUUUUAAAUUUUUUAAUUUUUUGGAAAUUUAAUAUUUUAUGCAGGUUUGAGGUGUAUAUAUAUAAAAUAAAACAUUUUUUAAAAAAAAAAAUACAUAUAACGACGGUUCCACGUGGAACCAUCUUUAAAAUGCUUUUUUUUAAAAGGGACACACUUCCUCUACCAUCGUUAAAAAUAUUUAAAAAAUAUAUAUUUACAAUAUAAGUAAUGAUGGUUGAGGAUUCGUCGUUAUAAUUUUUUUUAACGACGGUUCUCCAAUCGUCGUUAUAAAUGGUUUAUUUAUAAUGACACCUGUAAUAACAACGGUUCGGGAACCGUAUUUAUGUCCUUUUUAACCAUCAUUAUUGUACCUUUUUGUACUAGUGAAUCAACUUUCAAGAUAACAACUGAAACAAUGAAAUGACAAUUUAUCAAGGGAUUUUUUCCCAUACGUUCACAGGUAAGUGCUUCUCUCAAUUUCCACUUAAUCCUAACAAAUCAAUUGAUUUUAAUUUCACCUUCAUAUUGUUAGAAUAUAUGGCCUUAAAUAAGAGGGGGGUGAAUUGUUUAUAAAAGAUUUUCGAAAAUUUUUGAAGGUUUAAUGAAACUCAGUGAAGAAAUCUAGAAGAGAAAUCAAGUUAGCCAAGAACACAAUCUGUUUUAAAGUGAAACACUGAAAAACAAUUGGUUGUUUAUUCGAAUCAAUCGGUUGUUUAUAUCAGUUAAAACUUAAACAACUUAAAAAUAGAAUUUAAAGGAGUUCAGAGAAAGAGAAAUGCACACAAGUAGUUUAUACUGGUUCACUCUUACAACAAGAGUUACAUCCAAUUCCCAGAAACCACUGGGUAAUCCACUAAGCAAUCAAAACAAAUUACAAAACACCACACACCAAAAUAGUGACCUUGAACCCCUCAAGAAAUACAUUACCUUUGGCAAACCACACCAAGAGUAUUGAUCUUGAACACCUCAAGAACACAACACUCCUUGGCAAUACAACAACAAAAAUACAAAAGAUAAAGAAAGGAUUACACCUGAUCAAAGUUCAAUUGAAAAGAAUACAAUUACACCUGAUCAAAGUUCAAUUGAAAAGAAUACAAUUGCAAUCCUAUUUCACUCUCACUUGAAAAUUCAAAGCUUGAUGUGAAUCUUAAAAACUUGAGAUCAAAUUUGUCAAACUGAAUUUCUCAAAAUUGUUUCUUACUCUUCAGAAACAUAUAACAAACUAUUUAUAUUUUCCAAAGAUUGGUCAAAACAUUUAAUGAAGGAGCAUAUUCAAUUAGAAAUCAUUUAAGACAGAUUCACCAUUCAAAACUGAAUUUUGUAAGGAUUUUCAAAGAAACAAUCGGUUGAAACCACGAAACAACCGAUUGAUUUGGUUUAACAGUUAAGUCAACCAAGUCAAACAACUUUCAACCUUUUUCAAAACCUCUAAGAACAAAACAACCGGUUGAUUCGAGAAAACAACAACUUGUUUUUCACUUAGUUGAAAAAAAAAAUUCAAAAAGGUUUCAAUUCACAUCAGUUUUAAAUUCAACAAAAGAGUGGAUUACACUUUAUUCUACCCUAAUCCCACCCACACAUAGCAUCAACACCAACCUUUCAUCAAACACCUUGGAUUUGGAUUCUUCAAAGCUCUUGAUCACUCUUGAUCAACAAUCUCCCCCUAUUUGAUGAAGACAAAUCCCUGGUUGCUUGUGUUGAUCUUGUUUGAAUCUGACACAGCACCUGUAAAACAGAAAUCAUGCAAUCCAGAACAUCUCUAAUAGCAGGUUAUAAUGAUAUAUCAACUAGUUUUUCUACAUAACCACAAGAGUAGAAAAACUAGCCAUAAACUAUGCCAAAAACAUCAAAAUUGCAACGCCAAAUCAAACAACAUAUGCUGCAGAAUUUAAAGGCACUUGAAUUUCCAAGAUAUGGAAUAUAUUCUUUUUAUGACAAGAAGUAACCUCCUCCUGAACCAAAUCAGACUCAUAUGACUGCUUCAUUGACUCAUAAUUCUUUUAAGAUUGAAAUCUGAAAAAGAUAGAAAGCAUAAAGAAAUUAAAUCAAUUUUAUGCAGAGCUGUCAGAGGAGAAACAAUCGGUUGUUUCGAGAAAACAAUCGGUUGUUUUUCUGAAACAACAACUAAAUAGAAUUUUUAAAAGCAAAGAAGAAUCAAAAUGUAAUUGCUCCACAUAUAUCACAAUUUGAUGAAGAUUUAACACAUAUUAAGAAAAGAAAAACAACAUAAACAAAGAAAGCCUUAUCCUUUUGUCAUAAAGUCCCUUCAAUGAGUCAUUGUUCAUGAUUAAGAAAACUUAUUUUGGCUUUUAAGAAGACUUAAGCUGGUACAGAAUCCUCAGUUCAAUUCCAGAAAGAAUCCUUUCCUUCCAAAAGCUUGAUUUGAUGACUCAAGAGUCCCUACUUGUCUUAGUAUUCCUACAACACAAAAAAUUCAAGAAACAAGAUUUGGGUCCUUAUGAUUUAUAUUUAUCACUGGAAACUUCAGAAUCUUUGGGAAUCCAUCUUAUAAUACCUUUAGGAACAUAAUAUUUCCUAAUUUUACAGAAUCUAACAGAGUGGCCUCUCUUCAUGCAAUAAAAACAUGUAACAACCGGUUGUUUCGAUUUUUCAAUCGGUUAUUUUUCUGGCACUUUUGAAAAAGGCUUUGAAAUCCCAUUUUUCUUGCUUUGAGGAUUAAACCCCAAACCAGAUUUUCCAGAAACACAUUUUUGGGAUGCCAAGACAGUUUCAAAGUUAUAUUUACCCUUUGAAAGUGUAUCCACAGUUCUUACAAGAUAGUGGACUUUACUCUCAAGAGUUUUACAAUUUUCACAAGCUUUUGAGUGACACAUGCAAGAAGAAUUCUUGCAAUGCAAUUCAAGAUUUUCAAAAUCAGUUUUUGAAUUUUCCAAUUCUUCUUCAAGUGUCUUGACUCUAUUUUCAAACCAAUUAUUCAACCCUUUCAACCGGUUGUUCAAGAGAGCCAAUCGGUUAGCUUCCUCAUGAGUUUCUUUAAAAGCUUGAAGCAAUUGACUAUAGUUUUCAGCAUUUAAAGAGGCACAAGAACUUACACUGCUUGAAUCAUCUUUUCUCUCUGCCAUCAAACACAGAUUGGCUUUUUCAUCUUCACUUGAUGAGGAGACUUCAUUUUCAUCCCAAGCAAUUGGCCUUUUUUGAUUUCUCUUUCUUGCUUGACUUUUUUUCCUUGCCUUCUUUAUUUGGGCAUUCAACUUUCAUAUGCCCUUGUUCUCCACAACCAAAACAAAUAUAAUUGUUAGGAGUAAAAUCACUAGUUUUCUUGUUUCCAUACCUUUCUUUGUUGGAUUCUUUGUUGCGGUUUCUCUUCAAGAAUUUGCUGAACUUUUUGGACAGCAAACUAAGAGUUUCUCCCUCACUUUCAUCACUUGAGUCUUGCUUAUUUUUGUUCUUGGCAACUUUCAAGGCUAUGUUCCUUACAUGCUUGUCUUCACUUUCUUGAACAUUGAGUCUAUUCAUCUCUAACUCAUGUUCUCUAAGCUUUCCAAAUAAGGAGGUUGUGGUUAAGGAUGUCAAAUCCUUAGACUCAAAGAUGGAAAAAUUUUUGGUUUCCAAGAUCUAUCAAGACACUUUAGAAUCUUGAUGCUCAACUCCUCCUUGUCAAAAGUUUUUCCAAGACUCAUUAGAUAAUUGACUAUGUGGGUGAAUCUCUUUUGCACUUCAACAAUUGAUUCUCCUUUGAGCAUUCUGAACAUCUCAUACUCUUGUAUUAGAGUAUGUUUCCUUGCCCUUUUCAUAUCAUUUGUCCCUUCAGGGGUGACCUCUAGAGUAUCCCACAUUUCCUUAUCCGCCGAUGCACAUUAUGAGAUACUGAAAAAUUCAUCAGAGUUCAAAGCAGAGGUUAUGAUAUUCUUGGCAAUGCAAUCAAACUUGGCCUUUUUAUUUUCAGCAUCAGUCCAUUGGGACCAAGGUUUUUCAAUAGAAGCACCUUCCUUUUCAAAUUUUGGAAUAAGAGGUUCAUUCUCAAUUGCAUCCCAAAUCCCUUUAUCAAGAGAUUCAACAAAGAUUUUCAUUCUAACCUUUUAAAACUAAUAGUUCAAACCACAAAACAAAGGUGGCCUGUUAAUUGAGGCACCCUCCCCAAAACGUAGUUUUUCAGCCAUAGAAAAAAGGAUUUAGGAUUGAAAACUUGAGUAACUACAAGAACUUAGCUCUUGAUGUCAAUUGUUAGGAUAUAUGACCUUAAACAAGACGGGGGGAAUUGUUUAUAAAAGAUUUUCGAAAACUUUUGAAGGUUUAAUGAAACUCAGUGAAGAAAUCUAGAAGAGGAACCAAGUUAGCCAAGAACACAGUCUAUUUUAAAGUGAAACACAGAAAAACAAUCGGUUGUUUCUUCGAAUCAAUCGGUUGUUUAUACCAGUUAAAACUCAAACAACUUAAAAACAAAAUUUAAAGGAGUUUAGAGAAAGAGAAAUGCACACAAGCAGUUUAUACUGGUUCACUCUUACAACAAGAGCUACGUCCAGUUCCCAGAAACUACUGGGUAAUCCACUAAGCAAUCAAACCAGAUUAAAAAACACCACACACCAAAGUAGUGACCUUGAACCCCUCAAGAAACACACUACAUUUGGCAAACCACACCAAGAGUAUUGAUCUUGAACACCUCAAGAACACACAACACUCUUUGACAAUACAACAGAAAUGCAGAAGAUUCAGAAAGGAUUACACCAGAUCAAAGUUCAACUGAAAAGAAUACAAUUGCAAACCUAUUCCACUCUCACUUGAAAAUCCAAAGCUUGAUUUGAAUCUUGAAAACUUGAGAUCAAAUCUGUCAAACUGAAUUUCUCAAAACUGUUUCUUACUCUUCAGAAACAUAUAACAAACUAUUUAUAUUUUCCAAAGAUUGGUCAAAACAUUUAAUGAAGGAGUGUAUUCAGUUAGAAAUCAUUUAAGACAGAUUCACCAUUCAAAACUGAAUUCUGUUAGUUCAAAGAAACAAUCGGUUGAAACCACGAAACAACCGAUUGAUUUGGUUUAACAGUUAAGUCAACCAAGUCAAACAGCUUUCAACCUUUUUCAAAACCUCUAAGAGCAAAACAAUCGAUUGAUUUGACAAAACAACAGGUUGUUUUUCACUUAGUCGGAAACACAUUUAAUUUUAAAAGGUUUCAAUUCACAUCAAUUUUAGAUUCAACAAAAGAGUGGAUCACACUUUAUUCCACCCAAAUCCCAUCCACACACAGCAUCAACACCAACCUUUCUUUAAACACUUUAGAUUUGGAUUCUUCAAAGCUCUUGAUCACUUUUGAUCAACACAUAUCACAAUCACAUUAGAACAUGAAUAUUAAGGUCUUUUUCAGGGUUAUAAUGGGAUUGAGCUUUCAAUGAAUAUUGGUUUUUCAUAUAAGAAAAUACACAAUUAAAAGAAAAACAACAUACCUACAAUGCAUAUGUGUUAUCUAAUCACUAACUUCUUUUGAGUUUAAUACUUUUCCCCAUUUUCUUUACUUAUUCAUGAUUUCAACUUUUUUUUUUCUAAGAGAAUAGAAAUAGAUUAUUCCUAUUUCUAACCAAAUGAAUUAUUUAAACUUAUAUUAUUCAAACAACUGAAACCAACCAUUCCUUUUUUUCUAUAUAUAAAUUGCAUUUAUGUUCUCCUUCCUUAAACAUGUCAACAGGUAGGAAAAUAUAUUAGUUAAGGUUCAGGGUGCAAUAAUAAUAACAAAUAUUCUUGGCUCAAAAAGGUUAUCACAGAGAUAUAAUCAAUUUAAAUAAAGGUUGGCUAAAUGACUCUAGCUUUCUAAUUAAUACAAAUGCCUUAAUCAUUUUCAUGCUCUUUUAUGAUGUAACAUAAAAUAAAAAAAUCAAGCAACCAUAACUGUCAUUCAUCAGUGAAACUCUCAAACUAUUUAAGAUUCACACACUUACUUGGCUUAAUUAGUCUAAUUCCUUUUUGCUUGUCAUUCUCUAUUUCAACUAAUCAUCCUAUUUAAUUUUUAUGUACCAUAAUCUAAACUAAAUUGGAAUAUGGAUUCAACACAUUUUCUUUUCCAACCUGUGUCUAUAUCAUUUCAUUAUUCUAAUCUUAAACACAAAUUUUGAUUAAUAAUUUUCCCACAAUUCAAAUUAAUAUUCCAAUUCUUACAAUAAUAUUUAAGAAUAAUGUAAACUAGAAAAACAACUCAACAAAUAAAAUAAAACUAAAAAUAACUCAACAUAUAAAAUAAAAUUUAGAAACAAAAUAAGCAAAUUAAACAAACUUAAAGGAAAUAACUAUAAAGAUAAAACCAUGUUUUGUGCUCAAUCAUCUCUUCUUAGCAACUCAUCCAACUAUGUGUUGAAAUCUUAAUAUACAGUCGUAGAUGGUCCUGCUUCAUCUACUUGAAUUGCCCCCCGAAGAAAUAAUACUUAUCUCCAAACCAUGCAAAUAAGCUCCAAAGUGAUCUGCAGGCAUAAAUUCUCAAAAUUUAUGUUAAAACAUUACAGAAAAUCCUUUUAUCAAAACUGAACUAUCAAUUUUAAUGGAUUAAAAAAUUUAUUUAAUAUGUUGAUUUCACUUAAGGUGAAAAUAAUGAAUUAUUUCAAAUUUUCAAUUUUUUAAAACCAUUCCGGAUAAUAACAUCCUUAAAACCAAGAGAUUUCAAUAAGCUAAAAACUAAUUAUAACAGAUUAAAAAAAUCUUUACAAAACUACUUGGGAUUUUAAAUAUAAUUUGAACAAAUUGAUUUCAUAAAAUAAUCAAUUGAAAUAUGUUGGGUUUAAUAGUGCCAAAGUUCAAGAGGGGGGGGUGAAUUGACCUUUUAAAACUUUCUCGCAGAAACAAUGUUUAACUCAGUUUUACAGAAAAUAAAUCGAUUUAUGUGAAAAUGAACAGAUUUAUUUCAGCACUGUUUUUGUUUGAAACGCUUUUAAUACAACAAUAUUAACCACAAGACUAUGCAGAUAGAUUUUCCAUAUGCAUACACACAGAUAUCAGAUUGAAAAACAGUGAAAUACAAAACAGCAAGUUUCAAUUUCCAGUAAGUGAUUAAGGUUCAAUUGAUAGCAUGCUAAUUAAUUGAGUGACCUUUGCAAACAACCUGUUCCAGUGGCUUUUAACAGACUAUGAGUGUUCUUCUUGAUGUCAAGCAAUUUUCCAGAAAUUAAGAACAAUGAAUCACAGAACAGCAAGCUUCAACUUUAAGCAAUUGUUUAAGGUUCAAUUAAUAGCUUUGACAGUUUCUUGGGCAACCUAUCACAGCCAAUCUGUUCCAGUAACUUUUAGCAGAUUUUAUAUGUUCUUAUCAGAUUAAGACAACUUUUUCAGAAAUCAAGAACAGUAUGCACAGUGCCCAGAAAGAACAGAUUUAUUUUCAAUUGAACAGAUUUAUUUCUUUGCUGUUUUAUCAAUUAUGCAGAAACGAAAUUGCAGAGAGUGAGAGAGAAUGAACACAAGCAAUUAUACUGGUUCACUCAACUGAGCUACAUCCAGUCUUCACCAACAACAGGUGGAAAUCACUAACACACAGUACAACCAAGAACAAUUCCCACUGUUCUUGAAACCUACAAGAACUUAGGUACUCUUGCUGAAAAAACCUAUUUCAGCAUACACACACACCCACUCUUCAAGAACACCUACCAAGAAGAGUGUUCAACCAAACUAUUACAAGAAAGAGAUGUGAAACGACUACACCUGAUUGAGGAUACACAGAUCUGCCUUAAACCAGUAGGCAAGAUUGCUAGAACAGUAGCUGCACCUCACACCAAGCUUUUGGAACCAAACCAAGAACAAGCACUUUGUGAUUUUUGAAUCUUUGAAGAACAAAUGCUAAUUCUUUGUAAACACUUAACUCUCUGCUGUCAAAACUUGUUUUUGCAAAUGUAUGAAUUGUUUGAAUUGUUAUUAAACUCAGAAACAAGUUUGCAUUUUAUAGAAAACCAACUUAUAACAGAUUUUUGAAAAACAGUUAAAGCUGUUAUAAAAUGAACAGAUUGAAAAUAAAAUGAACAGAUUUAUUUUCAAAAAGCAGUUAGAGAAUUUGUUAAGUGAGGAGACUUAGUCAACCAUUCUGGUGCAGAGAUAAAACUGAAAAACGUUUAAGCUUGACAUGGCACCAGAGACAAAAAGAAUCUAUUCAUUUACAGAUGAACAGAUUUAUUUUUCAAAACGAAAACAGAGAAAGUUUAACAAUUUAAAACUCAGUCGUUUUGAAAAGAAGAAGACUUAGUCAAAAUAUCUGAUGCACAAAAUCUAAUUUUUACAAGACUUUAGCCAAGGCAUCAGUGAAGAAAAAUGAAUCUGUUUAUUUAGAAAAGAACAAAUUUAUUUUUAUGCAGUAAACGUGUUUUUGUGUAAAACAUGUGAAAAAUAGUUUAAGAAAACUUAUGCUUGUUCUUAUCACAUGGCCAGUGGUUAUGAGGUGAGUUACCCAGCAAAAAGCCCACUCUUAGACAACCUCUAAGCACCACCUAAGACAUACUUAAAGCAAAGCAAAAUACAAAUGAAAUGUACAUAUAAGACUUCAUCAAACACUACAUAUAAGUUCAUCAAACACAAUCUUGAAGGGGCAGCAACCAUCUUCAACAAAAUAUUCACUCCAAUCUUUAAAGAGGUUAAGAAUUUUUAACAGAAUAAAAAUAUCAUUUAGAUCCAUUGAAAUUAUCUUAAUACGAACAAUAAGUUCCAAAUAGUCUGAAAACAUUCUGAAAUUAUUCUUGGAUUAUGUGGAUCAUUAACCUUGGUAAUCGGAAAAAUACAGACACAUAAACUCACAGACACACACUAUGUAAUCUAAGUCUUCUCUUCAAACUUGGAUUCAUCAAAUAACUCAUCUUCAAUUGUACCUGCAUAUGAGUGCUUUGAGCAUAUCUUGUUUAGAUUCAUAAAGUCUGCGCACAUUCGCCAUUUGACGCUCACCUUUUUUUACCAUGACCACAUUAGCUAAUCACUCUGUGGUACAAUCCAAGUAGACAAGAAGAUGACCAAGGACUCAAGAGACCAUUCACACUAUGAGCAGUCAUCUCAACAAUCAAGUCAAGACCCCACCAAAGAUCUAAUGGACCUCACCAGAAGAAGAACUGGGCAUAGACAUGUCGUAAAUAAUUUGGGGUCACUUUAGGGGUCCAAAUAACAAGAUAGGCUAUAGUAGGUUCAUAUAGCAUAAAAGGGAGUGUUCUUAGCGAAAUUGGCUUAUAUUAAGCCCACUUUUCAAGACAAGGCAUCUAGGUUUAGGAAGGUUGCCCUACCUUCUAGAAAACCUAGCCAAAGGGGUGGUUUUGACUUUAGUCAACCUCCCUUGGCCGCCCCUUUUCAUGCCCAUUAUACCCUUGUUUCAUCUUGUUUUCCAAGGCACCCAUUGUUAAAAAUAGGGUGUCUUGCCUCAUGUUAUGACCCAUUUAAAAUUUCAAAUAGAAAGGAAACUCUGCACAAAUUGUGAGUGAGAUUUGUGUUCUCUCAACUUUGGUCUUAUCUUGUGAGAGUGAGAGCUCUUCAAGUGGCGACCCUCAUCACUUAUCUUGGAGAUCCCACACCUCCAAGUGGCGUGUUCAUUCAUUCCCUUCACCAUAAGCUUUCCUAUCCUUCAUCUUUUCUUCCAUUUUCGAUUACACCAUUUAUCCUUGUGUUUAUGUUCUUGUUUUGCUUCCAUUUUCAAUUCGGUCUCCUUCAUUAUAUUUGCUUCCAUUUGUGUUCUUUCAUUUUCGCAAAGCAUCAUCAUCUUCACCAUAUCUUGUGUUUUCCUUUUUGCCUUUGGAAGUGAACAUUCACACUUAACCACUUGGUUAAGUUCGUGUCCAGUGGGGAUCUUCCCUAGGUCUCACCCUAUAAUUGCUAAAAUUCAAACCAUGAACAAAGUGCCACCAUUAAAAUGGACAAACCUAAAAUCAACUCACAUCACUCUGGAUAUUAGAUUUCCCGAAUAUGCUCACACUAAAAGAAAAUCAUUAAAUAGAUAGAGACAAAAAUUCAUUAGUUACUAUAUUGACUAAAUUAGAUACUAUGUUAGAGAUUAAACAAAAUUUUGAUAUCUAAAGUAGUCUCUAUUAUUAAUAAAAAUCAUAAACUACUUUCUAAAUUGGUAUCUAAUUAGCUACCAAGGUAUCUACAGUGGUAUCAAAUUAACUGCUAGUAUCUAAAACUUUGGUUGUUAAUUAGAUACUAAUUUAGAAACUAGUUUAUAAAUUUUAUUAAUAAUAGAAAUUAAUUUAGAUGCAAAUAAGUUUUUAGUCUCUAAAGUAGUAUCUAAUUUAGUCAAUAUAGUAACUAAUUACUUUUGGUAUCUAAAAUUUAUUUAUAUUUAAUGAUUUCCUUAUAGUGUCACCCACUAGUAGUUUAUGAUAUUCUUCUUUGAUUACCUGUCUUUUUUCUUCACAAAUUUCCUUCUUCUCUAAAUAAUUGGCUUCACCCUCGGUUGACAACUAAAAGAAUGGCAUAAGAAGUCGAUAUCUAUACUAGGAAUUUCAAAGGUCGUCCAGAAAAAGAACUAUAAGUUUGCUUUUAUCAAAUUUAUCAAUUUACUCUCGACUUGUUUGUGCAAGGCUCUGCCAAUUUUUAUCUUCUGGCCCUUCCUAAUGUUCGUCAUCUCCCACUAGUUGCGGCCUCAAAUCUUUGUACAUGAUUCAUGGUUCAAGGUCUAAAUUUUUUAUAUCGAAUGAGUAGGUUGUUGAGUAAGCAUUUUGACACAUGUGCAAACUAUUCGCGUGAAACUUCCAGGUCGUCCUUUAAUAUACCUUUAAUGUCACAAUGUUUCCUUUAGAAGCUGGGAACUUGACUUUGAAAUGUAUGAAAGACACUAAUGCUCCUAGUUUAUUCAAGAAAGGUUUCCCAAGGAGCAGAUUAUAAGUGUAAGGACCUUUAACUACAAUAUAUCUCACCAUAAUAGUACUUAUUGACUCUUCAUCGGUAAAGGUGGUUUGGAGAUCAACAUAUCCCCACACUUCUACUUGAACUGCUAAAAAUCUGACCAAAACACCAUCAGAUGACUUGAGUUGAUCUGAUACAGUCAUUCUUAAGUGUUGAAUGGAGAUUGAUGGAAGGCAGCGAAAGACUUGUAAAUUUGUGGAGGGAGCACAAAAUGGCUAUAGAGGUUCUUGGUUUGGGCAUGAGUUUACAAGGUUGAUGACUAUUUUACAACAAGUGUACCGUGUCAGAAGUAAUAAAUACCUAAGGAUGAAUAUUGAACUCACAAGGAACAUUUCCAAAUCUCAAGUAUAAUAUUCACUAAAUAUAAGAAAAUAUAUAAAAGUUUUUUGGAAAGGUUGUUUGUAUGGUGAAUUUGCAAGAAAUUAAAUAAAGAAAAGUAAAAGAGUUGUAUGAAUCAAUUGGGGUUCAUCCUUCUCACUCGUCUAUAUUUUUCAAAAGAAUAUAAUAUUCAAUCUUGAUUGAUAUUGAUGCAUAUAUAAAAAUCAUUCAUAUUGAUUCCUCGCAUAAAAAUUAUUAAGAGAGACUCCUAAAUAUCGAUUCCUCGCAUAUUUAUAAAAUUCCUUAUCAUUACGAACAAAUGUUAUAAAACAAUUAACAUUUCAAAUCUAUUCCUAGUAUUCAAAUAUGUUAAGCAUUAUCAUUUAGGUCAGAUUCUUAGAAGUACUUUCCAGUCAAAUUUAAGGAUCAAAAUCAUGAAUAAUUCAAUCUUUAAGAAUAAAAUGAUAAUACCAAUCAUCAAUCAAGAAUUGAAAUGUUAAUGGUUUCUAAAAAAAUAACUUAAACAAUAUGUUUAGUUUAUUUCAUAUACGAUUUGAUAACAUAUACCUAUAUUUGUUCAUAUACACAAUACAUUCAUAGUAUAUUACCACACAAAUAACAUGUACAAGAGUAUGUUAUCAAAAUAAAUUAUCUUAACAAGACAACUUUAUUCAAGUUAAUUAUCACUAUAAAUUCACAAGUCAAAUCAAUUCAUCAUCUUAUCAUCAACUACAUGCAUACACACAUACAAACAAACACACGUACACACACAUACCACACAUGGAUCCAUGCAUUCAAUGAUAUUUAUCAAGGAAUGUCUCAUACGGAAAACUCAUAAUAAGCAUUCACUAGUAGAGACACUACAAGAAAAAAUAGUUUUAACGAAGGUUUAUUUUUACAUUAUCAAGGGUUAAAACCCCUAUUAAGUCAUUUACCCAAGGUUGCAGUUUGCCCCGUUAAACCAUCCCUGGGGAACGUAUUUCCCGGGGUAUUUUUAAACCUCAAGAAAAGUCUUUCAAAACCCUUACUAAAUAUCAUGGGUUUAAGAACCUCCGUAAAAUACCAUGGGUUUCAAAACCUCUAUUAAGUAUCAUAGGUUUCAAAACCUCCGUAAAACACCAUGGGUCUCAAAACCUCCAUAACCAUGGGUUUCAAAACCUUCGUUAAAUUCUAUGGGUUUAAGAACCUCCGUAAAAUACCAUGAGUUUCAAAAUUUCCGUAAAAUGACUUGUCGUUUGAAAUAACCUUCAACCCCAUUUUCCACCAUCCACUACAAAAAAAAUCACGUUUAGCGACCACCAAAUUCGGUCACUAAAAGCACUAUAAUUGGUGGCUAAACAUAUUUGCGACCGAAACAGUCACCAAAUAAAGAUGGAAGCGAAAACCCUAGUCGCAAAGCCUUUAGCGACCGAAUUAUAAAGUGGUCGCUAAUUUGCAACCGAAAUUUCGGUGGCUAAAUCGGUCAUAGAAAAUUUGGUCAUCAAAAUUCAGAAACCAAAUUAGCAACCGAUAUUUCAGUGGCUAAAUCGGUUGCAGAAAAUUUGGUCACCAAAAUUCGGAAAUCAAAUUAGCGACCAAACUUUUGUAAACAAAUCGGUGGCUAAAUUGGUGGCUGAAAUAGAAGGUGAUAGUGACCACCAUUUUCGGUCGCUAGUGGAUUAAUUAAAAAAAAAACUUUUGGUGGCUAAUUCGGUGGCUAAAUGGAGACCCUAUAACAACAUAUUUGAUUUCGAUGGCUAAAUAUUUUUUUUAAUUACAGCAAUCGAUUCUAUUUCAGUAGCUAAAAAACAACUUUGUAGAUGUAGCCACCAAGUCGGUUUCGAUGACUAUUUUUUAUGUAUUAUUAAUAUCUAUUUAAACUAGUAUUUUGACCAUUUUAUAAAAAAAUUCAAAUAUGCUUAUAGAUACUUAAAAUUGUGGGAAGCUAAAUAGGAAUGAACUUCAAAUACAUAAUUUAAGAAAUGAAAUCAAAUUGAUUAUUGUUAAAUAUAUAUAUAUAUAUAUAUAUAUAUAUAUAUAUAUAUAUUUGUUGUAGUAAGAAGUAAUUAAGGAAUUAAAAUGUUUAAAAAUACAAGUAUUCGGUUUUAAUGUUAAGUUUUGUAAUAACUAAAAUCAUGUCAAGUCUUCAUGUUUCAAUGGAUCAAAGGUUAUGCAAUGUGACGUAACAACAACACUAAAAUAGUAUUAAUAAAUCCAGGUUCCAUAUUUUUAUACAAACAAGAAAGAGAAACCUAAUUUGGAUGAUGAAGGAUUACAGUGUCUUUGUAUAUAAAAUGAACCAAGGCCUAAUAGACGCAAGAAAAUAAUUAGAUAAUGAAGAAAAAUGGUAUGAGAUUACACAUUAAAACUGAACUAAGUAGCAAUGCUACCUUGAAAACUCUAGGCUCCAUGUCAUUGAGAACUAUCACCCUAUCAUCUUUCCCUAACCCAUUGGAAAACAACAGGAAAAAUAAAACUGGAUGCCUCACACUAACAACAUUCUUCAACAAAAAUAAUGCAGGUGCCUUGUACUUCUCAAACAUAAGCUUUGUUGUCCUGCAAUAAUAAAAUCCAAAAUAUACGAACUGACACUUUAAGAUGAGCUCAUAAUUCUAGACAAUAAAUUAUAAUAAGAAUACAUUUCUCUCUGCUAUUGAGAGUUUGAAGAAGGCUCUACAAGGAUCAUAGGAUGCUCUUUAGGAUCAAUAAGUAGGCAAUCCCUACCAAAAACAGAAAGCAUGGUCGAUCAAUAGGCACUCUCUACCAGAAAAAGAAUGUGAACCAGUGACAAAUAAAAUAAUAUGUGGAUUUUAUAGUGACCAUGCAUGAAACUUGUUUUAAAUCAUGCUAUUUAAUUAGAACCAUUUGUCUGGACACCCCAAGGUAAAAAUUGAAGCAACAAUUACCCUAUUAACAUUCUAGGGUAGGUUAAAAAUUCAUUACAAUCUUAAAAUGCAACAAUAAAAGAAUAGUAAUGCAUAUUAUAGAAUUUGGCACAUGCAGAAUUAUAUACAUGAAUAGAGUCAUAGUAGCUGGGAGGAUGAAACUAGCCUAAGGGGGUACUGUUGCUCCCCCAUGGCAUGGACCAGCAGGUUUGAGAUCUAGAACUACAGAAAAUAAGGUCUGCAGAUCAUGUAAUAUGAAGCAUGGCCUCAGUAGGAUGGAAGGGGAAAUGUGUGUGAAGCAAUUACCAAGCCAAUGUUAAAGCAGAAUAUAAACUUAUUGAAUGAGGGGUGUCGUGCAAUAGGGAUGCAAAACCUAUACAUGCUUCAAAAUGAAAUGAGAGCAAUCAAAACUACAUCUAGAAGAAAAAAAACAUUAUUGUUGAAAAUAACCAUUACAUGGAAAUUAGCCUUACCUUUAGUUGUCUCUGCUGGAAGAACAAUUUAAUAUUGACAAGGGUCUAAAUCUACAACUACAACAAAGAAAUUAAAAAUAAAAAAAAAGAACCCAGGUAGCAAAAUUGAAGUGAAUCAGGAAAGCAUGAGAGUAAUUGUAUUAGGUUUAACCUAUGAAGCUAUAAUGGGAAAUAGUUGGUAAGAAAACCCAGAUGAUGCAAUUGAAAGGUGUAAGCAGAGAAAAUGUCACUUGGCAGCAAUGUUCAUAUUCAAUAUAGUUUAUAAUAGUCAUAGAUUAAAUAAUGUGAAUGGAAUCAGAAGCAAAGAAUGGUGGCAGAGUAAACUUGCUUCUAAAUGCAAGGUUUAGACAAUCCAAUUAAAGCUAACACACCAAUGUCUAUAAAAAAAUUCAUUAUUAUUAAGAAAACUAAACAUGAAAUAAAGCUUCAACUAUUAUCUAUGUCAUUCCUUAUCAAUUAUAGGAGCAUACGAUCCCAAAACUAUUGUCGCUGGUAAAGUUUGUGAUACUUUAGUUAUAGUUAUAUUACAAAACCAAAGCAACACUAGAUAAUAAUAACUAAAAAUAUACGAGAAACUAAAAUUAAAAUUAAAAAAAAUAUAUAUUAACUAAACCAAGAUGUUGAAAAUAUAAUUAUUAUACAAGAACAAACACUUUAGAAUUUAACUUGAAUACCUGCAAGUUCAUAUACGAAUUAAUAGAAACCAAAUAACCUGAAGAAAAAAAAAACCAGUGAAGACAAUCAACAAAAUGAAAUCCAUGCAGUAUUUGACCACCUUAGGAAACUGCAAGGAAGCAUUUAGAAAUGAAAUAACAAUAGAGAAAAUGAUCCAUAACAAAUCAUCAUACCCUUGUACUCCAUUCUCCACUUGAGUUUCACAAUUACAGGCUUCCUGGUCAAAUUAUUCAAGACAGGUUUGGGAUUAACUGGUAUAGUCUGCAAAACACGAGGUAAAAAAUAAACUUACAAAAAUUAGAAAAUAAAGCACAAUCAAUCACACGCUGUGAUCUUUUAUACUCAAAGAACAUUGGCUAGUUCUAGAUCUACUUCCACUAAAACUCUUUCAUUCCGAUUAAACAUCAAAAAAAUGCACAACAAUUCAGAAAAUGGAGAUCGGAGAUCUAGGGCAUGAAAAAUGGGGAAAAUGAAAAGCAAUUUUAAGAAACCAAAUCGGGGCAAAUUGAAAACGAAUACCAAAUAAGAGCUUCGAUUGAGAUGAUUGAGCUUCGAUUGAGAGAUGAAGAUUAGAAUAUAUGGAGAUGAAGAGCAAACAACUACUGUGUGUAUAAAAACCACGAAACUUUAUAAGUAUGUGAAAAACUGCGGGAAGUGUGUAAGAAUAUGAGAGUGUGUCACAGAUUUGCGUCAUUCUCGUUCGCGAUGCAGAGGCCCUAGAAAGAGAGAGAGAGGUGGGGGAGCAAUGUAGCGAAAACCUAAAUUGUUGGCGUUCAUCGUCAUCGUCGUUGGCGGCAGUCUAAGAAGCCAUGACCUGAGCGAGGCGCUGAGCAGCGGCUUUGCCUGCAACAUUCUGAGUCCUUUUGACGGUUGAAAUUCGAGUUGCAGUGAGGGUGAGUGAGGAAGAACAAGAAUGGCCAUUUCCUUUUUCUUUUUCUUUUUUUUUUAUUAUUAUUAUUAUUAUUAGUAUUAGUAUUAGUAAAAGACACAUUUAUAUUUAGCCACCAAAAAAAAUCGGUGACUAAAAAAUAAACAUAUUUGGUGGCUGAUUCGGUAGAAAAAAUAAACCGUUACAUUUAGCGACCAAAAGAAAAUCGGUGGCUAAAAUAUAAACAUAUUUGGUAGCUGAUUCGGUGGCAGAAAUAAACAAUUACUUUUAGCGACCAAAAGAAAAUCGGUGGCUAAAAUAUAAACAUAUUGGGUGGCUAAUUCGGUGGCAGAAAAUAAGCAAUUAUAUUUAGCGACCGAAAGAAAAUCAGUGGCUAAAAAAUAAACAUAUUCGGUCGCUAAUUUGGUCGCAGAUAUAUUUUUCCCAAUUUAUUCAAAACAGCCACCACUUUAGCGACCGAUGGUUUUGUGACUCUCAUGUUCGGUCGCUGAUUCGGUCGCAAAACUAACUAACAUCAUUACAAUUCAUUCGGUCACUGUUUCGGUCGCAGAUUUGACACUGAAGGUAUUUGGUGGCUAUUUCGGUCGUAAAUUGCAACUACUUAUUUUCGGUCGCUAAAUUCGGUGACUAAAUAGUUAUUUUCUUGUAGUGAUCUCUAACGGUCCUUCUAACUUCUCUCUUCCAUCGUAGACACACUACUCUCCGGCACAGGCUUAAUGAUCGCCAACGACAAUCCUAACAAGGAAUCACAAUUCAGUCACACUUAUGUUUAUUAUAUCUAAGGACAAGAAACACUAAAUAAAGCAUUAUCUUCUUCUUACCCCAAUAUUGCUUCUUCGAUCACCUUACUACCCCAACUCAUGUCACAAGCCACUGUUACCUAGCUCGACAACAACUAAUGUUUAUCACUUCUUUAUAUAUCAUAAAUAAUUGCAUUAUUUGUUAGAUGUUGACUUCAAAGUCAUGUGUGUUCUUGGCUACGAGGGCUUCAAAGUCUGUAAGAACAUAUUGUGAGGAGAAAUUAACUUUAUCAAUUCUCAAUUUCACAGUGAAUUAAUUAUUGGAUGAAUUUUAAAAUAAAGGUCUUAAUCUAAAAUAUUUCAAAAUUAUGAGAAUUAUAUAUUGACAAUUAUAACUAAAACUAACAUUACAGAUAAAAUAUACAUACAUCAAAAGCUAAAACAAAAUAAGUCAAAUUUUUUGAAGUAUGAGUUCGUAACAAAAAAAACUAGGAAUUAUAUAAACCAAAUACCAUAAAUCAUAAGAAAUAUGCAAAUACUGUUAAAAUACUUAUUAUCCAAGAUUAUUUUGCUGAAUUUUUAAAAUAAAUAUUUGAAACUUUAGAAAACUUAUUUGUAAUGUAAAGUUACAUUUUCAAAAUUUUAGAGAAUUUAGUUAUAAAAUUUAUAAAUAUAUUAAAACUAUAUAGUUUUCCAUUAUUUAUUUAUAAAUAGAUUUAGUUAUAUUUAUUUAUUGAAGUUCGAAAAUAAUGGAGUGUUUUCUUGAAGUUCAACAAUAAAUCUUUGAAAUUUAACAAAUGUUAAAAAAACAUCCGUUAUUUUUUUGAGAUUUUAAAUAUAAACCUUGAAAUCAAUUAAAUCUCAGUUAAUUAAAUCAAUUCAUUGGAUUAUUUAAACUUCGCUAAAUAACCUCCAUUAAAACCUUUUUUUUUCUUGUAGUGAGACUAUAUGAAUCAAGGUAAGUUUAAGGUAUAGGCAUAUCCAAAACUCAUAAAAGGUGUUUUGACGAUACAAUAAACUUCCCUCCAACUUCUUACCACUUGUGGAUGGAGUUCCUUACUCCUUCCAUAAGUUCUUCGGUUGAAGAUGGUUUGAAUGUGGAGAAUGGAUGAAAAAGAAAUAAUUGAAUAAAAAUGGUAAGAAAUGAAUGAGUUUGGGUGUGAAUUAUGAGAAUGGUGCUAGGAAGGAGGUUAGGCCAAUCUUCUAUCUAAUUUUCUAAGGCUUUUAAACUUAAGAAUGAGAGCAAAAGAAAAAUGAGACUUGAGAGAAACCAUAUAGGCAUAAAUUUAUUAAUCAAAUCAAGUCUUAUGUUUAUAAUAGAAGAACUCUUUAUUUAUAAAGCCAAAAUUGACUAAUGGAACAAAAAACUCUUCAUUCAUGGAGUGAUAUGUGACACCUAAAAACUAUUCAUUCAUGGGUUGCCAUGUGGCAAUAUAUGUAUCCCAAAGCUCUCCAUUCAAGAUGUGACAAGUGGCAUAAGGAGGAGAUGAAGGCAAGCAUGAGGUGCCUAAGUCAUCAUGAAGGACAAGGAAGAGUCGCUUUGGAAAAAGGAAGGGAAGGGCUUCUUGUAGGUGUCCAAGUGGCGCCUAUGUGUAUGUCAAGUAGAUUUCCCUUCAAGCUCUAAGGGCCCAAAAAGUGUAAUAUAGAAUUUUAAAGAUAGAAAUAGAAAUUUCUAAUUACUCUACAAAUUUACAAGACUUUUAGAAAGAAAAUCUUCUAUUAAACAAUUGUUCUCUUCUGGCCUAAAGAUUUUGGGGGUGGGAUGGUCCUCCAUCACUUGAUGUUUUAGUUUACACGACUUGGACUAUCAAUGAAUGUAACAACAUAAUUUCUUGCUUAAUACAAAAAUUCAAACAAUGGUUCACAAAUCAUCUCAGAUGUGUGACCCUAAAUUCAUACAUUUCUCAUCAUUCUCAACAACAUUUUUUGUAUACAACAUAAUUCAUUUAAACAACACCAUAAAUCAAUUCAAUGUACAAUUAUAUAUUAUAUUUACAUUUAUAUUUAACAUUCAUAUUCAAUCAAUUAACAUAAACAUAAAUUAAGAAAAAAAAAUUGUUUGAGUGAAAAAUCAUUCACUUAAGCGAAAUAGGACCAAGAGCAAAGGUUGAGUUUGUACUCUAUUUUUGCUUGAGUGAAAAUAUCAAAAACUCAAUUGUAUUCAAUAGGACCAAACGGACCAAACUGUUUCCAAAAUUUUACUCAAAAUCAUUAUAAAAAGUUCAACUUUUAAAGAAAUUAAAAUGGUCAUCACAACUAUAAUUUGCUUAGUUACCAUACUCUACUGAUUUCAAUUCAACCUUGAUCAUUCAAAUUUAAUAUAAUCUCCAUCCACAUUGAAUACUAAACCUAAACUCACACUAAUACCUGAAAACUAUGGGAACUAACUUUACUCCUUUGAACUAUAUUUAAAAACCAAUUUAAGAAACUUCAUACCUUAACAUGCACAAUUUAACCACUCUAUCAACAUCUUAACACAAGUAAUGAGUUCAGGGUGUUAUAGAUCAAACACCCAUUAACUCAAAACUCACAAUUGCACCCAACUUAAACUCAAGAUAACAAUUCUUAUUCCAAACACAACAAAAGAAUUCACUUUAACUUUAAAGUCAAUUAACAAAGAAAUCUUCAAUUUAACAUGCAUUUGAAUUCUACUUCAAAAUCUAAAUAUGAAAUUGUAACAAAACAAUUAUUUUACUAAAUUCUCACAACUAAACUAAAUCAUGUUUCAAAUUCAUUAUCAAAAUAUCUCUAAGGAUAAUUUUCAUUACUUAUAAUUCCAUGCUUCCAAGUAAGUUCUAGCUAAAAGAGAAGAAUCACUUAAAAUCUAGAAACAACAAAUUAUUCAAAUAUAACAAAAAUUCAAUACAAAUUUUAUAGUUAAGAUUAUCACUUUUCUCAACCCACCAAGAUUCAUGAAAAAAUCUAAAAGAAAAAAAAAUAAUAAAGAAUUUUCAAAAUCAAAUAGUUACUUACUUUAAUUAAAAAACCGACUCAAAAGAAAAAAUUAUAGGAACCAAAAUUAAAAAUUUAUAAUUUUCUAAAUAGUAAAAGCAUAUUUAAUUUUGUUAAAUUUCAUAUUUAAAUUUCUAAAAUAUACUUUGCUACAAACAAAUGAAAUAAAUAAAUGAAAUUAUUACAUUUAGUAUGUUUAUUAUAUUUCAUAAGAUCAAUCAUGAUUACACGGUAUAUUCAAGAUUUUUUAUUAUGGUAUUUUCAGAAGAAAAAAAUAUAGAGUACUAAAAAUAAAGAUAAUUUUACACUGGUUAGUUACAAAUAUUAAUAAAUUAAUUGAGUCUUAUAAUAAUUACCUUAAAAUUUAUACCAGUAGUAACUUAUAACUAAAUGCCAAUAUAAAUACAAUAUCAUCUUAUUGAACUCUUAUUUAUUUUAUUCUUUAAGAUUGAUGAAAAGUUUAUCUUUUACAAACCUUUUGUGCAUGCAUAAUAAAAAAAAUCAUUGAUCUAACCGUUAUGGGUGACAUUUAUUAUAAAGGACAAUGCUAUGCUCAUAUCAUAUAUUCAUAUAUGCCCUCGUGAACUUGCUUUUCCCUUUUUCCUUUUUAACUACACUCGUGAGUCUAUUAAGCAUUGGAUUAAACUAUGGUGACGUGUAUUUCAUUGAAAUGCAUAUCUUAAAAUCGUAAAGAUUUUUAUCUCAUGAUAAAUUAUGGUACAAUUAAAAGUUAUUGACUAAAUGUUCCCAAAGUGAAGGACAAUGUACCCAUGAAUUUUCGAUUUUUGUUUAUCUUAUAAACGAGGUAUUCUAAUUAAGAGAUAAGAGAAAAAAAAAUGUAUUUUUAAAAUUUGAAUACGAUAACAUCAUUUUUAAUAUUUUGAAAUUCUUAAAACUAAAAAUCUCUCUUAAGAGAAGUAUUUAUUUAUUUUCUUGAACAAUAUUUACACAAAAUUUAUUAAAUAAUGUAAUUUCGAUUUCUAAUUCAGUAAUUUAAUUUUUCAUUAUUUUAAUAAUUUUUCCCGAUAAUAGAAAUAAAGUGUAUAAAAGAAGUGUAUUUUUGUCCCAAUUAAUGUAGGGAGACUUUUACGUUUUUUUGUUUUUUUAUUUGAAAUUUCAAUCGAUGAAAAGAAUGAAAAAUAUAAUUAAGUAUAUGUUUCCGUAAAGAUCUGGUGAAAAUAUGUACUAACUAAUCAUUCGAAUUAACAAACACAAUCUUAAUGUCUUCUGAUAUCUCGAAUGAAAUGAAAAUCAAUCUCAAUAUGCUUGAUCUUUUUAUAAAAGAAGAAAUUUGAGCUAAUAUGAAGAGUAACUUGAUUAUCACAUAUGAGUGUCAUCUGAGUGAUCUCUCCAAAUUACAAUUGUUUAAGUAACUAUUUAAGCCAAAUAAACUCACAAGUAGCUGAAGUCAUAACUUUAUAUUUUGCUUCAGCACUAGAUCUUGUCACAACAUUUUGUUUCUUGAUCUUCCAAGAAAUCAAAUUAUCACAAAUAGAAACACAAUAUUCGAAAGUUGAUCUUCUACCAAAUAAAAAUCUUGCCCAAUCAACAUCUGAAUAACAUACAACUCUAGUAUGAUUAUUGUGACCAUAUAACAAGAAUUUUCUAGAAGAAUCUUUAAUGUACUUCAAUAUAUAAAUGACUGCAUUCCAAUGAUCAACACAUGGGAAAUUAAAAAGAAUUGACUCAUCACACUAACUCCAAAUGAAAUAUCAGGAGGAGUAACAAUAAAAUGGUUCAAUUUUUCAACUAGUAUUUUCUACUUCACAGGAUCUGAGAGAGGCUCCCCGUGACUAGGUAGGAGUUUGACAUUAGGAUCCAUAUGUUGUUUUAUUUGAGAGAUAUCAUGGUGAUCACUGCUUGUAAGAACAAUAUUAUCAACAUGUACUACUAGAUAGAUACACCAACACUUGAGUAACACUAAAACAAUUAAUGAUCUACAUCACUACUUGUCAUACCAAAUUGUUGAACAACAUUACUAAACUUUCCAAACCAGACCCUAUGCGAGUGCUUGAGGCCAUAUAAAGUUUUGUGAAGAUAACAUACCAAUCCAGAAGACUCCCCUUAAGCAACAAAACCAAGAUGUUGCUUUAUAUAAGUUUCUUUCUGCAAAUCCCCAUUACGAAAAACAUUUUUGAAAUCAAGUUGAUAAAGAGGUCAUCUUUGAAAAGCUUUCAUGGCUAUGAAUAAACUAACAGAAAACCAUCUUUGCCACUAGAGAAAAAUGUAUCACCAUAGUCCAAACAAAAAAAUUGUGUAUAACCUUUAGCCACAAGAUAAGCUUUGAGACAAUCAAUAGUACCAUUAGGACCAACUUUGAUAGCAAAAACCCAUAUGCAACCAAUAAUAGAUUUCCCAUAAGGUAAAGGAACAAGUUCCCAAGUUCCACUAGUCUGAAGAACACUUUUUCAUCAAUCAUUGUUUGAUGCCAACCAGGAUGAGCUAAGGCAAGUAUAAAGAGUUUGAGAUAGUCGAUGGUAGCUUAAAGUAGUAUAAUGUGGAGAGUGAUUAUGGGUAGAACUUAUAACUUUAUGGAUGAUAAUUAGGAGAUUAGGUUCAACUAUUGGAGACAGAGGGGCGAAGGAGUUGGCACUGGAAGAGAGUCAUUUAGUGGACGAUAAGAAGUGUGAUAACAACUGUAAACUUGAAGAGGUGGUGGAGAAGGAGAAUCUUUAAGUACACUAGACACAACAAAAGGACCAAAGAACAUUGGAAUAUGUACUUGGUCAGAUGAACACACAUGUGGAGAAGAUAAAUACUUAAAAUGCAAAAAAGACUCGAUGAAGGUGACAUCUGCAGAAAUGAAAUAGCGGUUAAGAGAGGGUGAGAAACAUUUAUAUCCCUUUUUAGAUCUAAUGAACCCUAAAAGGACACAUUUGUGUGAUGUAGCAGAUAAUUUAUCAAGACCAUGACAAAAACUGUGAACAAAACAUGUAGACCCAAAAACUUUAAGUGGUUAGGGAUGAAGAAGUUCAUGAGAAAAUAGAAUAUAAUAAGAAAUUUUAUUCUCUAAAAAUGAAGAUGAGAUACCAUUAAUUAGAUAACAUGCACUAAAAGAGAUUGUCUUAAUGUAUCAAAUGAAGGAGUACUAGAUGAAGUAGGUAAACAAUAGAUGUUUGAGAUGAAGCAUUAGAAGAGACUAUAAAUGAAGAUUAGAGACAAAAGAAAAAACUCUAAAAUUCAAAUGGACUUCGACCUACAAGACAAAGUCAAGUUCAUAACAAGAAUGACGUGGUGAUCCUAUCGAUGCGACAAUGUUGUGGCAGAACAAAGACGAUAGUGAAAACAACUCUAGUGAGCAGUGAGUUCAUCAAGAAGGCAAAAAUAUUAACUUACCUCUAAAUACCAUAUUAAAAAAAACAGGAUAAAUAUCUUGUGUAAAAUACACACAUAGAGUUGUUUAUUUAUAAAUGAAAAUAAUAACAUAAUAGCAUAACAAUAACAUAAAUUAUAAUUCAACAAAAAUAUUUAACUUCUAUAUGACCUAUUACUAACCUUACAUUGUAUUUAAAGAAAAAAAGUUACAAAAAUCUAUGUGAUGUAUCAUUUUAAUAGUACUAAAGAGAAAAUACAACCAAAAUUAUUUUCAUUAUGGAUAAAUAAUUUAUGAAAAUCUUAUUAUGAUGAUGAAUCUCGUAACACUUGUUUAUUCUUAAGAAUGAGAGAAAUCUUUAAAACAAUAUUUUAAAAUUCUAAAUUAAGAGAUAAUAUAAAAGUUAUUUAGUCAUAACCAUUUCUUUGUCAUUUUCUAAAAAGCUUAAAAGGGUUUAGAAAAAAAUAAUAUUUAAUACAUGCUUUUGGAAAGAAAAUAACCAAAUAAUAUUGGCUUUGAUACCAAUAUACUUGAUGAAAAAACAUAUAUGUAACGAAGAUUUUUUUUAAAAGACUUGAUGAUUUUAAUCAAAUGGAAAAGAAGAAAGUGUUUCCUGGUUUAAUAUAUUAGGAGCUAUAACAGCGAGAUUUGAUUAUUUUAUAAACAAGAUAAUCGAGUUUCACACAUGAUACUCAAAUUGUUUUUUUUUAUAUGAAAAUAGAUUCACUAAAAUAGAAAAAAUUAAGUCACUUAAAUAUAAAUAGUUAGUUGGAAAUCUCUGUUAAUUUAAUGGAUAAUAACCAAUGAAUCUUGAUAAUUGAUCCAUUAAAUAUAUUUAAUAAUGGUCAUUCCAAAGUCUUAAAAUUAUAUCUCUCUUAAAAAGCUAUAACUAUGAAGUCCAACCUUAAAAGUUGAAGAUGGUAAGCUAUCUUGAAAAUAUGAUAAAAAUUAAUUAUCUUAUCUUUGUAGGAAAAAAUUUUCCUUUCAUUGGAACUUGUGAAAAAGAGAAAUGCAAGUAAAGAAAAAUAAUAACAUAAAGAGAAAUAAAAGAAUAAAUAUUCAUCAUAGUCUAAGAUUAAAAAUUAUAAAGAAUUAGUUAUGAUUUUUUCAAUAAUAAUAAAUAUGACAUGUAAUUCAAAUUAGUUAAUUGAAUUUUUCUAUAAAAUUUAUAACAUAUAUUAUUAGACGUGUGAGACUUCUCACAUAUAACUAUAUAGUUUUAUCUAAACCAUAAAUAUGAUUUAACAUCUCGAUAAAAAAAAAUACCUCGGUAAAGUUAAAUUAAAAAGCAAUGAAGGAGAGCUAAAAAUGAACUAUUUUAAAAUUAAUAAAAUAUUAUUAACUUGUCAAAUUUUGCCACGUCCAUAAAAGCUAGUUCUUAAAGUGGCAUGCUUUGGAAUGGUCCUCCACAGGGACCAGCGUCAUCCACAAACGCCAUUUAUUAUUUUUUAGUAAUGCCAAACAUCGUGCAAUGCAUUGCUUUGUUUACAUUAUAAUAAUCAUUGUUCUAAUAUUUUGCAACUUUAUAAAAGUGGACGAUGACGACGAAAUUACGUGGAAGAGAAGGACAUAUAUCUUAAACAUAUUAAUUAAGAAGUUAUUAAAUACGAUUUAAGUAUAAAAAGAAUACAAUAUGAAUAUGUUAAUAACAUUUAAUAUUUUUAGCUAAUUAGUAAAGAUAAUUUUAGAAAGUAAUAAAUAUUAAAUUUUUAAGUUAUAUUAAGUGUACAAAUUAGUGUUUUAAUUAUGUAGUCAUUCAUUUAUACAUUUUAUAAUGUCAUUAUUAUUAUUUUAAUUUUCGUUUACUUUUCUCUAAUUUUUUGAAAAUCAUUCUCAUUUUUUUUUUCGAUGAAAGAGUACUAGUGAGAUAGUGGUAAGCAGAAUUGAUUUUCACAAAUCAGAAUUAAGUUUUUCUCUUUUUAAUAUCUCAACUUUUUUAUGGUUUAAUUGCAUAUGGAGUUUUAGUCGAAAACACGAAUGUCUGGUAGCAUAGGUUCAUGUUGAUAUCUUUAAUUUGUAAAUCAAACAUCAUGAAUACAAGUUAUAUUUUCUCUACUUUUUUUCAUAGUUUUUUUAGCAAUUCUAUAAAAAAAACACACACACACAAAAGGUAAGGCAACUGACAAAUUUACUUUAUAUUUAUUUAAAAAUUGAGUUGAAAUUAGAUUUCGAGUUAAAGCUCAAACGUGUUAAAAUGAUUUGAGAUUAAAAGUAUAAUUUGAUAUUAAAAUUGUUAAUAAAUAUUAAAUAAUUAAAACUUAAAACUUAAUAUCUCAUUAAACCGUUGAUAAGAUUUGAACAGUUAUACCUUGUAAAUUGAUAGUUUUAGUGAAUCAGGAUUUUUAACAUUAAACCUUUAACAAACUUUAACUUUUGAUUUCAGAAUUUUUUUUUGAUUGUUAGAUUAUAUAUAUUUACUUUAAAAGAUUUUUCAAAUAAAAAAAACUAUGGAAGCUGGAGCAACAACAAAAGUUGGCAAAGUAACUAAACUACAUUGGUAACCAUACAUACACACAUUUUAUUAUACUAUAUAAAAUUAAUAACGGAUGUCUCUCAUAUGUUCAAAUAACAACAAUAAUAAAAUAAAAUUUCAAAUUCCAAAAACAAAAAAUAAUACUAAUAGCAUGUUUGGUUUUCUAACCAAGAAUGGUACUAAGAGCAGCACCGACCAGAAUGGUUAGUGAGUACACUCCGAAACGCGAUUUCGACAUAGAUGACGCGCCGUUUGGCCGGGACGGCGUCGUUUCGUUUGAGGACGAUCCCGGCGAAGACGAUGAAGACGGGCUUGUUGCUGCCGGUGUUGAUUCUGAAGGAGGAGACGACAAUGGUGGCGACGGUGUAGUAGCCGGAGCGAAGGGGGAAGGUGGGUAUGAUGGAGGGAUGGUGGAUGGAUAGGGUGAUAGGGAAGGUGGGGAAGGUGGGGAUGAAGAUGAUGGAGGUUGGGUGACAGGGGAAUUGGAAUUUGGAGUUGGGGCAUAGGGGUAGGGUGAUUGAGAUGUUGGGGAAGGAGUGUUUGGAGGUGACGGAAUGUAGGGAGGUUGGGAAAUGGGAGAAGGAGUGGUGGAUGGUGGUGUGGAAAUGUAAGAAGGUGGCUGGGAUAUUGGGGAAGGAGUGGUGGAUGGUGGUGUGGAAAUGUAAGGUGGCUGGGAUAUUGGGGAAGGAGUGGUGUUUGGAGGUGAUGGGAUGUAAGGAGGCUGAGAUAUUGGGGAAGGAGUGUUUGGAGGUGAUGGGGUGUAAGGAGGCUGGGAAGUAGGAGAAGGAGUAUUGGGUUGUGGAGGCACAUAAGGUGACUGAGAAAAGGGUGAUGGGGUUAUUGGAACAAAGGGUGGUUGAUGAUGAGGGGAAGGGGUGUUUGGAGGUAGAGGAGCAUGGGGUGGAUGGUUAUUAGGGGAAGGAGCAUAAGUGGGAGAAGGUGUGUUGGGAGGUAUGGGAGCAUAGGGUGGUUGAGCUUUGGGAGGAAAGGGAAGAUUAGUAGGAGGUGAAGGUGCUUCUGGAGGAGUAUAAACAGGGGGAGGAGUUUGAUGAGGUGGAUAAGGAGCUUUUGGAGGAGAAUAUGGAGGAGGCUCUCUCACAGCCAACACCACAAUAAUAAGUUUCUGACCCUUCUCACAAUUAUAAUCUUUUCCACUGAUGAAAUAAAAGGGACCCGAACGAUCAAACUGAAACUGGGAGGCACCAUCCUCAAACUUCUUGAUCGGGUUCUUCUUGUUACAUUUCUCAUAAUCCUCUUUGUUCACCACCAAAACCGAGUCCGAUCCCUUCUUGUACUUAAAAACUAUGAACAGGAAAAAACAUACAAGUUAAAAGCAUUCAUUCAGAAGGCAGAAAAAAAACUGGAAAGCUUUAGAAUGAAAAUGAACUGACCAAGAGUGUCACUGACUUGGAACCUCAUCCUUUCAGCCCAGUGAUUGUAAUUCUCAGAAGGGUACAAAAGCCACCCAUCUUUUCCACCAACGUUGAAGGUGUAUGCCUGAGACCCCGAGAGGAGACUGAAAAGAAACGACAAGAGACAAAAAACACUAAUCCGAAGCUCCAUGUUGCAGAGAGAGAGAGGAGAGAGAGAAGGAAGAGAGGUGUAGAAAGAAGUGAUGAAAUGGAUUGAUAUAAAGAAAGUGUUGUCCUUGGUUACCGUUGUUGGGGUGCUUGUAGUGUAGGACCAGCGAAGCGUGUUAAACGCGGUGGGGGGGUUUACGUGGGAAGACUAAGACUUACAUGUGGGCAAAUGAUAGAGAAAGAGAAAUUAAAGUUUGAGAAAGUUUGUUUAAUAUAAUAAUAUAUAAUAUGCAGCUACGUGCCACACUUCCCAGCACUGCCAUCUAUCACCAUUCGGACUCAUUUUAUUUUGAAAUUUCCAACCUCACCGAUGCUAUAUGCUUUCUACACAUUAAAAUGUUUCAAAAACAAUAAUAAUAGAAAGAAAACCAAAUCACGGAACUCUAUUGUUUCUGGUAUAUCCAUAUGCUACACUAUUCCGAUUCUCAUUUCAGACCCAUUAAUAAUUCUGCUAUUCCAUGCUUAGAUUGUUCCAAAUCAUAUACUGUAUCAAACAGAGACAGGGACAAAUUUUAAUAGGUUCUUGCUGAUUAACAAAUAUUAAAUUGUUCUCUAUCUUUUGUUCACAUAUAACCUGUGAAGAAUAAAUAGACGGAUUUUAAUUUUUUUCAUAAAGAUUAAAUAUGAAAAUGGUGUGUGUCUGCUUUGAGAGAGAUUAGCAACUAUUGGAAGAGCAUUUGGAUCGUCAAUCUACAGUUAUGCCUUUGGUCCACAAUGACUAUAAUAAAAUUUGAUUUAUUUAAGAAAGAGUAAACGAUAAUUAAGUUUCCAAAGAAAUUAAAUAUUAUUUUAAUUUCACUGUAUUUUAUUAUUAAGUUUUACAAAAUUAUUUUAUUAAUAAAAAAUAUCUUAAAGACCAAUUCCACAUGAACUUAGAUAUUAUUUUAUCAUAAAACUACAGUUUUCUGGAUCAAUUUGAAAAAGUAAUAAAAAUUUAUACUUUUUCAAUAAUUUUAGGUAUAAGUAUCUUGUCAUAUCAGUUAGAAAUGUUAGAAAUGGUCAUGAAAAAAAUAUUAUUAAAAAAAUAUAAAAUAUUAAGUUGAACGUUUAAAUAUGUUUUUUUUAUGUAUUUUUACUUAAAAAUAGCUUCUUUUUAGUUUAAAUUUUUAGAAUUUUUAGUUAUUUGUAAUAAGGGGACUAGAAUAAGUUUUUAUUAAUAUUUUUUUAUAUAAUAAUAAGUUAGUAUGAAAAUAUUUUAUCAUUCUGAUACAUAUUAAAAAUCUAUUCUGAUACGUAUUAAAAACCGGUUUAUCAUGUAGAAAAAAAUAUGAUAAAAGAUUAAUUUCAAUAGUUUCUUUAUUAUAAUAGUCUAAAAUUUAGAAUAGAAAAUAAAAAUUUCUGUGAAAUAAAAGUACAUUUAAUCCUUAAAUUUAUAAAGUUUUUAAUUAAUAAAAUAUAAUUUUAAAAUUAGUUUUUAUUAUUUAAAAUUAAAGGCAAAAUUAGUCAUUUACUAGUUAAGAAAUAAACCUCUAGUCGUCAUCCUUUGUUUUUUUUUUAGUCAAAACGUAUGCUUUGUUUUGCUUUUUCAUAGACUGUUUGGUACGUGAAAUUGACUACCCAGUUAGGAGUUAAUCAUCACAUCCACUUUACAUCAUGUUUUGCUUUUAUUAACAUUUUUAUUAAGUGAUUAGGUUUUUUCAUUAGAUUAGAUGACAAGUGUAAAGUAUUUAAAAUUUGUAUGAAUAACUAAUUUCUAUCAUUUACCCACUUUUAGAAUUUUAGUAGAAUAUACAAGUAUUACUUAAUAAAAAUAUUUUAUAUUAAAAAAAAUCUAUAGUUUUAAAAAUUGGAUUCCUUUUAUAAGAAAACAUUAAAGCCAAACACACCUUAAUUAUUACAUUUUGUGGAUGAAUGUUGACCUAUUUAAAAUUUGUAUGAAUAACUAAUUUCUAUCAUUUACCCACUUUUAGAAUUUUAGUAGAAUAUACGAGUAUUACUUAAUAAAAUUAUUUUAUAUUAAAAAAAAUUCUACAGUUUUAAAAAUUGGAUUCCUUUUAUAAGAAAACAUUAAAGCCAAACACACCUAAUUAUUUCAUUUUGUGGAUGAAUGUUGACCUAUUUAAAAUUUGUAUUAAUAACUAAUUUCUAUCAUAUACCCACUUUUAGAAUUUUAGUAGAAUAUACGAGUAUUACUUACUUAAACUAUUUUAUAUUAAAAAAAAGUCUAUAGUUUUAAAAAUUGAAUUUCUUUUAUAAGAAAACAUUAAAGCCAAACACACCUUAAUUAUUACAUUGUGUGGAUAAAUGUUGACCUAUUUAAAAUUUGUAUUAAUAACUAAUUUCUAUCAUAUACCCACUUUUAGAAUUUUAGCAGAAUAUGCGAGUAUUACUUAAUUAAAUUAUUUUAUAUUAAAAAAUAGUUAUAGUUUUAAAAAUUGGAUUCCUUUUAUAAGAAAAUAUUAAAGCCAAACUCACCUUAAUUAUUACAUUUUGUGGAUGAUUGUUGACCUAGAGAAAGCCAUUAGAAUCCCAUCUAAUCUUGUACUUGGAAUUUAUUGGUGAAGAGUAGAAAUUUCCGAUAUCUGAAUAACAUUAUUGUUUGGUACAAUAACGUUACCAUAUUUUAAAUUAGUAUAUAUGAUGGGACAUGAACACUUAUUUCCUCUAAAAUCUUUAUUUUAAAAAAUCUCCAAGUAAAUUACUAAAAUGACAUCAUUUUUCAUUGAAACUCAAAUAUGCCUUUCAAAUAUCAUUCACAUUUUGUUCCUAUCUUAAAUAAUCUUUUCCAUUUAUACAAUGUGUGAUAUCACUCACUUAUCUUAUUUAAUUAACAUCUAGGUACUUAAUAGUAUACUACUAAUUAAAACGCGUCACUUUACCGUUAGUAUUUAAUAUUAGGUUAUAGGCAUGCUAAGAAUGAUUAUAAGUGUAUUAUUAAUAUUAACUCUCCCUCCCUAAUAUGGCUGUAUCAUUUCUUCCUCUCAUUGAUUGUUUAUUCAAUAUCAAUCUUGUACUCUCUUUUCUUAUAUUUUUUAGUAAAAAUAAACAUAAAACAUUUAUUUUAAUUGUCACAAAUUUGUGUAUUUUAAAAUGAGUUAUAUAGUAAUGCAUUCACAUUAUACAAUAAUUUUAUUUUAUCAUAUAAUAUUAAAUAAAUAAUAACUCUUAAUAAUUUCUAAAAUAGAUAUUGAUAAUUUCAUUUUAUCAUAAAAUGGUUGUUUAUAGUGAUUUACUAUUCACAGACAACCGAGAAUAUGGGGUAAAAUGGGAGAAUGAAGGGAAGGUCAAGAAAAAUUAGUUAAUGUGAUUUUUUCAAUUUUACCAUUUUUUUAUAUAUUAAUUAUUACAUAAAUUUAAUUAACAUUAAUAUUUUAAUAAAAUAAUAAUAAUUAAUAAAAUUUGAUGGAGGUGUGCCUUCAUCCGUAGCUUUUCUUUGGUGGAAUUGGCGGAAACAUUCAUGGAAGAAGACGAGCAAGGAACUCAUGAAGAGUGGUGGACUCCUUGAAGGUGCAUGCUAGGUGUGGAGAGUGAGUGGUGAGGCCAUCUCACUUGGCAAAGAUGAAGAAUGAAGAUUAAAAUGUCUAUCCUAGAGAGGUAGGAGACAAGAAGCAAAAUUGGCACAAUUUUGGCAGCAAUUUGCUCGAGAAUAAUCUUGCUAUUUCAUGACCCAAACACCUCCUUAUAUAGGAUUGGAGGGUCAGAAUUGGAAGAGUCAAAUACAAAUGAAAUACAAACUAAAUAAAAUGUGAUGCAUUUGGCGCCUAAUUUGAGACUUAGCACAUGGAGCAUGUGAUGGAAAGCUUUUAAGCACAUGGAACAUGUGCUUUCUUCUCCAAGGCUUAGUCAUAACCGACCUUGGUUAAUUUAGGUGUUCAAAGAACCCUAAUUUAACCAAGGUUGGUUUUUAGGUACCAAAUUUCACCUAAAAAGAAAUUACAAGUAAAAUUUCCUAUUUUACUUUAACAAAAUUAAAUCCUACUUCUUACACUAGAGUUUAUGGCAUUUUAAACACGUACAAGAAGGUUUCUCUGCCAUCAGUAGCAGUAUUUCAAUCAUUUUGAUCCUUCUUGGCCAUGACUCUAGUGGUAGGCCCAAAUCUUCUCUUUGUUGGGCUUGCACUUGGACUUGUCCUUGGGCCUCUUCCAUCAUCCCCUCCCUCUUGAAAAGGAUUUGUCCUCAAAUCCAAUGCUUCUAUUUCUUCUUCUUCAUUACUUCCUACAAAAGGCAUUAAGUCCACAACAUUAAAAGUAUGAUGAACUCCAUAUUCUUUUGGUAAAUCAAGAAUAUAUGCAUUGUUGUUGAUUCUUUUGAGGACUUGGAAGGGUUCGUCACCUUGGGGACUAAGUUUGGACUUCCUCUUAGUUGGAAAUCUAUCUUUCCUAAGAUGAAACCAAAUUAAAUCUCCUUCUUCAAAAAUUAUCUCUCUCUUCCCCUUAUUGUUAUGUUUUGUAUAUUUCUCAGUUUGCUGAUGUAUUUGUUCUUUAACCCUCUCAUGCAUUUUCUUAACAAAUUCAGCUUUUAUUACUCAUUCCUUAUGCACAAAUUCUUGUGGAUUAGGAAGGGGCAACAAAUCUAAAGGAGUAAGAGGAUUAAAUCCAUAAACAACCUCAAAUGGAGAAAUAUUAGUAGUUUUAUUAACUACUCUAUUGUAUGCAAACUCAAUAUGAGAAAGAUACUCAUCCCAAGAUUUAUGGUUGCCUUUCAUGACUGCCCUAAGCAUAGUACCAAGAGAUCGAUUUACAACUUCGGUUUGUCCAUCCGUUUGAGGAUGACAAGAAGUUGAAAAUUCAAUUUGGUUUCAAGUCUUGCCCAAAGGGUUCUCCAAAAAUGGCUUAUAAAUUUUGGAUAUCUAUCGGAGACUAUGCUUCUAGGUAGUCCAUGAAGUCUUACCACAUCUCUAAAGAAAAGUCUAGAGAUAUUAUUUGCAUCAUCCACUUUGUGACAUGGUAUAAAAUGUGCCAUUUUACUAAAACGAUCCACAACCACAAAAAUGGAAUCAGAACCUCUUGCAGUCUUAGGAAGUCCAAGAAUAAAAUCCAUACUAAUGUCUUCCCAUGGAGCACUUGCAAAAGGUAAAGGAGUAUAGAGUCCAUGAGGAAUUGUUUUAGACUUAUCUUUUAAACAUGAUAUACAUCUAAAACAAUGUCUUUGGACGUCUCUUAUCAUAUGUGGCCAAAAGAAUUUUCCUUUUAAAAGCUCUAGAGUCUUAUCAACUCCAAAAUGGCCCAUGAGACCUCCUUCAUGAGAUUCUUUUACAAGAAGUUUUCUAUGUGUUCCUUGAGGUAUACAAAGUUUUCCUUCUUUAAAAAGAUACCCCUCAGACACAAAAUCCUCCUUUUUCUCUAUGUUCUCAUUUAACAAAGAUGGAUGUAAAAUCAUGAUCUUCUUUGUAGAGUUCAAUUAUGUUUUCAAAUCCAAGAAUUUGGGCUCCAAGUUUUGAAAACAGGGCAUGUCUCCUUGAGAGAGCAUCGACCAUAAUGUUUGUACUACCCUUCUUGUAUUUGAUAACAUAAGGAAAUUGUUCAAGAAGUUUCAUCCAUUUUGCAUGUCGUUUGUUCAACUUAUGUUGACCUUUCAAAUAUUUUAAAGGCUCAUGAUCACUAUGAAUGACAAAUUCUUUAGAGACUAGAUAGUGCUCCCAAGUCUUUAAGGUCCUCACAAGUGCAUAAAGCUCUUUAUCAUAGGUGGGGUAGUUGAGAGUGGCUCCAUGAAUUUUUUCGCUAAAGUAAGCAAUUGGAUGUCCACCUUGCAACAACACGACACCUAUGCCUACUCCCGAUGCAUCACACUCUAGCUCAAAAGUUUUUGCAAAAUUUGGUAAAGAUAGAAUGGGUGCAUUAGUGAGUUGAGCUUUUAGCCUCUUGAAGGCUUGAUCUUGCUUCUCGGUCGAACAAAAUGGAGUGUCUUUCUUCACUAACUCAUUGAGUGGCUGAUGUAACCCAAAAAUACAUAAAGAUGACCAAGGAUGUUAUACUUGAAGGGUCAUCUAAAUAAGGAAAUAAGAACUUCAUCAAUAGAAGAAAUGGACGAGGCCCAAAGCAUUUAAAGUUCUUCUUAUUGUCUUCUCAAAAGAUGAGGCCCAAGCCCAAUUAAUAUCUUUUGUAAUAUUUUUAGAAUAGUUUCAAGAUAGAACAUUAAAAGGGAAGUAAUAGGAAAAGUCACUUUUCUAGAAUGAGGAAGUGACUUGAAAAAGGGUGGCAUUUACCUUGUCUUUUCAUAUGCCUUGCCUUUUCAUUUACAAGUGACUCUUCAUGUAUUUUUACCUUUUCAUGACCGGUUCUCUAUGCCUAUAUAAAGAGGAGCCUUGCUUUUGUAAACACAAGUUGAAUCUUUUAGUAAAGAAAGUAUACCAAAUUGGUGUGAGAGAGUUUGUGAGACUAGUUCUCCUCUCUUCUUCCUAGUCUUAUCUUGGGAGAUUCUUGGAACUCUCAAGUGGCGGCAUCCACUCAUCUUGAAGCUUCUCCACCCUUCAAGUGGCGUGAACAUUCCAAGGGUCAUCAACCACAUAAGUUUCUUCUACCUUUUCAUGUUCUUCUUCCAUUUCCAUGUCAAUCAAAACUAUAAAACAUGUGUCUUUGUUGUUCUUGAUGUUUCAAGCAGUAGAAAUGUGUUAGGUUCUGCUUUUAAUUGGUUCAUUGUAAUUUCUCGCUGUUGUAUUCGGUUUAUAUGUGCUUAAUUGAUAUUUCAAUCGGUGCAUUUGUCUCCUUUUCACAAAUCAAUCGGUUCAUGUUCUUCUUAUGGGUUUCUAUGCGGUUUUGGCUUGGUUUUUGUGUUCUUGAAUGAUUAUAGAAUCUUGAUCCAAUUCUUGAAAAUGUCUUUUCAUAUACCAACUCAUAUCAGUGGUGAAGCUAGACUUGAGAAGUUAGGCACAAAUCUUCUAUAAAAGCUUGCUAAUCCAUGAAAACUUCUAACUUCCCCUACAUUUUGUGGAAUUGGCCAUUCUUGGAUGGCUUUGAUUUUUUCGGGGUCAACAUGUACCCCAUUUUUGUUAACUAUAAAUCCUAAAAAUACUACACUAUCAACACAAAAAGUACAUUUAUCUCUAUUAGCAAACAAACUAUUAUUCUUAAGCACUAGGAGAACUUCCCUAAAGCGACUUAGGUGAGAUUCUAAACUUUUGCUAUAUACUAAAAUAUCAUCAAACUAAACUACUACAUAUUUACCUACACAAUCCCUUAAGACAUGAUUCAUUAGCCUCAUGAGAGUGCUAGGAGCAUUAGUGAGCUCAAAAGGCAUCACUAACCAUUCAUAUAGUCCAAAUUUGGUUUUAAAAGCGAUUUCCCACUCAUCACCUUCUUUAAUUCUAAUUUGGUGAUAUCCACUUCUAAGAUCAAUUUUAGAAAAUAUGAUGGACCCAUGCAAUUCAUCAAGCAUGUCAUCUAGUCUUGGAAUUGGAUGCCUAUACUUGAUGGUGAUGUUAUUGAUGGCUCUACAAUCACAACACAUUCUCCACUUGCCAUCUUUUUUGGGCACCAACAAGACAGGUACAACACAAGGGCUUAGGAUCUUUUGAACCCAACCCUUAUCCAACAAAUCAUGCACUUGUGAUUCUGUCUCCUUAGUUUCUUCAGAAUUAGUUCUAUAGGCUGGUCUAUUUGGUAGACUAGCUCCUGGAACUAAAUUUAUUUGAUGUUCAAUUCCUCUAAAAGGGGGAAGUCCACUAGAGCCUUCCUUAGAGAAUAUGUCAUCAAAGUCUUUUAAAAGAUCUUUUACUUGAGGAGGUAGAACACAUGUCUCAGUAAGCGUAGCAAUGCAGGUAAGUGUUCCUUUACAAAGUAGGAGGUUUGAAGGUUCUUCAAAAAGAAGUAUUUUUUCGAUCUUAUUUUCAAAUUUUUCUUCUUCUUUCUGAAUGACCUUGUGGGAAGGAACACUCUUUUCCCAUGCCUCUUUUUCCCUAAGGGUUUUUUCUUGGUUUUUUACUCUAUUUUUCUCUUCCUCUCUUUGUUUUCUCAUUUGUAGUUGGUCCUUUAUCACUUGGGAAAAUGAUAAGGGAUAAAGUACAAACUUCUUUUCUUUGUGAGUGAAAGUAAUCUCAUUGGUAAGACCAUUGUGGUUUUCUUAUCAAAUUGCCAAGGUCUUCCCAACAAAAUAUGACAAGCUUUCAUGGGCACUACAUCACACAAAACUUUAUCCUUAUAGUUCCCCACAGAAAACUCGACUUUCACUUGUUGAUCUACAGUUAAAUCCCCAUCUUCAUUGAUCCAUUGAAGUUUGUAAGGUUUUGGAUGAGGGAUUAACUGUAGAUUCAACUUUUCAACCAUCCUAGCGCUACAACAAUUGCAGCAAGAACCACUAUCCACAAUGAGAGAGCACACAUUUUCAAAAACUUUACACCUUGUGUGAAAUAUGUUCUCCCUUUGUGUCUCUUGGCUCAUACUAGGUUGAUUGUUGAGGGUUCUACGGAUCAUCAUUAAUUCACCCUCACAUGGAUAAGCCCCUUCAUUAUCUUUUUUUUCUUCUUCCCCACUAGCUUCAUUACUUUAGCUGCUAUAUACUGUUGGGUCUAUUAGUGUCUAAGUUCAAGAGGGGAGGGGUGAAUUGAGAUUAUAAAAUUUUCGCAAGACCACACAAUUUUUCAGUAUUCCAGAGGCAAAAAGAACAGAUUGUUUUUACAUGAAACAGAUUGAUUCUUCAGAGCAGUCUUGGCACAAUUUGAAUUUGUUCAAUGUAAAAUUGUGAUCAACAGAGAAUUAUAACAAAAUCAGAUCAGUUUAAUAUUGUGAGGAUGAAGGAUACAGUUAUGCUUAGAAAUCAAGCAAAAUUACUCAACACAAGGUUUUGAGAGGAAUGAUCCUUUCUCAGGUUUUAAUGAAUGGACAGUUUGUUCACAAAUCACUUAAACCAUUAUAUACAGCAGCCUUGUUUAUGAUCAGAGAACUUUAACAAAUCAGGAAGAACAAUUUUCACUUAAACCCAGAAUUAACAGAUUCAAUUUCAAAAGAACAGAUUUAGUUCUUGACAGAAUUAAACAAAAAAAAAAACAGAAAUGAGUGCAGGGACGAGAAGACAAGGCACACAAGUUUUUAUACUGGUUCACUCAUACAGAGCUACAUCCAGUCUCACCUUACCCCAAGGUGGAAUUCACUAAAAAUAGUACCAAUCACUUACAAACACAGCAGUUCUUGAACACUACAAGAACAACACACACAAUGCUGAAAAACCCUAUUUCAGCACACCUUGCACUCCAAGAAACCCUAUCAAGGAGUGACUAACACUUACACCUUUACAAAACAGAAUAAAGGAAAGAUUACACCUGAAAAGAAGAUGCAAGAACCCAAAACCAGUAGUUCAAUUUGCUGCAGAACUGCACCAACACCUUCACCAAGAUCAAAGGUUUCCUAGAACAAGCACACUUGAAAAUCUCUUUGGAAAACCUUUCAAAAAUCUUUCAAUCCUUCUUCUCACAUGGAAAGUGUUUGAUCUCUGUCAAAAACGUAAUUGCUCAGCCCUACUUUCAUGUGAGAGAGACUUUUCUUUAUAUAGAAAACAGUUUCUAACUUCUUUUCAAAAAAAUAGUUGAAAAGCAGUUAUGAAAACAACAGAUUCAUUUUUGAACUUAACAGAUUUAUUUUGUGAAAACCGCCAACUCAACUAACUGAAAUAACUGUCUGAGUUGUAUCUUUGGUGCCCUAACUAACUUGUGAAAAACCUUUCAACUCACCAAAGAAUAAACCUGUUCUUUCUCAGUGAAACAGAUUAAAAUAUAGCAAACAGGCCAGCUCAACUUUAACUGAAAUAACUGUCUAAGCUUUACCUGUGGUGCCCUAACAGAAUUUUAGAAAAGCCUUUUAACAGAGAAGAAAUAAACAGAUUCUUUCUCCAUAAAACAGAUUUAUUUGUGUACUGUUUUAAAGCUGUUAAAAACAUUUUAAAAAGCUUUUCAAAAACCAUUUAACCACAUCAUGUGCUUGAUCUAGACUUGGUUAGGCAUCUAGGAUGGGUUAUUCAGCAAAAGGCAACCUUACACAAUUACAAGCCUAAUUAUAACCGAAUCUAAAACCUAUUACAAUCUUCAAAGCACUCAAGUUAUUUUCUUCAUCAAACACACAUCAAGCCUUGGUAGGGAAGAAGCUUCCUCCAACUUCAACAUAUACAUCCUUACCCCUUUAAGAAUAUAGUUCUCCUAUUUUGGCAUUGGGAAGCUAUAUGACCUCUUCCAAAGCAUUUAAAACAUUUUUUUAUCUCGGCUACGGGAUUGUGGGGUUAUCACUUCUUUAUCUAUAUUUUUGGGAGUUUCCUUAGAUCUUUCCUUUGAAGUUUCCUCCCUUUUAUACUCUCUCUUGGGAUAGGAGUUAGAAUAUGAACCUUCCCUACGACUUGAAGCUUUUCUUAAGUUUUGUUGUUCAACUUUGAUACAGAGUUGAAUUAAAUCAUUCAAGUGUCUAUAUGGUAAAAGUUAAACUCUAUCUCUAAUCUCAAGAUUGAGUCCACUCAAAAACCUUGCUAUGGUAGUGGUUUUAGACUCCCUAAUUGAGGCUCUCAUCAUGUAUAAUUCCAUUGUUUUGCCUAUAUUCCUCUACACUCAUAGUCUUUUGUUGGAGUCUUUGGAGUUUGUCCAUUAACUCCCUAUUAUAAUAGGAGGGAAUAUGGCGGCGUCUUAAGGCUCGUUUUAGUUAGUGAUCUCGGCUCAGCUAGUCCUUUCUUUCGUGAUGAACUGUUGGCUCCCCUAAGAUCAUUCUAAUACUCUAUGGGAGGGUUCUUAUGAAGGUGCCUAUCUUGCUCAAGGGCAGUCCACCAAUACAUAGCAUUACCUUGAAAGCUUAGGGUGGCUAGGGGUACUUUUCGUUCCUCACUCACUCUAUGGGAAACAAACAAUUAUUCUACCUUCAUUUCCCAAUUUAAGUAAGUUUCUACGUUUUCCAUGGAAAUAAGGUAGAUCUACCCUAACCUCCUUUUCUUGUCUUUCUCUUCUAGCUCUCCUAGGGGGUGGUUGAUAAUAGUAAUUAAUCUAAUAUUUUGUUCCCCAAAAGAUUCAUCUCCCCUAGAGCUAGAUGCAUGAGAACUUUUUUUUGAUUUAUUGUUUUCAUCCCUUUCUUUAGCCAAUUUCAAUUCUUUGAGUUGGGACUCAUUUUGCAAUUGUUUAUAUGAAAGUGAUUGAAAGUCUUGUGCUAAUUGUUUCAAAAGAGUUUUAAUAGACUCUCUAUCACUUUCACUAGAAUGAUAAGAAUGAGAAGUCAUGGUUAAAGUUAUGUGUUAAAAGCAAUUUACUAAAAGAAAUAUAGGUGGAGUAAUGUAGGUAGAUUCCCAAGAAAGGGAGGUGGAUCACUUAAGUACCAAGCCUUUCCUUGCCAGAUUCUAUCCUUCAAGACUUUCACAAACCUUUUUCUAAGUAAUUCACUUAGAACACAAUCAAGAAUGAAAACAAUUUUAAGAAAAACAAUGCAAAGCAAUUAAACAAAGCAAAACAAUUAAACAAAACAAAGUAAUUAGAUAAUACAAUUUGAAAAGAAUUGCUAUCUAGUAAGAUUUAAACUAGGCGUAUCCUAAGGUGAGGCUUCUAGGCACUUAGAACCAUUGAAGACACAUUCACCGUCUAUUACGCAAUACAAAGCAAUUAAACACUUAAUAGAAAAAUUUCUAUCUAGAAAGCUUGUAAACUAGACGUUUCCUAGGGCGAGGCUUCUUGGCACUUUGAACCUUUGAAGACACUCUCACCAUAUAAUACGCAAUUAGUCCACCAAUUAUUCAAGAUUUUGCAAGUUACAACUCAAAGAAAAUACAAAGCAAAUUGAAUUGACAAAAAUUUAGAAAUUUUUAUUCUAUGCAAUUCUUCUUUUCUUUUUGUCAUUCCUUCUUUGUGUAAGUGUUUAAACUCACUUGUUGCUGCUCUCUUGCUCAACCUCUCAAGGAUAUUUAACUUUAAAAAUUCAAAACAGCACCUACUAAGUGAUAAAGCUCUCACAAAAAAUGUUAGCUCCAAACUUAACAAGCACCUUUGAAUGAUUUAUCCACCAAGAAAUGAGGUUAACAAAAGUUAAAGCAACAAAAAUUCAAUUUGAAAUUGGAAAACAACAAAGGGAGUUGAUGUAUGACAACUUGAAAGAGUAAUUGAAAAAAUAUUGACAAGCAAACAAAAUAAGGUACUCAACAAAUGGAUAUCACACAAAUUGAACCUAGAGAAUGACACUAGAAUUGGAUUAACAAAAAUCAAAACAAUACUACAUAAUAUUAAGGUGUCAAAAAGCGUGACUUACUUGAUUUAUGUUGAGCAAAUUAUUUCAAAUUUGAAUUUGAAUUUUUAACCACAAAUAGAUCAAGAUAUUAACUAACUUUUGGCGUUGGAAUCACCAAUUAAUUGUGAUAAAAUUUUCAAAUAUGAUGAUGCUUCACCAUUUUUUUUUCGCGCCAAAAUUGCACACUGAUUGUAUUUGAUUUAUCAUUUUUUUUUCUAUUUUGAAUUUCGCUUCACUUUUUUUUUCACUUUUUUUCUAACACUUCAAACUAUUGAGAUCCAUAAUUUCAUAAUUUUUCUCCAACGAAUUUUAAUUUCAUAAACAAAAACAGCCAGCACAGAAUAAAAAACAGAGGAAGCCUAAUUCUGGAAUUAAAAACAGUUUUAAGAAACUUCAAAAACACAAUAGAAUUAAUGUAUAAUAAGUCGUGUGGAUCUAGCACACAAAUAUGAACUCAAAUCUUAAAAUGCACCAAAGGAUCAAACAAAAAAUUAUAAAUAUGGACUCAAAAAGAAAAUCAAUGAACCAAAAUUAUGAAGAAAAGUACUACAUAAAAGUGUUGACAAUUUAGGAGAAACAUGACUUGACAAAACAUCUAUGGAUUCAAAAAUCAAAAUGACUCAAACACAACAAUAUGAACCGAUUAAAAUUGCAAGAAAGACUCAAAUCUAGCAAAAUUAAAACAGCAACACCAAAACUCAAAGGAAUCCUACACAAAAUUGAAAUUAGAAGCUCAAGAACAAUUUGAACACAUUGCACUGAUUGGAUUUAUCCAAACAGCAUCUAAAACAGUUAAAAUGCAAAAACAACAAGACAAUCAAGGAUACAAGAUGAACAACACGAAAUUAUAAAGAACAACACAAAAUUAAAAUGAGAAGAAGAAGACACAUUUAGCUCUUGAAGAACCUAGGCUCAUGAUACCACUUGAUGGAGGUGUGCCUUCAUCCGUAGCUUUUCUUUACUGGAAUUGGCGGAAGCAUUCAUGGAAGAAGACGAGCAAGGAACUCAUGAAGAAUGGUGGACUCCUUGAAGGUGCAUGCUAAGUGUGGAGAGUGAGUGGUGAGGCUAUCUCACUUGGCAAAGAUGAAGAAUGAAGAUUAAAAUGUCUAUCCUAGAGAGGUAGGAGACAAGGAGCAAAAUUGGCACAAUUUUGGCAGCAAUUUGCUCGAGAAUAAUCUUGCUAUUUCAUGACCCAAGCACCUCCUUAUAUAGGAUUGGAGGGUCGGAAUUGGAAGAGUCAAAUACAAAUGAAAUACAAGCUAAAUCAAAUGUGAAGCAUUUGGCGCCUAAUUUGAGACUUAACACAUGGAGCAUGUGAUGGAAAGCUUUUAAGCACAUGGAACAUGUGCUUUCUUCUCCAAGGCUUAGUCAUAACCGGCCUUGGUUAAUUUAGGUGUUCAAAAAACCCUAAUUUAACCAAGGUUGGUUUUUAGGUACCAAAAUUCACCUAAAAAGAAAUUACAAGUAAAAUUUCCUAUUCUACUUUAACAAAAUUAAAUCCUACUUCUACACUAGAGUUUAUGGCAUUUUAAACAUGUAGAAGAAGGUUUCUCUGCCAUCAGUAUCAGUAUUCCAAUCUUGUUGAUCCUUCUUGGUCAUGGCUCUAGUGGUAAGUCGAGGUCUUCUCUUUGUUGGACUUGCACUUGGACUUGUCCUUAGGCCUCUUCCAUCAAAAUUAAUAAUAAAAUAAAAUUUUAAUACAAAAUAUUUAGUUAUUUAUAAUAAACAAAUUAAUGGUUAUAAAUAUAAUAAUAUUAUUUACAUUUAAUAUAAAAUUAUUUUCUAAUUAUAAUUUUUAUAUAAGAAUAUUUAAAUUAUUUAUUUCUACAUAAUAGUUUAUAACUUUUACAUAUAUUCAUAAUUUUUCGUGUAAAUUAUUUUUUGUCAAGUAACUCGUAUUUUUUUUCGAAAAUAAUUAUUCAAUGUUAUUGGAAAUAACUUACAUAAUUUUAAUUAACCUAAAUCUACAUAAAAAUACAUAAUAUUUGGUUAUUCUAUUUUUUUGAAACAAUGGUAAAUUUAUAAUCUUAUAAUUUACAUCUUUCAGAAAAUCAAAAUACCCUCACAACAAUGACAUCACUCACAAACUUCAAUAGAUUUUUUUCACAAAUUCACUCUAGCAUACUCCAAUCUAAACACAACGACUUUCUUCAUACUUUUCUCUCAAAUCUUUACACAUUCACUCUCUCAAAUCCUCACACUUCCCCUCCUCAAUUUAAACACAACUUAAAAAUUAUUGUUUUAAUUAGUUAACCAAUUGGACUAGAACUCGUGAGUAACAAACAUGGGUCUCAAUAGGCUGCAAUCACCAGGUAUUUUGUAACAGGAAAAAAGAGUGAUUUUGACUAAGAUAGAAAUUAAAGGAAAUAUUUUAUUUAUUAAUUUAUAAUAUAUAUAUAUAUAUAUAUAUAUAUAUAUAUAUAUAUAUAUAUAUAUAUAUAUAUUUAUUAUAUAUAUAUAUAUAUAUAUAUAUAUAUANNNNNNNNNNNNNNNNNNNNNNNNNNNNNNNNNNNNNNNNNNNNNNNNNNNNNNNNNNNNNNNNNNNNNNNNNNNNNNNNNNNNNNNNNNNNNNNNNNNNNNNNNNNNNNNNNNNNNNNNNNNNNNNNNNNNNNNNNNNNNNNNNNNNNNNNNNNNNNNNNNNNNNNNNNNNNNNNNNNNNNNNNNNNNNNNNNNNNNNNNNNNNNNNNNNNNNNNNNNNNNNNNNNNNNNNNNNNNNNNNNNNNNNNNNNNNNNNNNNNNNNNNNNNNNNNNNNNNNNNNNNNNNNNNNNNNNNNNNNNNNNNNNNNNNNNNNNNNNNNNNNNNNNNNNNNNNNNNNNNNNNNNNNNNNNNNNNNNNNNNNNNNNNNNNNNNNNNNNNNNNNNNNNNNNNNNNNNNNNNNNNNNNNNNNNNNNNNNNNNNNNNNNNNNNNNNNNNNNNNNNNNNNNNNNNNNNNNNNNNNNNNNNNNNNNNNNNNNNNNNNNNNNNNNNNNNNNNNAAUUUUAUUAAUAUUAUUUAAAUUAAUAACAUUAUUAAUUAUUGCAAUAAUGUUAUUAAUAUUAUUAACAUUAUUAAAUAUUAUUAAUAUUAUUAAUUAUUAAUAACAUUAUUAAUUAUUACAAUAAUUUUAUUAAUAUUACUAACAUUAUUAAAUAUUAUUAAUAUUAUUAAUUAUUAAUAACAUUAUUAAUUAUUACAAUAAUCUUAUUAAUAUUACUAACAAUAUUACAAUAAUUUUAUUUUUAAGUAAUUCAUAUGAAAUGACAAAAUAUUCUAUUGUAUUAAUAAAAUGAAAUAUAUUAUAUAAGGGUAGAAUCGAAAAGGUUUGUAAACAUCAAAAAAAGGUUAUAAUAAUGGACAAUUCACUUUAUAUAUAGGUAUAAAUUAUUAUUAUUAUUAUUAUUAUUAUUAAUAUUAUUAAAUAUUAUUAAUAUUGUUAAUAUUGUUAAUAUUAUUAAUAUUAUUAAUUGUAUUAAAUAUUAUUAAUAUUAUUAAAUAUUAUUAAUAUCAUAAAAUAUUAUUAAUAUCAUAAAAUAUUAUUAAUAUCAUUAAAUAUUAUUAAUAUCAUUAAAUAUUAUUAAUAUCGUUAAAUAUUAAUAAUAUGAUGAAAUAUUAAAAAUAAUAUUAAAUAUUACUAAUAUUUUUAAAUAUUACUAAUAUUUUUAAAUAUUACUAAUAUUUUUAAAUAUUACUAAUAUUUUUAAAUAUUACUAAUAUUUUUAAAUAUUACUAAUAUUUUUAAAUAUUACUAAUAUUUUUAAAUAUUACUAAUAUUUUUAAAUAUUACUAAUAUUUUUAAAUAUUACUAAUAUUUUUAAAUAUUACUAAUAUUUUUAAAUAUUACUAAUAUUAUUAAAUAUUACUAAUAUUAUUAAAUAUUAUUAAGUAUUACUAAUAUUAUUAAAUAUUAUUAGUAUUAUUAAUAUUAUAAAUACAUUAAUGAUAUUAAUAUUAUUUAUAUUAUUAAUAUUAUAAAUAUAUUAGUGCUAUUAAUAUUUUUUUAUUAAUAUUAUUAUUACUAAUAUUAUUAAUUUUAUUCAUGUUAUUAAUAUCAUUAAUAAGAUUAAUAUUACUAAUACUAUUAAUAUUAUUAGUAACUAGCGGGAACACAGGCACUCACGUGCCUGUAUAUCCGCAUUUUUCAUUUUUACUAUUUAUAUAUUCAUAUAAUUUUAAUAAAUAUUAAAUUAUAUGAGAAGAUGUGUAAAUUAUCUAAAUGCAUCAUUGAUAAUAGUUUUAUUAAGAUUUGAUGUUAAUUUUUUAUAUUUUCAUUUUAUUGUUUUUGAAUAUUAAAUUUUGAUUUAACUUGGGUGUAAUCUUGAACUUUGUAAGGUUAUCAAGAUUAAAAUUAAGGUUUAAAAAAAUGGACCAGCAAACAAUGUCAAAACAUAAUGCAAAUGGUUGUAUGUUGGAAGUUGUAGAAUCUAUCACCAUAUCAAUUGAAUUCACAUCUUCCAUGGCAAAGAAGUGGAAAAAAAAUAAAAUAAUAAACUAAAUACAAAUUACCAAACUUCCAACUUAUGUAAUAUCUAAUAGAUCAAAGCACCAGUAGACAUAAAAACUUUGCCCGCAAAGCUGGGCUUAGGAUUCAUACAAAAAUAUAAAAUAAUUAAGAAAGCAAUAGAAACAAAAAUGUUCAAAUCCUAUAACAAUGAGACACGUCUCUGCUUCGAACGCUUUGGGAAGUGCGAGAAGGAGGAAGCAAUGGUGGUUGUUGUUGUACAGUGGUGAUUGAAGAGGGACUAAGAUGGGUGAGAGUAGGAGAAGAACAUGGAGCGUGAAGGAAGAAGGUUCAAAAUGUGUCAAAAUUUAUGAGCAUUUUUUUUUUGGAUGUAACGGGUGAAAACUACUCCUUAUAAGGAAGUGGAAGAAAGUGGGAUAACCGCUCAACUACUCCUUAUAAGGGAGUGAAUGUAACGGGUGAAAACUACUCCUUCACAAGAAAGUGGAUGUAAAUGGUGACGGUGAAAACUACUGAAGAAAGUGGUAACCGCUCAGUAAUAAUCAAAUUGUUGUCACUGCUCACAUUUCCUAAUAUUUAUUUCUCUCUCAUAAAACAAACACUCCCUCUCAUUAUGCAAUUAAUUUUCAAAAUAAAUUAUCUCUUUCAAUUCAAACGGUUGCUCCAUUUAUUUCAAAUAUUUUAUUAAAUUUAUUUCUCUCUCAUACAACAAACACUCUCUCAUUAUGCAAUUAAUUUUCAAAAUAAAUUAUCUCUUUCAAUUCAUAACCACUCCUCCACCUCUCUCUCAAUUCAUAACCGUUCCUCCACCUCUCUUUCAAUUCAUAACUGUUCCUCCACAUCUCUUUCAAUUCAAAACCGCUUUUCCACCUCUCUUUCAAUUCAAAACCGUCCCACUACGUAUACCAAAUAUUGUAGAAAAAAUAAGAAAGGGACCAUAAUACAAUAAUAAAAUUAAAUAUUAAUAUAAGGAUAAAAUGGGAAAAAAAUUAAGAGCAGUUAAGAGGGGAAUAAGAAAUGACACAAUGACCAUAAUACAAUAAUAAAAUUAAAUAUUAAUAUAAGGAUAAAACAGGAAAAAAAAUUAAGAGCAAUUAAGAGGGGAAUCCCCUUUAUAUAUAGGUAUAGAUAAUAUUAUUCAUAUUAUUUAUAUUAUUAAUAUAAUACUAAUAAUAUUAUAUAUAUUAUUUUAUUUAUUAUUAUUAAUUUUAUAAUAUUAAUGGUUCUCGUCGGUUGAUUUUUUCACCAGUUGACUUUUUGUCGGUUGACUCUGGUGAUAAGCUUUAGCUCCGGUCUGUCUUCUCUGUGCUAGACUUUAAACUAGAGGGGGGAUGAAUGUUUUAAAGAGGGUUUUCGCAAACUUUUAAGUAUAGAAUGAAAUUACUUUGAGAAAACUUGAUUAAGAAUUCAGUUUGUCAAAAACACAAAGCAAUUUAGCACAACACUAGAAAAACAUUCGGUUGUUUCGCAGAAACAAUCGGUUGUUUAUACUAGUUCACAAAUAUAAACUGAAAUUAAAGAUUUCAAGGGUUCGAGAGAUUGCACACACAGGUUUAUACUGGUUCACUCUUAAACCAAGAGCUACAUCCAGUCUUCCCAGAAACCACUGGGGAAUCCACUAAGCAAUCAACCCUAGAUUACUUACAACACCACCAAAGAAGUGACCUUGAUCCCCUCAAGACACACACUUCCUUUGGCUCAGCACAAACACCACCAAGAAUGCUGAUCUUGACAACCUCAAGAGCACACAACACUUCUUAGCUUCACACACAGAGUUUACAGAAGGUACAAAAGGAUUACACUUGUUACAGAAAAGAUCUGAAAUCAAUACAAGAUGAAAAUCCUAUAUCACACUCUCUUGAUCAAAGCAAUCUUCAACUCUUCAAAAGAAAAACCAGUGAAAAACUUCAAAACCUUAUUGUACUGGACCAGAGCACUGGGCUCGGUGCUUAGGUGAUCGGACAUCGGCACCUGUGUGGAGCAGGUUAGCUUGGUGAUCUGGUCGAGUUAAUGGGCCAGUGGAACCCAAGAAUGCGUGUGUUAAAACCCGUAUAUAUGUAAGGCCUAAUCAGCGAGAAAGUGCAUGUGGUGUGUAUUUGGGUCUAGCACAAGUAAAUAUCCCCUAAAGACGCCUAGGCCCAAGAGCGCUAGGGUUUUCAGGGGUAAGCUGCAUGCAUGAUACGUAAAGGUUAGAGCGCCUACAGUGACAGAUGGGCCCCAUGAUGCUGGUAUAUGAGUUGGUACCCUGACAGCCAUGUUGUUAAGAUUAUGCACUCCAAAGAGGAAGAUUUUGCGCGAUUGUUACACUAAGAUUGUGUGACAUUAUAACAGAAUGCCCUCCCAUCAUACCUGCUUUCACUUGAGAUAAAGUCUCGUGAGAGAAGGGUUGUUACAAUGAAGUAACCUAAAAGUAGUCUAUAAAAGGGACUCGAGAUCCCUAGUAAAGGUACACCGUUUCUAAUGAAACUACUUGCUUACUUACUCAUUGUUUCUUAGCCCAGUACUGAAUUGAUUGUCGGAGUGCAAUCAACAGGUAGGGCCCCCUCUGUUUCAAAUGGAGCCGCAUUCCAACGUCCCCGGGAAAGAGCAAAUCCAGCAGAGGCAAACAGAGUCACAACCUACUCUCAGAGUCAACCGACUACUAGGUCAACCCACAAGAACAUUUGGCACCCACCGUGGGGCCUGAUAAAACUAGGUCCCAUCCACAGUUGUGAUCAGAGCUAUCAGGCGAUAUGAGGAAUACAAGACAAGGCACCGCUGGACAGGAAGAAGGCGACAACGUUACCAUGCAAUAACUCAUGGAAACUAUCCACACUCUUCAGUAGACAGUGGAGGCAUCCAAGGCUGAUUAGGAAAGGGUUUUGGUUGAGGUUCGAGCUAAGCAGGCACUUAGGAAAGACCAAUUCAGGGUCGAGUUGGAUGCGUCGCGGACAGACAACGAAGAUUUACGCAUGGCCAAUAGGAUUUGCGGAGAGAUUUGCAAUGCUUAGGGGAACACACGGUAGGGGAGCAAAACCCGCCUAUCCCAGUCAGGGCUUGCCCCAUGCCAUUCUCCCAAGCGAUCAUGAAUGUCGUGAUACCUACCAAUUUCAUGACCCCAAAAAUCACUUUCACAGGUACUGAAGACCUGGAGGCCCACAUCACAACUUUCCACACUCAGAUGAUGAUCUCGGGAGGAACAGACGCCAUGCAUUGCAAGUUAUUUAUGGGAACGUUCGUAGGCAGAACAUUGGAUUGGUUCAUCAGUCUCCCCGAUGGACACAUCACCUCGUUUGAUCAAUUCUCUACAUUUUUCAGGGAGCAGUUCAUUGUCAACAGUGCUCCACCCCCUGUCUCUUUCGACCUCUUUGAUGUGAAGCAAUACCAGGGAGAGCCCCUUAAGGACUUCCUGAAUCGGUUUGGGGCGCUGGUUGUAAAACUACCAAGGAUGAAGCUAUGAUGGUGCAUGCCUUCAGGCGGGGAAUUUUGUCAGGGCCCUUCAGCGACUCUUUAAUAACGUGUCAACCAAAGACGUUUAGCGAGAUUCGGCACCGAGUUGUUGCUCACAUCUGCACAGAGGAAUAGGAAACAAAAAAACGUGGAAGCGUUGGACCGACAAGACCUCGGGAGAGCGGUCGUGCUCAACCCAUAAGUGAUGGAGAUCAAGAUCAAGACCAAAUGUAGGCCAAUACUCAAGGACAAGAAGAGGAAGAGGCUCAAGUGUUAGACGCUCAAAGAGUUGGUAGCCCACCUCAAAGGCUUACAAGAAGUCAAUUCAAGGCAUUAGGAAAUAAUGGAAUGUUGUUUUCUCUUUUUGUAAUAUCUUUGUGUUAGAAGGUGCUUAGAGGGAAACAUAAGACACCUCUUUUGUAAAAGCAUCUUUAGGUCUUUAGUUUAGGAAAAAAAUAGGAAGCUUGGGGGGUGUGAGCUUAGUAGAGGGGUGUAGGCGUAAUAGGGAGGUGCCAAACUAAGAAAAGAAGUCACACCUUCCUCAUGCUCUAAGUUGGCGCCACUUUUAUGUCAUUUGGGGGGUAAUUUGAGUUUAAUUAGCUUUUCAUUUCAGCACCUCUUAGGCUAUAAAUAAAGGUGUUUGCCUUUGUAAAAUUCAGAUUGGAAAUUGGAAUUAGAGAAACUCUACUCAAUUUGAGAGAGAAUUGUGAGAACUUGUCUUCUCCUUCACCUUGUCUUAUCUUGAGUGCAUUUGGUUCUCUCAAGUGGCGGCACUAGCUCACUUAUCUUGGAGCCUUCACCAUCCAAUUGGUGUGAUCAUCAAACCAAGUCCUUCAUCUCCAUAAGUUCUUCUUUCUUUCAUCUCCUAGCUCAUUUGAAUCUAAAACAUGUCUUAGUUUACUUUUCUAGCAUUUUCAUUCGGUAUUCUAGCUUGUUUCUGAAUUUGCUUCGGUUCAUCUUCUCCUUGGCUGUUCCUAUUUGAUUCUUCUUCAUUUCUUGCAUUUUGUUCGGUUCAAUUUCAGCAUUGUAGCUUUCUAUUCGGUCCUUUUUCUUUUAUACACAAUUUAAUCGGUUCAAUUGGCAAUAGAUGGAUCUUCCAUAUGAGUUUGGUGUUUGGUGCAAGUUUUGGUGAGUUCUUAAAACAUAGAACAUUGAUCCAAUUCUAUUAAAAGUGCCUAAGCUAUCUCCAACUCAAGUUGAUUCCAUAGAAUGUCAAAGAAUCAUCUCUAUUUGGCUAGUGGAAUCAUAUCAUGUGGUAUCUAGAAUUUAGGUUUGUUCUUGUUUAAUUUUGAGUUGUGUUGCACUUUAAUUCAAGAGCUCUAUAAUUCUUGUUGUUUACCUUUCUGUUUUUAGGCUUAUUUUGAGUUUUAUUGCUGUUUUCUUAAUUGUGCCUAUCAUGUGUUUGUGUAUUUUCCUUUUUGAAUCCAUACAAGUUUUGUCAUAGUCAUGUUUUUCCAAGAAUGUCAUCACUUCUUGUAGUACUUUUAUUGAAUUUUUUGUUUCUUGCUUUGGUGUAAUACAGUUUUCUGAGUUUGAUACUUGAUCCUUUGUGCAUUUUCUGUUUUAGUUUUGAGUUCAUACUUGUAUUUUAGAUCUAUACAAGUUCCUAUACAUCAUUUCCAUUAUGUCUUUGCUAGUUCUUAAUUCUGUUUUUCAUUCCUGUUAGGAUUCCUCUGUUUUUCUGAAAACGUGCUCACUGUUUCGAUUUAUUGCAAUUGAUUUACUCACUGGAAAUUUCUGAAAUUAUGGAUUUGUGUUCUUUAAAGUGUUAUAAAAGAGUAGAAAAAAGAAGUACUUAAAAAUUCCAAGUACAAAAAAAAUGAUAAAUCAAAAACAAAAAGUAACCGCCCAAACAUGCGCCCUACGAGCCGAAAAAGCAUUAGACUAGGGCAUGAGCGAAGGGAGACAUGCCUUGUCGACACAAGUUCAGAAUAAAACUCAAGGAGCUUAUCGCUAUCCCAGACGUGGCCGACAAGCUAAAGCCACCCCCAAAGAGUGACAAGAGAUUGGGGCCAAGCAGGGGCACCUGGUGCGAGUUCCACAAGGCCUUUGGGCAUGACUUGCAAAACUAUUUGGCACUUGGAUACUAAUUGGCUAAUUUGGUGAAGAAUGGAUUCCUGAAGGAAUACUUAGAGGAAGGUCAUGAAGCCUCAACGGUGGUGACCUUAGCAGGGAUCAGGGACACAAAGUACCAUUCCAUGGCGAGGUUAACACGAUCUUUGGGGGGUUUCUCAUGAGGAGGAUGCACCACCUCCCAGCGAAAGAAGUAUGUUAUAAGGGUGAUGGCAAUAGAAGCACGGGAACCUGACCAGUCACCUGAGCCCGACCUCUACUUCACGAAGGCUGAUUUACAGGAUGUGGUCCCACAUGAUAAUGACCCAGUGGUAAUUUCAGUGGUGAUAGUAGGGAGAAGGGUACACCGAGUCCUCAUCGACCAAGGGAGCUCGACAUAUGUAAUGUUUUGGUCGACCUUCAACAAAUUGGAGUUGUCGCCCGACCAACUGAGACCUUAUGACGGCUGUUUGUACGGUUUUGCUGGAGACCAGGUAAAAGUAAGUGGGCACGUGGAGCUAAGGACGACCUUCACAGACAACACCACGUCCCGCACCGUCAAUAUCAGGUACCUUGUCAUCAACUUACAACAUCCUUUUGGGAAGACCUACCCUGAAUAGGAUAUGAGCGGUGGCCUCAACGAGGCAUAUGAAGAUGAAGUUGCCUUCCCUCGAGGAAACGAUAAUUACCAUUAAGUCUGACCAAAAGGCGGGAAAUAAAUGCUAUGUGAAUAGCUUGAAGACGAACAUAGAGGUGUGCUCGAUCACCAGCCAGCCUUAGGAGGGAGAAGGGAUCACCCGUGUAGAGAUGGGUUGGGAGAGGCGACCUAAGCCUGUAGGUGAGGUGCUGGAAAGGGAGAUCGGGAGAAAGAAGUUUAAGCUUGGCAAAUCUUUAGGCCAGGAAAUACAGGACCAGAUCGCCGAGGUAAUAACACGACAUUUGGACGCCUUUGCGUGGUGUGCCUUGGACAUGCCCGACAUCGACCCUGAUUUCCUAUGCCAUCAUCUCACGAUGGAUCCAAAGGUCAAGCCUGUUUGCUAGAGGCAGAGGAAGUUCAAUGACGAAAGAUGCCUGGUCAUGAGGCAAGAGACCUAGAAGCUGCUGAGUGCGCCACAUAACGGAGAUCCAAUACCCUGAGUGGUUAGCAAACAUGGUGUUGGUCAAGAAGACCAACGAAAAGUGGAGGAUGUGCGUCGAUUUUACGGAUUUGAACAAGGCUUGUCCAAAGUAUUCAUAUCCGUUGCCCAACAUUGACACACUAGUGGAUAACGCGUCAGGUUGCAAACUUCUCAGUUUUCUGGAUGCCUUCUCAGGAUAUAACCAAAUUCGGAUGCAUCCCCAAGACGAAUGCAAGAAAACAUUCAUGACAGAGCUCUCCAGCUAUUGUUAUACGGUGAUGCCCUUUGGGCUAAAAAAUGUCGACGCGACCUAUUAGAGGCUGAUGGACAGGGUUUUCGCCCCUAUGAUAGGGCAAAACGUGCAGGCAUAUGUGGAUGAUAUGAUCAUCACCUCCCAGGAGAAGGACCAACACAUUGCCGACUUAGAGGAGCUAUUCACCACAAUAGCCAGGUAUAAAUUGAAGUUAAAACCCGAAAAGUGCGUAUUCGGGGUAGAGGCAGGGAAUUUCUUAUGAUUCCUCCUCACCGAGUGGGGAAUAAAGGCGAACCCCGAGAAAUGUGCGACGAUCAUAGCUAUGAGAAGCCUGACCUCGGUGAAGGAGGUACAACAAUUGACGGGGCGAAUGGCCGCUCUGUCCCGAUUUGUAUCUGCAGGAGGAGAUAGAGGGCAUCCCUAUCUCCUGUGUUUGAAGAGGGACAACCGAUUUGUGUGGACAAACGAGUGUGAAGAAUCGUUCCUCAAGCUGAAGAAGUACCUGUCCAGCCCGCCAGUUCUGUGCAAGCCGCUGCCAGGUACUCCCCUCCGUCUGUACUUUGCUAUUACAGAACGAGCGAUCAUAGUCCAGGAGCAGGAUUGCAUCCAAAGGCCUAUAUAUUUUGUUAGCAAAGUGCAGCAGGGGCCCGAAGUGCGCUAUCAGGCCAUUGAGAAGGCGGCUCUAGCAGUAGUAUUUGCAGCACGAAGGCUUCGCUACUAUUUCUAGAGCUUCACGGUGAUCGUGAUGAUCGACCUUCCCAUCCGUAAGGUCUUGCAGAAACCUGACGUGGCGGGACGGAUGGUGUGCUGGGCGGUCGAGCUGUCAGAGUUUGAUUUGCAGUAUGAGACGAGAGGACCUAUCAAGGGUCAAGUUUAUGUUGACUUCUUGGUAGAACUCUCCUUGGCAACCACACACCAAGACAAUGGAGAUUUCCAAUGGGUCCUUUCUGUGGACGGGUCCUCUGAGCAGUGAGGCUGGUAUCAUCCAUGAGGGACAAAACGGGCUACUAAUCAAGCAGGCCCUACGAUUUGCUUUCAACUCUAGCAACAACCAAGCUGAAUAUGAGGCCUUGGUGGCAGGAAUGUUGCUAGCCAAAGAGAUGGCUGCCCGAAGUUUGUUAGUGAAGAGUGACUCACUACUGGUAGUCGGGAAAGUUACGGGCGAGUACUAGGCCAAGGACCCUAGAUGGCCGCGUAUCUAAAGUGUGUCAUGCUCCUGAAAGAGGCGUUCACUGCUUUUGAGUUGGGCACAUUCCCAGGGAACAAAAUGCCCGAGCUGACUUACUGGCAAAGCUCGCCAGCUUAGGCAGGGGGGUCGACAAAGGAAAAUUACCCAGGAAACCUUAAAAGUCCCCAGGACCACCACAGGCGGCGUGGAAGAGGUCCAGCAGGUAAGUGCCUUCGAGGGCGGAAGGAGAGGUCACCGGUCGUUGACCCAGGAAACAUUGAGGGUACCUAAGAUAAGUGCAUAUGACUUGUCAGUGGGAGAAUCGUCGCAUGUUUGCCUGGUCGACGAAGGUGAAACCUGGAUGACACCCUAUAGGCGUUACCUGGCGAAUGGUCUACUCCCACAGGAGCCAACGGAGGCCAAAAUCGUUAAGAAGAAUGCAUACAGAUAUACCUUGGCUGAUGGAAAGUUGUUCAAGCAUGACUUCUCUCACCGUAUCCUGUCCUGUGUGAGUGGUGAGCAGUGCACACGUAUCAUGACUGAGCUCCAUGAAGGUAUCUGUGGGAGUCACAUCGGUGGACGAGCUCUCUCAUCAAAGGCUAUUCGAGCAGGAUAUUACUGACCGACCAUAAGGGAGGAUUGCACGAGGUACACACAAUGGUGCAAACAGUGCCAACAACACGCCAACUAGCAUCAUGCGCCCCCGGAGGCGUUGCGAUCGAUCCAUAGCCCAUGACCUUUCCACACAUGGGGGAUUGACAUCUUGGGUCCAUUUCCCUUAGAAGUUCGCCAAAUGAAGUACCUGGUGGUAGCCAUCGAGUACUUCACCAAGUGGAUAGAAGCUGAGCCUAUGGCACAAAUCACAACUCACAAGGUUCAACACUUUGUAUGGAAGAACAUAGUUUUCCGUUUUGGAAUCCCAAAGCAUGUAGUGUUUGACAACCACACCCAUUUUGCAAGUCAGCAGCUAGGCAAACUAUGCACAGAGCUCGACAUCAAACAGGUGUUCGCCUCGGUAUAACACGCCUAGACGAAUGGACAGGUCGAAUAUGCUAAGUGAGUCAUGCUCAGAGGCCUAAAGAGGAGACUGGAGAAAGCCAAGGGAACUUGGGCAGAUCUGGUUCCUAGAAUUGUAUGGGCCUAGCACACCAUUCCUCAAUCCACCACCAAAGAGACGCCUUUUAGCCUAGUGUAUGGGUCAAAUGCUCUGAUCCCCGUCAAGAUCCAUGACAGUUCACCUCGAUUCCAGAACUUCGUGAUUGAGGAGAAUAACGAGGAAAUGAGGGUAAACUUAGAUCUGCUCGACAAGGUCAGAGAGGAAGCACGCAUCAAGACCGAAGCCUUGAAGAGAAGGGUGGAGUAUAAGCAGAAGUCCAAGCUAAAACCUCGGCAGUUCCGGGUCGCCGACUUGGUAAUGCGAAAGGCUCACCCCUAUCAGUUGGAGAACAAGUUGUCUCCUAAGUGGAUUGGCCCAUUCCGUGUGAUAGAGGUGCUCGGUAACGGAGCGUAUAGACUCGAGAACUUGGAAGGCGAGAUCAUUCCUCGAACAUGGAAUGAGGCUAAUCUUAAAUUUUAUUUCAGUUAAUUAUGCUAUUGUAUGCAGUACGAACGUUUAAGGCGACACUCUUUUCCCCUUAUCAGGGUUUUUUAAAUAGGUCUCCCAAUAAAAGUUAUUUGAAAACUAUGCUUGCAGUAUAUCGUGCUAACAGUGAAAUAUCCCCUUGGUAAGAUUCCAAGAGUGGGAACAGUAGAGUUCAUAGCGAACCUCCCCCUAGUAAGAUUCCAAGAGUGGGAACAAUAGGGUUCGUAAGCGAACCUCCCUUUGGUAAGAUUCCAAGAAUGGGAACAAUAGGUUUCAUAAGCGAACCUCCCCCUUGGUAAGAUUCCAAGAGUGGGAACAGUAGGGUUCAUAGCGAACCUUGUUCAAGAUGGGAAGCUUUGAUGUGCAAAAUCCUCAUGAAGGCUGAAGCUGUGUGAUGUUUAAGGUUUAGGUUUUGGUUUGGGGUUUAGAAUCUUUGUAAAGAUCAGUUUUGAAUCUCAGACAAAGCUCAUUUCAACCAGUUUUAAAGAUUAAAGUGUUUUUCCAUGCAAAGGGAAAAACAACCGAUUAAAGUUUCGAAAUAAUCGGUUGUGUUUAACUUAGCUGGCAAAUAAGGUUUUGAAACUGUUUUAUAACUGACAAGAGCAUUCAACCGGUUAAAUCGUGGUUUUAACCGAUUAAAUGUAUGUCCUUGCAACAGCUUUUUGAAAAUCUAUUUUAAUUGAUUUGGUUGUUUUGAUUUGCUUCAACGUUAGCAUUUCAAGUAUUAUAAAUAUGUUUUUGAUUCAAACGUUUAAAGAUUGAUGAAAUAAAAACUUUAGAUACUCUGAGUUGAGAUUGAUUUGAAAGAUUACAAAACUGCUUGUGAAAAGGUUUUUCAUCAAGUUUUAACAAGAUUGCUUUGUGCUUUGUUGUGGUUCAAAGAACUGAUCAUUAGGGUGCUAGUGUAUUGUGUUGUACCAGGUGUUUUCUAAUCCUGUUCAAGUUCUUGUAAUUGUUCAUAUAACAUUCUGUAUAACUGUGUGAAAUCCUGUAAAGUUAGUGUAAUUCUGGCUUGAGGUGUGUGUUGUGUGUAAGGAGGGUGAGUAGGCUUUGUGGGAUUCAAAGUCACCUCUUUGUGUGUGGUGUUUGUGUAAUCUGUGAUCGGUUGCAUAGUGAAAACUCAGUGAUUUGACUGAGGACUGGAUGUAGCUCUAUGAUAGAGUGAACCAGUAUAAUCUCUGUGUGUAAUUCUCUCUAUCCCUUCUCUCUAUAUUUGUUUGUAUUUUUCCGCUGUCAUAAACAACCGGUUAAAUCACUAUUUUAACCGAUUAAAAUUCUGCUUCUGUUUCUGUUUGGUAAUUUGAUUAGCUUUCUGAAUUGCUUUUCUGGGUUGAUUGAAAAAGUUUUAUUCUAAGCCAAGUAUUUGUAAAAAUAGUUUGAAAACAAUUCAUCCCCUCUUGUUUUAGCCAUCAAAUCUAACAAUUGGCAUCAAGAGCAAGGUUCUUGAAAGUUAUUCAAGUUUUUUGAUUUCUGGUUUUUGAAAAUCUUGAUGGCUGAUAAAUUUUUUUUGGGGAAGGUGCCUCUUUGAACAAACAACCUUUGUUCUAUGGUCAAAACUAUCCUAUUUGGUGCAUAAGAAUGAAAUUCUUUAUUCAAUCCUUAAAUAAGAAUAUUUGGAAUGUUAUUUCAAAUAAUACCUAUGUGCAUAUGCCUGAAAUUAAUGAAUCUUGUAAAUAACAUCUUGACUGUAUGGCACAACAUAUUAUUGUGUCUGCUCUAGACUCUGAUGUACUGCUCAAGAUUUUAGAAUGCACUACAGCUAAAGGAAUGUUGGACAAACUUGAGGAAUUGCACAAGAAUCCAAGGAGUGACUUGGUAGAUAAAGAAGAGUCAUCUGCUGGCUCAAUCUCUUCUAAAAAUAAAGUGGAAGUCUGCUUAAUGACCAAGGGAGAAUCAAAAUCAAGUCAAGUAAGUACAUCCUAUUCUAAUAAGUGUGAAAGUUAUUUUCAAUUUCUUGAUGCUUUCCAAGAAAUUCAUGAGGAAGCUAAGAGAUUAACUUUUUCAAAUAACCGAUUGAAAUGUGAAAACAACAAGUUGAAAAUGAAAAUCACAGUUUUGGAAAAAGACUUGAAUCAAUCAAAAACUGAUUUAGAAAAUUCUGAUUUGAUGCAUGAAAAAUCCUUUUGCAAAUGUGAUUCAAAUUUUUGCAAAACCUGUGAGUCUCUUCAAGAGAAAGUCUUAUAUCUUGUGAAAACAAUUGAUGUUAUUUCGAAAGGAAAAUCAAAUUUUGAAAAUGUGUUGGCAUCCCAAACAUGUGUUUUUGAAAAAUUUGGCUUGGGUUUUAACCCUCAAAGCAAACAAAGUGGGUGCACAAAACCUUUUUCAACCUUUACUAAAAAACAAUCGGUUAAAGCAUCGAAACAACCGGUUGUUUGUUGUUUCUAUUGCAUGAAAAAGGGACACUCUGUUAGGUUCUGCAGAAUCAGAAAGUUCUCUGUACCUAAGGGUAUUCUGAAAUGGGUUCCUAAAGAGCCUAAUGAUUCUUGGAAACAUAUUAACAUCUAUGGACCCAAAUUCACAAGGGGACCAGAUUUAGCAACUUGAUUUUGUUUCUUUUGUAGAGUUGUUUGGAGAGAAAACAACACCUAUGGUACCUAGAUAGUGGCUGUUCAAAACAUAUGACAGGUGAUGCAUCUAGGUUCAUCAGCAUUUCUCUCAAACCAGAUGGUGAUGUAAGCUACGGUGACAAUAACAAGGGAAGAAUUCUUGGCAAAGGUACAAUCAGUAAUGAAAGUAGUUUGCUUAUUCAUGAUGUGCUCUAUGUUGAAGGAUUGAAGCACAACUUGCUUAGCAUCAGUCAACUUUGUGAUAGAGGUUACCAAGUGACCUUUAGGACCAACUAAUGUGAAAUUCGCUUACCUAAUUCAAAGGAUGUUCUUCUCAUUGGUAAAAGAUCUAGCAACAUUUAUCUACUUGAUAUAUCUAGUCAUGCUUCAUUAGAUUGUCUUCUAUCAAAGCAUGAAGAAUCAUGGUUGUGGCAUAGAAGGUUUGCUCAUAUUCAUAUGAAUCAUCUAAAUAAGCUUGUGUCAAAUGAACUUGUUUAUGGCUUACCCAAACUCAAAUUUGAAAAAGAACAUGUGUGUGAAGCAUGUCAAAGGGGGAAACAAACUAGAAAAUCUUUUUCUUUGAAAAACUAUUUCAACUUCAAAACCCCUUGAACUUUUGCACACGGAUCUUUUCGGUCCUUCUAGGACUAUGAGUCUUGGAGGAAAUCUAUAUGGUCUUGUUGUUGUAGAUGACUAUUCCAGGUACACUUGGACACUCUUUCUACAUACAAAGAAGGAUGCAUAUUCAUAAUUUAAGAAGCUUGCAAGGAAACUUCAGAAGACAUGUUGCAGUAACAUAGGAGCAAUAAGAAGUGAUCAUGGAGGGGAGUUUCAAAAUGAAAAGUUCAUUAGCUUCUGCAACAAAUUGGGGAUUUCUUCAUAACUUCUCUGCACAAAGAACACCCCAACAGAAUGGUGUGGUGGAGAGGAAAAACAGGUUUCUAGAGGAGCUUGCAAGGACAAUUCUAAAUGAUUUUGGUCUACCAAAAUGCUUUUGGGCUGAUGCUGUGAGCACUGCAUGCUACUUGAUGAAUCAUGUGCUGAUUAGGCCUAUACUGAAGAAAACACCUUAUGAGUUGCUGAAUGGGAGAAAGCCAAAUGUGAGCCACCUAAAAGUCUUUGAUUGUAAGUGUUAUGUCCUUAACAAUGGCAAAGAAAUUUUAGGUAAGUUUGAUGCUAAAUCAGAUAAAGGUAUCUUUCUGGGUUACUCUCUUAAUAGCCAUGCUUAUAGAGUCUUCAAUAAAAAGCUUAUGACUGUUGAAGAAUCCAUUCAGGUUAUUUUUUAUGAGACUAACAAUUGUGACAAGCUCCAACUAAGAUCAAUACAGAGGAGGAUGAUCAAAACAUCUUUUUAAAGAAUCUUGACAGCAACACUGAAUUUCAACCGAUUGAAUCCUCGAUUCAACCGAUUGAAAAUCUGCAGCAGGAAGAUCUGCCAAAAGAUUGGAAGGUUCCUAAGGAUCUGUCCAUUGACGACAUCAUAAAUCAAAUCCACAGAGGAGUUUCAACCAGAAGGCAUGUGGCAAAGUUAUGCAAUCACUCUGCAUUUGUUUCAAAGAUUGAACCUCAAUCAGUACGUGAAGUUCUGAAGGAUGAAUUCUGGACAGCAGCUAUGCAAGAAGAGUUAAAUCAGUUUGUAAGGAAUGAAGUCUGGACUCUUGUUCCGAGAACCAAUUAAAUGAAUGUGAUAGGUACCAAGUGGGUUUUCAGAAACAAAUCUGAUGACUCGGGCAUCAUUACAAGAAACAAAGCGAGACUAGUGGCCAAAGGAUACAAUCAAGCUGAAGGCAUCGAUUAUGAUGAAACCUUCACACCUGUUGCAAGAUUGGAAGUAGUAAGAUUGUUAUUAGCUUUUGCUUGUAUGAGUGGUUUUAAAUUGUUUCAGAUGGAUGUGAAGAGUGCAUUUCUCAAUGGGAUCGUGAAUAAGGAGAUAUAUGUCUCACAACCACCUGGCUUUGAAGAUCACAAACAUCCAGAGUGUGUAUACAAGCUCAAGAAGGAAUUGUGUGGCCUCAAACAAGUUCCACGUCAAUGGUAUGAAGGGAUAAGUCUUUUUCUUUUAUCUCAUGAGUAUGAAAGAGGUAAAGUAGAUAAGACUUUGUUUAUUAAGAAGGCUGGAACUGAUAUUAUUUUGGUACAAAUAUACGUUGAUGAUAUUGUAUUUGGCUCGUCUAAUGUGAAACUUUGUGAGGACUUUGUCUAAGCUAUGCAGGGGGAGUUCGAGAUGUCAAUGAUGGGAGAACUCUCCUUCUUUCUCUUUCUACAAGUUAAGCAGUCCAAAGAAGGAAUCUUGAUAUGCCAAUCAAAGUAUUGCAAAGAAAUCCUUAAGAAGUUCGAGAUGGAAGCUUGCAAAGUAGCAGCAACUCCAAUGUCAACUAACUGCUACUUAGAAGUUGAUGAAGCUGGACGAGAGGUUAAUCAAACCAUGUAUAGGGGUUUAAUAGGUUCACUUCUUUAUCUAACUACAAGCAGACCAAACAUUAUGUUUGUUGUGUGUCUAUGUGCUAGAUUUCAGUCUUGCCCCAAGGAAUCACAUAUCAAGGCUGCAAAGAGGAUCCUGAAAUAUCUUAAAGGCACAAUAUUCAUGGGCUUAUGGUAUCCCUCUCUUUCUCCUAUACAUUUAGUAGGUUAUUCUGAUUCGGAUUUUCCAGGUUGCAAAUUAGUUAGGAAGAGUACAAGUGGAACAUGCUACUUGCUUGAUUCAAGCCUCAUUUCAUGGCAUAGUAAGAAACAAGCGUGUGUAGCCUUAUCCAUUGCUGAAGUUGAAUAUAUAGCAGCUGGUAACUGUUGUGUGCAGAUUCUAUGGAUCAAAUAACAACUUGAGGAUUUUGGAGUAAAGAUGAGUAAAGUUCCUCUUCUAUGUGACAAUACAAGUGCCAUUAACUUGACAAAGAAUCAUAUUCAACACUCGAGGACCAAACACAUUGAAAUAAGACACCAUUUCAUUCAUGAUCAUAUAGCCAAUGGAGACUGUGAGAUCAAGUUCGUUUCCACAGAAAGACAACUGGCUGAUAUCUUCACCAAGCCUUUAUCCAAGGAUAAGUUCUACUAUUUACGAAAUGAAUUGGGAAUUCUAGAUAUGCAUGCUUUAUCCUAGUUAUAUUCUAUUUUGUUUUGUCUAUUUGAUGAGACAAAUAGGGGGAGAAGAGUUUAGAAGGGUUGUUGGAAGCUGUAAUGUUCUGCUGUUUUAUUCUGGUUUGUUUACAACUUCAACCGGUUAUCUCUGUAUUAUAACCGAUUGUUCUUAUAUGCAUCUACUUAUUUUAAAAUCUGAUAUAUAGUGCAUAUCUGUUUGGACUAGUCUAUUCCGUGUUUGUUCAGUGUUUGCAGGUUUUAACAGAUUCUAAACAAAGAACAUUCCUAAAAGCAUCUCAGGGAUUUGUCUCCAUCAAAUAAAGGAGAUUGUUGAAGAUGGGAAGCUUUGAUGUGCCAAAUCCCCAUGAAGCCUGAAGCUGUGUGAUGUUUUAGGUUUAGGUUUUGGUUUGGGGCUUAGAAUCUUUGUAAAGAUCAGUUUUGAAUCUCAGACAAAGCUCAUUUCAACCAGUUUUAAAGAUUAAAGUGUUUUUCCAUGCAAAGGGAAAAACAACCGAUUAAAGUUUCGAAAUAUUCGGCUAUUUGUAACUUAGCUGGUAAAGAAGGUUUUGAAAUUGUUUUAUAACAGAUAAGAGCAUUCAACCGGUUAAAUCGUGGUUUUAACCGAUUAAAUAUAUGUCCUUGUAACAACUUUUUGAAAAUCUGUUUUAACUGAUUUGGUUGUUUAGAUUUGCUUCAACGUUAGCAUUUCAAGUAUUAUAAAUAUGUUUUUGAUUCAAACAUGUAAAGAUUGAUGAAACAUAAACUUUUGAUACUCUGAGUUGAGAUUGAUUUGAGAGAUUACAAAACUGCUUGUGAAAAGGUUUUUUUAUCAAGUUUUAGCAAGAUUGCUUUGUGCUUUGUUGUGGUUCAAAGAACUGAUCAAUAGGGUGUUGGUGUAUUGUGUUUUACCAGGUGUUUUCUAAUCUUGUUCAAGUUCUUGUAAUUGUUCACAUAACAUUCUGUAUAACUAUGUGAAAUCAUGUAAAGUAGGUGUAAUUCAGGCUUGAGGUGUGUGUUGUGUGCAAGGAGGGUGAGUAGGCUUUGUGGGAUUCAAAGUCACCUCUUUGUGUGUGGUGUUUGUGUAAUCUGUGAUUGGUUGCAUAGUGAAAACUCAGUGGUUUGACUGAGGACUGGAUGUAGCUCUGUGAUAGAGUGAACCAGUAUAAUCUCUGUGUGUAAAUCUCUCUAUCCCUUCUCUCUAUAUCUGUUUAUAUUUUUCCGCUGUCAUAAACAACCGGUUAAAUCACUAUUUUAACCGAUUAAAAUUUUGCUUUUGUUUUUGUUUGGUAAUUUGAUUAGCUUUCUGAAUUGCUUUUCUGGGUUGAUUGAAAAAGUUUUAUUCUAAGCCAAGUAUUUGUGAAAAUAGUUUGAAAACAAUUCACCCCCCCCUCUUGUUGUAGCCAUAAAAUCUAACAAACCUCCCCUUGGUAAGAUGCCAAGAGUGGGAGCGAAGUCUUUCCUUGGUAAGAUUCCAAGAGUAGCAGCGAAUAUCCCCUUGGUAAGAUUCCAAGAGUGGGAACAUUAAGUGUCAUAGCAAACCUCAGUGAAGUCUCCCCUUGGUAAGAUUCCAAGAGUGGGAGCGAAGUCUCCCCUUGCUAAGAUUCAAAGAGUGGGAGCGAGAUCUCCCUUUGGGGGAGUAGUAAGGCUCAUAGCAAUUCAGGCAAUACCUCUUGCUCAGAAAGCUCAGGUUGCCACUUGCACGAACCACAGUAAAACUUCUCUUUAGGGAGUACGUACAGAUAAAGCAAAGCAAUUCGUGCAGGAGGACCUGUUGACCAGCGAGGCUCUCUGAACUCAGGUACCCCAGAGCAUAAGUGUACCAUUGAUUAAUCAGGAGGACCAUGCUACUUACGUAUGGUCGAUCAUUGGUGUUCGAUUAGUUAUUAAACUGAUGAAAGUUGUGUCCAUUCAAGGCAUACACUAUUAUUAAACUAGCCGAAGUCAGGAAGGGAAACAUGCAUAUAUAUAUGUAUGUACACAAGAAAGGUAAGUUGUUCGUUAGAUUACAAAAGGAAGGCAAUAGCAGGGGAGUCCCCUGCGGCUAUUCCUUAUCUACUAGUUGCCCAUCUACGACAACUUUACCUAAUCCUAUCUGGGAGAGAUCCAGCUCAGGGUGCACGCAGGUGACUUAAGCCAUGGCAUCUUCAAAGCCUGUCGUGUAGGAGUAAGCGACAUCGCUCGUCAGCUCGUCCUUGGUCUUUUGUAGGAGCUCAUCCUUCUGUGCCAACUCCUCUUUCUGCCUGGCCACCUCCUCGUCCCUCCCAGCCAACUCUCCCUUCAGCUUCUCCACCUCAGUGCGGGGAUUGUUGUUUCUUGCGUACAACCCCAUGGCCUCUUGGGACUUCCUGAAAAGGAGGGCCUUGGUCUCUUGGUGCACUUUCCAAAGCUCUUCCACCUCCAACGUAAGUCAGGUGACUUGUCGUUUGAGCCCUACAACUUGGAGGGCUUCUUCUUUGGCCAGCUCCUUUGCUUUCCACAGUUUGGAGAGGAGAAAGCAAUUUGCCACUAGGGUUUCCCCCAGUUUCCUUGUGGCGUGCUCCAUCAAUGGACCCUCCUCCAGGCUCUCCAAUCUUCCCUUAAUUUUGGAGCAGAGCAUCAUUUUGUGAAGGAAGGAGACUGGGUCCCAGUGAUCUCACUCUGAAGCACUUUUUCCUCUACCUCAUGCACUGCAAUGUCGCGAGGAGGGGAAAGGCUGGGUGGAAAAUCCCGGUAGGAAGGAGCUCGGCCGCCUGAGGUGGAGUGGACAAAACCUACAGCAGCAUCUGUUCGCUUCCUCUUGAAGACGAGUCCAGAACAAGUUUCAUCGUCCUUAGAAGGGGUGACUUCAGCCACUGCCUUCAAUUUUUGACCCUUGGCAGAAGGGACUUGGGUGGUCUUCUUUUGUUUAGCCAGAGCGGCUAAGUUCUUUCUCUUUUGAGUGUCCAACAUGCUAUAUGCAUGAGAAUGAAAACAAUGAACAGUUCAGAAAACACACACAUGCAAGAUAUGGCUAGCAGGAGUAAAGGGAAGGAGGAUACCAAUGUAUUCCUUAAGGCUUGUAGGGCUAUACUCGUUCUUUAUCAAUUCGGCAUUGCUAAACACUGCCUUGAGGUUGAAGAGGAAGAGACACACCUCUCGUUCUCGCCGGGGUAGGUCUUCAAGGUAUCUGGGUUUUGGAAUUCGGGUUCCUUAGUCCAGUAUAGAGGAAACCCGUCCAGAAGGCUUGGAUCGCUAUCAUUGCAGCGGAUUUUGAAAAACUUACCCUUGAAGCCUUUGUAUGAUUGCAUGAAGAGGGUCAACAAAACUCUCCCAACAACCCCGUUAAAGCUCACCCACAUCUUCCGACCUGAUUUUUUGGCUUCGAAGAAGUAAAGGAAGACGUCCACUGAUAGCAGAUGGCCAAAGUGGUGGCACAAGAUGGAAAAUCCCCGAACAAACGCCCAUCUAUUUUAGUGUAGCUGGGUAGGGGCGGUGUUGAUCUCGGUGAGAAGGGCUCUUUCGAAACUAUGAAAGGGAAGGCGUAGAAGGAGUUUUUUGAAAACAGUAGAGUAGAUGAAGUAGAAUGGGCCAUCUAGGUCCGAUGACUCAUCACAGCAAACAGGUUCAUCUUCCAUACAAGGCAUAACCUUAACGAACUUGUCGUGCUCUUUGCCAAAAAGACAGUUCUUUUUAGGGUGCUCACUCUUCCUAUACAACAUUAUCCUCGCAUGGGGUGGUGAAUUCCGAGGUUUCCUAUAAAAGGUUACUAGAAGCCCAGGGGUAUAGGGUUUCGUAAUCCAUCUUACGAGGAAUCUAAAACAAAGAAAGAAAACAAAUGCAGUACUCAGAGGAGGAAGCGCAUGCGUUUUGAAGAAAGAAGUAAGGAAACAGAAAACAAAGGUAUUUACGGUCAUAGAUACGAGAAAUAUAAACAGUCCCAGCGCAGUUAUGAGCAGCUUAAAGGCAUUGAAAUGGCAGAAUGAAAGCAGUCAUAAGAUAAAAAACGCACCUUGAGAUGAUUGAGGAAAGGAGGCGAGGAGGCUUGUUUGGAGAGGUGAAAGCAGAGUGGUCAAAGAAAAGUGUUCAAAGAGAAGCACGAAGAUGGAAUGAAACAGUGAAGGGAGCGCAAGAAUUGAAGGGUUAACGUAUAAGGGAAGCGCAAGCGGCAACAUUUUCCAACCGUUGAUGAUGGCCACGUGUGCGCUUGUGAGAUAGUAUGGUGAGACGUCACCUCAAAACAAUGUGUGGGUCGCGUCAUUCAAAAGACACGUAAGUCGCCUUAGGCGAGAAGUUAGCCUUUUCACUGGAACAAGUUCCAGCUCGAGCCUGGGGGGCUUGUGUACUGGACCAGAGCGCCAGGCUCGGUGCUCAGGUGAUCGGACAUCGACACCUGUGUGGAACAAGUUAGCUCGGUGGUCUGGUCGAGUUAAUGGGUCACAUAAGUGGGACCUAAGAAUGCGUGUGUUGAAAUCCGUGUAUAUGUAAGGCCUAAUCAGCGAGAAAGUGCAUGUGGUGUGUAUAGUACAUUUGGGUCUACCACAAGUAAAUAUCACCUAAAGACGCCUAGGGUUUUCAGGGGUAAGCUGCAUGCAUGAUACGUAAAGGUUAGAGCGCCUACAGUGACAGAUGGGCCGCAUGAUGCUGGUACAUGAGUUGGUACCCUGGCGGCCAUGCUAUUAAGAUUAUGCACUCCAAGGAGGAAGAUUCUACGCGGUUGUUACACUAAGAUUGUGUGACAUCGUAACAGAAUGUCCUCCCAUCAGACCUACUUUCACUCAAGAUAAGGUUCUCGUGAGAGAAUGGUUGUUAUAAUGAAGUAACCUAAAAGUAGUCUAUAAAAGGGACUCGAGAUCCCUGGUAAAGGUACAUCGUUUCUAAGACUGAAACUACUUGCUUACUUACUCAUUGUUUCUUAGCCCAGUACUGACUAUAUCAUCAGAGUGUAAUCAACAUGUAAGGCCCCCUCUGUUUCAAAUGGAGCCGCGUUAUAACGUCCCAGGGAAAGAGAAAAUCCAGCAGAGGCAGACGGAGUCACAACCUGUUCCCAGAGUCAACAAGAACACUUAAAUUAGCGUAUCAAAAUAUUAUUUCAAUUAUUCUCCAACGGGAUUACUAGUAUAACUGGGCCAAACUCAUGACCCACCUUAUAGGCCCAAUAACCAAGCUGACCUACCCACAAUGUGCACCGAGCUCCGAUCACUGAGCACCGAGUACUCUGUCCAAUACAUAAGACCCCAAGCUCGAGUUGAGCUUAGCUGAGAGAAGUGGCUUUUCGAGUGCUCUGGUAGCUUACGUGGCAGUUCCUCAUUGGGUAGGUGUGGCGUGGCGCAUGAAGCGUUUCUGAGGUGACGUCUCGCCACACUCAAUCUUGAACGUACAUGUGACCCUUAUCAACGGCGGGAAAGCGUUGCCACUUGACAUUCCCAUAGACGUAUAAGCCAACGUUCAAAAACUCACUACCACUCACUGUUUCAUUUCUUUAACUCUUGCAAAACCCUCGCGCUCUUCGAACUUCCUCUGCACCCUCCUUCGAGCACCCAGAAACCUUUAUUGUCUUUGACUUACUUACUUUGCCUAGCCUGAAUAUGUGUGUUUGUAUUCUGCUUGUGUUUGUGUUUUUUUGAUAUACUUCUACAAUGGAUUACAAAGCUUUGUACCCCUAGGCACCUUCAAACCUCUUAUAGGAGACCUUCAUGUAUACCUCCCGUGAGCUUAUAAUGGCCCUUAGAAAGGGUGAAUGCAAGUUUAGCAAAGAGAAUGAUAGAUCUUUUAGGAUAAUCCCAUGUAGGGAGGAUGAACCCGUCUACUGUGAUGAGUCGUCGGAUCCUAAGGGUCCAUUCAGUUAUUUUUAUACCACCGUGUUUAAAAGGAUUCUUCUUCGUCUAUCCCCUGCCUAGCUACACCCAAACAACUAGGCAUUUGUUCGGGGCUACAUUAUCCUCUGCACACAAUUUGGCCUUUUUCCCAUCUGUUGAAGUCUUUUUGUAUUUGUUUGAGGCCAAACACCUAGGCUGUCAGCUUUGGGUAAUGAGGUGUCUGGAAGGGCACUAUUGUCACUCUUCCAACAGUCUUAUAAGGGCUUUAAAGGUAAAUUUUUGAAGAUAUGCUGCAACAAAAGGGAUCAAACCUUUCUGGAUGGGUUUUUAUUGUAUUGGACUGAAAAAUCGCGCUUCCAAGGUGCUCGGCGCCUGGAAGAUCUGCCUCAGCGCGACUAGGAGGCCUGCCAAUUCUUGUUGAGCUUAAAGGUGGUCUUCGAUACUUCCUUUCUCAUAAGCAGAGAGUUCACCCUCGGGGCUCUAAAGUCUUAUAUUGGUACUCUUCAUUCCCUACUCUUGAUAGGGCUAACUUUGCUAUUGUUGCUAACUACUUCUUGUCCUCUUUCGUAGAUAGUAUGUUGGCUAGGAUUGACAAGAAAGAGUAGGCGAACACGACCAAGAGGAUGAGGGCGGCUGCUCAAGUGCCUCAGGAUCUUAAGCUCAAAGCUCCAACCACUGUCGUUCCAGCCUCUACUGAAGAUGAUGAGGAAACGAAUUAUGGGUUGGUCUUCAAAAGUAAGAGGAAAGACAUAGCCGCCCCUAUCGAGCAUUCCCACUCAAAUGGGUGGGCUCCUUCCUACCGCGCUCCCUCAGCAAGUCCAACCCUGCCAUGCGACAUGAUGGUGGUGCAAGAGGAAGAGGGAAUGAGCUCCAGGGGAAAGGGUUUAUGGGACCUUGACUUGGACGUCCCCUCCUUCCUUGAGAAGACCCUUCUACCCAACGAGGAGAAGGAGAAACUCAUAACCCUCGAGGAAGAUCGCUUGGUGCACGAAACCAUGAGGCAACUGGGGCAAGCCCUUGCUGCAAGUUUCUUUCUCGUCACUAAGUUAAAAGAUUGGAGGGUCGGCGGGUCAAAAGGCUCAAGAGAUUGUUGAGCUCCAUAAAGGAAUGGAGAAUCUUCAAGCCAAGCUUCGGCAAUCCAAACUCCUACGCCAAGAAAUGGAGAGUCUUCAAGCAGAGCUUCAGCAAUCCAAACUGCUACAGAAGGAAACUGAAGCCCUAUUGACUGAGAAGGCUAAGGAGGCCUCGAGCUUGACUAAGGAAAAGGAGAA
rnacentral:lncRNA from 1 species